AGUCUUCAUCCAUUUGAUCCCAGCAGAGGUGCCACUCUUCACCUUCUGAGCACCCACCACAGCAGCUGUCUUAGCUUUGUCAGCACCCACAGCUGCUGCUGCCUUGGCCUUUUCCAUCCCGGCUGCCAUCUUCUUGCUGCUGCUGCCUCCGCCACUAAUGCUCUUCUUCGCCUUGUCAUCUUCCACAUGCUCCUCGUUCCCAAAAGCACCCGCUCCCCAUUGAUCAGACCAACUCGGUGCCUUGUUGCUCCCCAUGAUUGAUUUCCCUCCUUUUACCUGCAGAAAAAUUUAAAAUCUUCACUGAUUCUAAUCACUAAUCAGUGCAUGUUCGGAAAUCUUUCUAGAAUUGAUUCUAAAGCCAAAAUCAAUUUUAGGGAGAAACUUAUGUGAGUCUCUCCUUAGUUCUUAGUGCCAGAAUUGAUUCAAAUCACUUAUCAAUGCAUGUUUGGAAAUUCAUCUAGCUUUUGAUUCUAAAGUCAAAAUCAAUUAUGGGGAGAAGGCGAGAAGCUAAGUAUCUUCUAAAUGCCAGAAUUGAUUCUAAUCAUGUAUCAAUGCAUGUUUGGAAAUCGUUCUAGAAUUGAUUCUAAAGUCAUAAUAAAUUACAUGAAGAAGCUAAGUAGCUUCUUUAUGUCAGAAUUGAUGCUAAUCACUUAUACAUGCAUGUUUGGAAAUCCCUCUAGAAUUGAUUCUACUGCCAAAAACAAUUCUAGGGUGAAACUUAUCUUAGUAGCUUAUUGAUGUCACAAAGAAAACAGAAGCUAAUACAAACAUCCUAAACAUGCUAUCAAAGCAAAUUAACAAACAAAACAACAACAAAACAUAAAGAGACAAAAAGGUAGGCGGAAACAUUCACAAAAUCGCAUCUAAUCCAAGUCGCACAAGGUCAAUAAUGCCAAACACACAUGUUUGGUUUCAAUUGACACAGUUAAUUAAUCAAUGUGACAAUCCAAAGCAAGAAAAAUAACAUUUGGGAUUUUUGAAUUAACAAGAUUUGGGUACACACCCACCCACAAGAUCUCUAGAUGAAUCCAAAGCAAAGUUUGAAGAGUUUAUUGAAAAAAAUCAAAACUUUUUGCUCAAUAGAUAAGAAUCAGAAAGACCCAGUUGUUAAAUGGAGUAAAUUGCACAUAAUUGUUGAAAAAAUAGGGCAAAAUUUCAUUUUUAUGUAUCUAUACAAAGACAGAGUGAGAUCGUAUAAAAGGGCAAGGAAGGUUCAGAUUGCUUGCAUGUUUGCUCGUACCUUGUUGUUGGUUGAUGAGGAUUGAGGAAGAAGAAGAUGGAGAUUUGAUUUGAGUUUGAGGGAGAGAAGGCAACAACGGGUUGAAACUCCAACAAAUGGAAUGAAGUGAAGUGAAAGGGAGGACAAGUCUUUGUUUUAUAGUGUCAGGUUUUUCUCUUUUUACAGUUUUACUGCGUUACGCUUCCUGGUCUCCUAGUCCAAUAGGGGAUUUUGUGUUGUGCUCUUGCAUGAAUUUUGACCUCAUUUGGAAAAAAGUUUAUUUGAGCUUAUUUGAUAAGAUAACCUCUUAUGUCAGGGUGUCUGAGACAGCUAACAACUUAUGGUCGACCAUAAGCUUUUUUGAGCUUAUUAAAAAGAGUUUAUACUUAUAUAUAACUUAUUUUCGAUUUAUUUCAAUAUAAAAAUUAAAAUAGCUUAUGAAUAAGCGCUUAUGUCAUAAGUGCUUAUAACCAUAAGCGCUUAAUUAAACUAUGUUUCCAAAUGGAGCCUUUAUGGAUGGAAAAAUCAGGUUAACUUGUGUUGACUCUAAUAGAGUUGUUUUUUUUUUAUGUUUUAAACUAUUUAUUAGUAUUUUUUGAAAAAUACAUUGUAUAUUUUAUGUAGACAAUUUUAAGUAUUGCUUUUCGAAAAAGAUACACGCAGAGUAAGAUAAGGGAAGCUUGAUAAAAUCAAAUGAUGAAAAAAAUUAAAUGAAUUUGUGGUUUUUUUCUUAUAAAGUUAAGAAUUUUUACAAUUUUUUAUAUCUUCAUAAUAACAAGGAGAGAUGAAAACCCCUCGUAAGUAAGAAAAGAAGGGUCAGAGGCAAACACUAAUAGAAGGAGGACUUCCUAGCAACCAAAGAGGUCAAUCCCCAAUAUGAUCAAGGCUAGGGCAAACAUAUCAUGCCUAUUGCAAAACGGCUCAUAGCUAAACUCUUAAGCCAUUCGAACUACAAUGACGGUAUGAAGAGAGGAAACCCCCGCCAACCACUAGCCCACCGAUGGAUUAGCAUACAAAGUUCUUAACUUUCGCUACACGCAAACAUGCACACAUGCAUAAAAUGAGGAAAGCAAUAUGAAGACUGAAUAACUUCUCAAAACCGAAUAAAGACAAAGAUCUUGAAGGAGAAAUUGCUAGUGCGUCUCAAAGUAGUGAUUGGUGAUGACUUCCAAAACAAAAUACUUUGUAAGUAUGACAAGAGCAGGAGAAGAUGAAAUGACGUCUACUUUAUGAAUUUAUAGAUCACGAAUUGGGGGCAAAGACAAAAUUUCACCUCCCAAACAAGGGCAAAAAUGACCUUUCAGAUCCCGACUCAUCAUUUCACAACCUUUAGAAAGUGAGAUCAAUCCUUGCCAUUUGAUAUGUCAUAUGUAAUCACUCUCUCCCAUCUACAUCAACUUGUGACAAGACAUGCCUCUUCCAAUUUCAGAGACCUCAGACAAUACGUAAAUAUCCAAGGUAUAAACCUAUGACCAAACUGAAUCAAUUAUAAUCAUCCCACACUCGUGCCUUAGAAGCUGAUUUUAUUCUAAUCGAAGAUCAAGAGUAUACCACGAGAAGUAGGCCAAACAUGUUAUUGCUUCAAACUAGAGAACUCUCUCAGAUCUUAACAUUUAUAGUAAGAUGACUGCGUUUUUAAUAGAACGUCAUAAGCAUUGUAUAAUAGAGGAGAACACUUCCAAAAAGGAAUUUUGUUUUAAACCCGCCAGAAGACAACACUUUUAAAGAAAACAUCGUCGUAUGCUCUAAUUAGAAAACGUAUUGGAGAAGAUAUAUUAAGUUAGUAUUUUUUCAUUAAAAUUCAAGUCUCUAUUUUAGACACACAUAAAAGUCAAACUUUAACAUUAUAAAUACCCAUUUAACUAGGUUAAUUAUUCACCAAGUUUUCUUUCAUGUGUUUAUUUUCUCUAUUUUCUUCAUCGUUCUUUGAAACUUGGUUUUCCAAAAAACACUAAUCCAAUAGCUUCUUUGUCUCAAAGGCAUCAAACUUGAGAAAGAUCCCAAUGUCCCAUAUAUUAUGGAGAUGACUCUACUUAAUGUAAAUGUUGUUUCGACACCCUUUUUAUUUUUUUUCUCAUUUUUUCUUAUCAAAACCGUGUUUACAACCUUCUCAACUUAUAAACUUUGUGUUUUUAAAGAGUGGUAAAAUUCAAUCUUCCAUUGACAAUACUGUUGCGAAAGAUUUUUACUAAGAUCUGCAAGAAGAGCAAGUUUAUCAUUUUGGCGUAGGUGCGAAUACCGGCCCAUAUAGAGCUACAAAGCAUAAUUAUAAACUCAAUUUUGAAAAGACUAUUAUUAUAAAGCGUGAUUCAAUCUCAAUUGUUCUUGCAAAUAGCUUCCAAUUUGUUACGGUGCCUGAGAUUCUAAUUACCUAAUAAGUUUGUAUUCUUAAGGUUUACUUAUUAUUUCUAUCACUUCAAAUUUUCAUCACCUCAUGGUUUCCCUCCCUCUUUGAAGUUUGAUUAUGCAGACAUAACACGUUGGAGCAUAAUGAUUUGCUUGUUGUUGAUGUAGUUAUUUUUUUUUAAAUGGGUAAAAGAGGUUUUUGAGUUGCUACGUUUUAGUCAGGGUUGGAUUAAGGAGGUGACUUGGGACGAAUUUUGAGAAUCUCUAGGUUUCUUGGGAUGCAUUUUUGGAAUUAUGUUUUGGUUGAAAGAGGAAGGAUUGAAAUUGAUUAAAAUAUUUAGAGGGAUCAAAGGUGAUGCUUAAAAGUCCACGUGAUCACUCUUUAGGUGACAAGGCUCACCACUGGACUAUUGACCGUUCAAAAUUGAUGACACAUAGUUAAAAAGACUUAAUUUGAUUAAAAAAGUUUCUUAGAGAUGACAUUUCAAUUUUUGCAGAGACCCAAUUUAAUUUUUUUGACAAUCUCAGAAACCUCAAACAUAUUUAAGCCUUAAAACUAAUCAAUAAGCAACCAAAACUAAUUAAAAUCAACGCAAAUCAUAUUUACCAAAGGUGACACAGGAAAAGGAAGAAAAUGUAGAAUCCAUGUUUAAGGUCAAAUGAUAUCAAAUAUAACAGCUUAAGAUCUCAAAUAAACACACUACUUCAUAUCAAGCAUGUACUUAGAUGACACAGGAAAAUAAAAUUUCAUUUUUAAUAGUUUCAGUAAACCAUUUAAGAUUGGGAGAACAACUUCUCCAAGAGUGCUGAAAAAGUAGUCAAAACAGAGUAACAAAGAGAAAGAACAUCUAACAAAGAGCUACGUAAGACUCCAAAAAUAUCAUUGAAUCAAUUUAUUCAAAACACAAAUAACAAAACUGAGACAGCAAAAACACUUCAGGAGAAAAGUCUCUAGCCUACUAUAUAUAAGAACUAGGAAUUUAACCCGGCUCCGUGCAAUGCACGGACGAGUAGUUCCUCAAUUUAUCAUAUUUAUUUAUCAAUUUAUUUAACUCUAUCUAUUUAAAUCACAUACCAAUUAUUGUAACUUUUACUAAUCACAACACAAAAUAUGGCUUAACCGAAACAUAGACAUCAACGACUAAUUAUAAACAUUAAUAUGUAUAACAAAAGUUGUAUUGUCAUUUAUCUGUCAAAAUAACUUGAACACAAUUACAAUGUUAAAGUUUCCAUAGUAAAUAUAUGAAACCUCAGAGUGAAAAUGAUGAAAAUCUCAGUGUUUGACCUACUUUGGUCAACAAUAUACAUAUAUUCAGAAAGAAACUUCAGUGUCAAAUACGCAUAAAAAAAACACAAAAAGUACUAAUUUCCUUAUUGUACAAACUGACUCAAGCAAUUGACCUACUUACACAAGAAAAUUGCCCCACGCUAAUCAUGUAAACAAAUGAUAAUCAAGUUAAAAAAUUAUUUUAAUCUACUUCCAAGUAUGAUACCUUUGAGAGCAGUUGGGGUGGGUACAUGAAAAUCAUGAUUACUGUUACUUUUGUACUACUGAUUAGUAUAUUAUAUGUACUGAUAAGUCAAAUAAGUAAAUAUCUUACCUGGAUGCACCAAGAAGAAGAGAUUAGAAAAUAAAAUCUGUCAAAUACCUACUUGUAACAUGAUAGAAGAUAUACAAAGAGAUAGAGUUGAACGUCUCUUAUCCAUGUUCGGCAAUUAGCAGCAACAACGACGCUGACGCGAAGCCUAACUGCUGCACAAAGUGGGAUGAACACAAGUUUGUCCAUUGUUGAACAGGAAACGAAACAAAGCUCAGAUCACAAACAAUGGAAGGCUGAAAAGGGAAGGGGAGAAAGUGAAUCCUAACUAAAAGGGAGAGAAUAAGAAAAUUAAUUUUAUGAUGACAAAUUCAUGUCUCUGGGAAAAGAAAAACAAAGAUCAUAGACCUGCCUAACAGUUAACAAAAAAUUAAAUUUCCUCAUUCAACAAAAUAUUGGGCCGCCCAAAGUUUCAGAAAAUUAACUGGCCCACAUAGCCAAUUUCUAGUUAACCAAAAAAAAUUAACAUACUUACCCCAAAAAACAUAUGUUUCAUAAAAAAAAACUCCACACAAUUAGAACAAAUGAAAAAAAUCAUGCCCCACUCAAUCCACAUGAAAUAAGUGGACUAUCACAACAUUCAAGUAAAACAACUAUCUUACUUUUUUUAGAAAUAUCCUAGUUAUCAAAUAAUGUUAAUACAUAAUUCAUCCACAAGCUUCGAACCCUGCACCAUUCACACUUAACCCUUCUGAUCCCCUACGUCAAGUUAGUCAUAUCACUUCGGCUAACAUUCGAAUAAAUGAAAUAAGUGGACCAUCACAACAUUCAAGUAAAACAACUAUCUUAAUUUUUUUUAGAAAUAUCCUAGUUAUCAAAUAAUGUUAAUACAUAAUUCAUCCACAAGCUUCGAACCCUGCACCAUUCACACUUAACCCUUUUGAUCCCCUACGUCAAAUUAGUCCUGCCACUUCGGCUAACAUUCGAAGAAAAGACUAACUUUCACUUCAUAUUAAAUUCCAAAGCUAAAUAAUAUCAACUCUAAAAUAUCAUGACAUGUAGAAAAUACCAUGACCAAAAGUAUGUAAACACAUACAUAUAGAAAAAUCAAUGAAGCUAACUUUCUCCAUCUCUAGAGUUACAUAUAGACAAAUUCAUAAGCAGACUUUAAGAAUGAAAUCUGUGUUAUCAGUUCUGAUUUUUAUGGUCAUAUUUAGUUUUAGCUUUUUUCUACUUCACCUUAUGUGUCUUGCUUGCCGCAAUGACAGUUAGUUGUCAUCCUAGAAGAUUAUGUUGCUUUUACUUAAAACUCCCAAAUUUUUUCAGUGUAGAUUUAUAUUUCAUCAGUUAGAUUUCAUUACUUUGGUUCUGGUAAUUUACAUUUCAGUCAGUUUCUUUCCGUUUUUCUACAAUUGAUACAUUUUAUACUUGGAGCUUCCUAAUUUAUCCAUGUGUUUAAGUAUACCGCUAUGGAAAGAAAUCUUAUUCGAAGAAGACUUAUUUUUUGUAUGCAAAACUCAACUUGUUGGCCAUGAGAUUUUGGGGUUUCAAAGAUAGUAGUCACCCACUUGAAUUUGUAACCUUGUUAUAGCAGAUAGAUCAAGUAGGGUUGGAGUAUUCAUGCCAUAGGGCACAUGAAAAUAAUUGGUAGUUAUAUUUCAAAAGAAAAGAAGACUGAGGAAUAAGGGCUGGUUGUAUGUAUGAAGGCUAUAGACACUCAGUUCGAUUAGGUGGAAAAUAUCUAACUUCUUCCAAAGAUAUGCCUUGUGUGGUUUAAUCUGAUUCAACCAGCCAUAGUUUAUAACUUUCACUAUCCAGAAACUAAAUGAUAAAGUGUGACACAUAUAUAGGGGCUUCCCUUCUUAGAAACUAAAUGAUAAAGUCUUGUUAAUAAAAAAAGAUGUAUGAAAGAGGAGGAUCACAAAAUCCAUGGAAUGCAGAAAAAAUAUAGAAAAUGAAUCAAUAAUUCAUAUAGAAUGUAACCUAACCACUUCUAAAAUUACCAGCUAAAGUACAUGUGGUUGGUGAGUAUAACUAUCUAACCAGAAACAAACAUAAGUAAAUGAUAAGUACAUAAAAUCGGUAGGAACUGCUCCAAGGGGAACCUUUAUUGAAAUAUCCCAAAUCUCCCUCUGCUGCAGUACUGAUACCGAUUUUUCUCAGCAAAAUGGUGACACACUCAACCCACAAAAAAGAGUUGGCCCUUUUCAUUUUGUCUACUUCCUUUCUCCAAUGAAGUCCUUGGGUUCGAGUUCGCAGUUAUAAACUUGCCAUCUUUUGUGCUUGUUAUGUCCACACAAUUGUUGGAUUAUCUUUCUUUAAAACUGCAAAAUCAUCCACAGGAUCAUAUCCAAGUAUUUUUACAAAGAACCCUGCCAUAAAACCACAUUAAAGUUUAACUUAUGAUACUAUCUUAAGCUAAAAUCCAUUCCCUUCCUCCAACCCCAAAAACUAAUAAAAAUGUAUAGCCAACAACAAUUUUACAUGUCAGGUCAUUGCUUUCAUCUGACAUAGCAUAAAACAAUGAACUUGCAUCUUGAGCCCAUGUCAAGCUAACACCAUUGUGAAAUUAUACUUUUGGAUCUAUUAAUCCACUUCAGAAGUCUUUCAGACAAAGCAUAAACAGUUCACCACAUUAAAUUUUAACUGUGUAAACAAGGUAGUUGUGACCAAGAAAAACUUUUCCAACGUGGACAACAAAAGGAAUAGAAAUAUAAAAAACAAAUCAUGUUUACAUAAGUAGAAACUUGCAUUUUUCUCAGUAGGUUCAUUCAAUUCAAGCAAAAUCUCCUACUUUUUUCAAUCAUGUCAUUCCAUGGCAAAGCAAAAAGGCCUUCAUCCAACCACUUCUCUUUGUUUCCAGCGUUCUGCACAACCCAUGAUAUUCCUUUACCUCUUGAAUGCACUGGUAAUAUAGGAUGACCAAGAGAAAGUGAAAAGGGGAAUGCAGGAAAUAAAAAACAGGAAACUAAUUCAAUCGUUUGGUAUAAGACCAACGGGAACAAAACAUCAUUUCAACUUUUCUUAGGAAGGAUCAAUUGCUUUCCCCUUCGAAGGCUUAACCACACAUAAGAGAAAAGUCUUUUAAGAUAAAAUCCAAAUCAAAGCUGGAAGAAAACUGAAAAGUUGAAAGCUACUGUUUGAACACAGAAAAUUAAUACGACUAUCACACUUGAAGAGCACAUCCUAGUCCCACACACAAUAGAGUUCCAAGCUGAUAUCAUGGAAAGAAUGAGGUUAUCGCACAUGAAUAAAAUGAGCAUUUUGAAAAUCAAAACAAUGACUUGAUUAGCAGUAUAAAAAUUUGAAAACUUAAGCAAAAAAUUUCAAUUCGCAUGCGAUGUCUCGUCGUGCCCUUAUCUCCUACAUGUUUUUCAAAGAGAAAAGUUGAAGAAGUGGAUUUACCAUUUUUUUAAAUUUGUAACCUUACAUAAUUUGCUUCUCCAUUUAUUGCACAAAUACCUAAUUAACACAUCAAGAAGAGUAAACGUCCAUGUUAGAAAAUUUAGAGUAAUCUAGUGACUAAAGCUCAAGCACUUGAAUGUAUAAGAAUUAUAGAUUUCAUCUUAAUUUCAACAUAUUCUUAUUGAGCAUUACUAUUCUCUUCUUUGGAGCUGGUGGACAUGUUAAUACCUUCGGAAUUCUGAACUCUUUAGCCUUUGGUGUAGUGCAUCCACUUGAACAAAGAUCUUCCUCAAUAGUACCCUCCUCAACAACAUUAAUCUUAAUACACGGCUAUUUGGAGCUUGAAGUAAUAGCAUCCUCACGAGGGCCUUGUUUGGUCUCUGCGAAAUUUCAAAGAAUUAGUCGCAUGCUUAUCUGCACCCUAAUUCUGAAGCAUCAAAGAAAUUUCAAAGCAAAGAGAAUUAUUUGAGAGGUUGAAAAGUUCCUUUCAUGCCAUUUUGUUUUCUUUUAUCUGUUUUCCUAUCAAGCAACAUAACCUUUCUAUCAAAAUAUAAACGCUUGAACCAACCAUCUAUUGCUAGAUCACAUUAGAGUUUGAUAACAUUAAAACUAUAUCCCAAUAUUAUAAAAACACAAGAUAUCAUGUAUAGUAGUCUUGAGAAUACCCCAUUUACCAUGACUAAAAAACACAUAAAUACUCAAGAAAAUAAAUAGGGUUUAUUGGUACAUUUUUAUGCCAGCAAAUACAUUCAAUGGGCUCUAUAAAUUCAAAGUUUCUUCAAGUGAGUAGUGAUAUGUGAUGUACAGUCUGAAAGGCAAAAACAAAUAUGCCUAUAUAGGCAUUUAUAGAGGGACUUGGAAACAUAAAGGUCACCUCGUAAAUUACUUAUAAACAGUGAGAUAAUUUGAACUCUCAUGAGCAUCAACUUGUACUGAAUCAAUACACCCUUUUCUUCAAUUUCAUAGCUUGUGGAGGUCUUCCUUCCACCUUCUUGGAUCUCAUUUCUUUCCGCUCUAUUGAAAGCAAAAGCACUGUUCAAUUUGACUCUAGCUUAUGAUUCUCCGAAGAAUCAAACUGCUCAAUGUUAGCUUGGCAGCAGGUGCAUUUGACAAAAGAGAAAUAUCACAUUUCACAUGACAUGGUCUCAAUUAUAUCAUUAAUCAAAAGCUAUUAUAAAACAAAGCAUUAAAUUUCAAUCAAAUGUUCACCACACAUAAUAAAUGUAGAUAUUGUUCACAAAAAAACAAUUUUUAAACUGAAACUGCUAAUAUGAUUGGAGAAUAUCAGAGGUAUCAACUUACAGUAGUUGCACACUCAACUAAUACACCACUGACAAAGGGCUCAAAUUAAUGUGAUUUCAGCACAAACAAAGAGUUUUUAAUGAACAACAUAAUAAUAGAAUUUGUUAGAAUUUGUAAUUAGGCCUCUUUUGGUACCAGAUUUGAACAAAGCAACCCAUCAUUCAAACAAAAAUAGGUACAAAUGAGAUCAAAAACUUAAAAGGGUACAACACAAAGCAAAUAAAAUAUUGUAUUUAUCAAGAUUUGUAAACAAACCUGUAAUCUGUAAUAAGUGACAAAUCCAAUUUUGAAAAUAUGAAGUGUAGGGAAAGUUAAAAUAUGAAGUGUACACUAAUCCAAUUUUGCAAAUUUAAGUGCCAAAUUCAUAUUUUGAAAAUGUGAAGUUUAGGCAAAUCCAAUUUUGGAGGAAGAGUUACCAAAAACUGAAAGUGCAAGAUAGAAAAGCCUCAACGAUGAACCCUCUAUACUGUUUUCGAAGAUUCGUGCUUUGAAAUUUCUUUAUUUAAUAAGAGGAAGACAUUGCCAGAAUCAUAUGAGCCACUUUCAUAUCUAAAAUGAAGAGAAAGGGGAACAUAAAAUGUUUAUUUUAGACCAAGUAGAAGAGACUUUUGCUGAAAAAUCACAACGGAAUAGCAACGAAUGGUGUAAAGAAGCCAAAGCUUAGCAUAUGUAAAAAAUUUGAUACAUCCUUUAAUUGCUUAUAGAAUUCAAAGGACGCAAAUUCAAUUGUAAACACCCUAGUUGUUUUGCUAGAAAUAUAGAGUAUUAUUCACCUAUAAAGAAACUCAGAAUUCAGAAAGCAUUUAAGUUGUUACCUUGUCAUUAAAGGAGAGCCGAUGGCACCCUAAAUCAAAAAGCUUGGACUGGAACGAAAACUAAUUCUGCAAUUGAUUUAAACUUCCCAUACAACAGAGCAGUGAAACUCGUGCACAGCUGACUUCCUAGUAAAAAAUCUAUACGCAAAGGUUGGUUCAAUUGCAUAGCAGUGUUACUCUUGCACAAAUAAAGGAAUGAUUAAUACCAAGUGAGCAUCAAGAUGUGGAGGAUAAUCGUAAGUGUCUGUGUCAAACCAACUGACUAUCAUAUUGUGACAACCAAAAAUCUUGAAUGUAGCAUUUCAUAAACUCAUACAUAAGCAAAAAAAUAAUAUCCCUAGCGAUUUAUUCAUCUACCAGUUAUCUUUACAUACUCCUAAGAAUCACUCACAGGUCAUUCAUAAAAAAAAUUAUAAAUCAGAGAAAAAUAAAAAAUUGGAGCUGAAAGCAGGAAAGUGUCUUCCCCGGAUAUAGGAAGACAGGCCGCAUUGUGCUCACCAAAACUGGCAACUGCAUCAAACGUAGCAGCCAAAGGGGGAAUUAAGCAAACUACAAUCACUAAUAUAUGACAAAAGGGGGACUCAAGCAAACUCCAAUCACAUAUUGAAAGAACCAAAAUCUAUUGAAAGAAGAACCAAAAUCCAUUCAAUUAAACGCAGUUGAGGGAAUUGAGGAAUUGAGGAACUAACGCAGUGAGGGAUGGGAAGAAACACCAAAGAAUGACAGUAUUUAUAGAGAAAUUGAAAUGCAAUACAAUAUAUGAACAGUGGGAUUUAUCAGGAAAGUGAAUGAACCUGCUGCACUUGUACUGAACUGACGUGAUCUAUCAUCAUCUUGGCUUCUGAAUCUGGUCCUUCUGCGUCACCAUAUGAUCAUCCCCAUUCGUAAACAGUGAAAUUUCGUCCUUCUACUUCCACCAUCUUCUCUUCUCCUUCUGAAUCUAACCUAAACCCUGUCUAGGGUGAUGAUGAUUUUCGGUCAUCUUCUCUUCACCUUCUCCUUGCUCUGAACUGCAAUCCUCUUCUCUUCUCCACCUAAUCCUAUCCUAACCCUAUCUACAGUGAGGGAACCCUGCAACGAUGACGACAAUUUCGGACAAAAACACUGUUCUCCUUUAACACCUCCUUCUUCGACAAGAUCAAUCAGAGGCAGAGGCAGAGAAAACGUGGAAGAAAACACUGCUUUCCUCUCUUUGGGUCACCCAAUUCUGUAGAAAAAAGAUGAAUGGUCAAGAUUGAUCGAAGGCAACUCAGGACAAAAAAAAAAUAAAAUGAACGGCCAGGAUGGAGACCUUUCUUAGGAACAGUGUUCCUUCAAGCUCUCUAUUCAAGUUUAGUAGAUUACACAAAACAGAAAAACUGCUGGUUCACUAUCCUCUCUAUGCACAUGAACCUCCUGGUCAUCCCAUGAUCAGUCUAAUAGCCCUUUAUCCUUCAAUAAGUCUGUCAUGAAAUUAGGAUAAAUGCUGAAUCUAUUUGCUUCAAGGAUUGAAAAUAAAUCUUGGCAAUCUGUCUCCCAAAUUCCCUUACGAGAAUAUUCAAAUCCAAUAACUACAAACCAAAUUUAACUGCAAGUCAGCUAACAAAGGCUUCCCGUGCCGAAAUGAAUUCCUGAGCCUACAAACCCUCUUGCCAUGAUUAUUACGGACCGAUGCCCCAAAACCCAUGCUCCUCCUAAUAGGAUCAAACUACAAUUUACAUUGAUUUUGAGACAAUGCAGUGUGUUUUUCAACCUUGUCUAUAAGGUAUACCAUCUGGGUGACUUCUUCCUUUACCAAAGAUCAAUUUUAAUCAGUAAAUUCAUUACUAAUCCAAUUCUUGACAACCUUUGUGUCCAAGAAUCUUCCUAAAAAAUGCUAUUACUCCUCCAAUUCCACAAACCCCACAAAGAUGCCAUAAAUAAGACUGAGUGAGAUCCUCCUCUAACUUACCCAAUCCUAGACAUCAUCAGAUCUAAAAUUUGGCCAGCUAAAAGCCCCAAAUCUAAGCCAGAACUACUUCGAAUGUGAACAGUCUCUAGCACAGUGCAAAAUAUCUUCACAAAUAUGAGAAGUGUUUACAUGGUUAAGAAGGAGAAACAAUGAGAAAGAAAUAAUGGAACUGAAAUGACAGAUGGUUGUGGAAGAAGUAAAAAAUAACCCACAAAAAAUUGUUGGCAUGGCGCUAAUCGUUUGAGCACCAACAUGACACUUAUUCUCAAGGGGUUUUACUUUGGGAGUGAGAAAACAACUCUGAAUAAUCUCAAAAAGGUAACCAUCAGGAUCUACCACAAAUGCAAUUAACUUAUCCUCUAUGCACUUUAUCUCCCACCUGAAGCAACAACAUAAUUAGGAAUACAGGUAGCACAACUUGGUCAUGUUAAGGUAUGAAUCGUUCAAUGUUAUGGUUCUUAUCUUAUCAUAUUCAAUUUGCUCGAGAGUUUUGUAUCAUAACCAUUAUGAGCUUAUUUUGUAAUUUGAAGGCUUAGAUGCAGAAAUACAUCCAGUUAAAAAAGACGGAAUUGAGCAAAUUAAGCAAAAUGAUCCCAAUUCUAAGGUAGUUAAAAAGAAGAGCGUUAAAUUGAAAGCAAGUUGUGCCGGAAUGGAAUACAAUGGAUUACAAAAAUAGUCUCCCCCCUAACUCAUGACCCCAACUUCUCCCAAACCAACUCAACACAACAUUCACAAAAUUAAUGAAAUGAAGCAACAUGCGACUGUGCUGAUUGGUUAGGAACUGAGAUUGAAGAGAAGUUGUUUCGCUGAUAAGGUUGCUGCAUCUUCUUGUUUAAUGGAUAGCGAGGAGCAGAAUCUAACACCAACAGUGCCCCUGAUCUGCCUCAAAUCCUAAAGAGGCCUUGGCAACCUUUGAUAUCUUCGGCUUCACGACCUGGAAUGCGCGCUCACCCCUGCCAUGGAAGCCCUAUCUCCCUCACUCCUCCACCACUGUCAUGUGCAUCAUCGAGCAUUUCUUGAAUGAGAAACAAAGCGAUUGAAAACAAUCGAAAUGUCAUGACAAAACAAAAACUAAAAUUAGAAGAAAGAGAGAAACAACGAAUGAACAAGACCUACAAAGGUUUUACAACUUUCAACAUGCUUUGAAGAAUAUAAAAUUGAAUCUCAGUGCCAAACCAUAGUUUUCAAAGGCAAAAAGGCAGAUGGAACCAACGACUCUAGUUGAAUCUAUGACAAAUAAAUUUGUAUUUCUACUAAAAUAACCAUAGUCAAAUUUUGAAUGUAGUACAAUGAAAUAUUGAAUUACUAAAUUGCCUCUAGGCACUAAAACCUGCUUCUUUAUUUUAAAUAUAUAUNNNNNNNNNNNNNNNNNNNNNNNNNNNNNNNNNNNNNNNNNNNNNNNNNNNNNNNNNNNNNNNNNNNNNNNNNNNNNNNNNNNNNNNNNNNNNNNNNNNNNNNNNNNNNNNNNNNNNNNNNNNNNNNNNNNNNNNNNNNNNNNNNNNNNNNNNNNNNNNNNNNNNNNNNNNNNNNNNNNNNNNNNNNNNNNNNNNNNNNNNNNNNNNNNNNNNNNNNNNNNNNNNNNNNNNNNNNNNNNNNNNNNNNNNNNNNNNNNNNNNNNNNNNNNNNNNNNNNNNNNNNNNNNNNNNNNNNNNNNNNNNNNNNNNNNNNNNNNNNNNNNNNNNNNNNNNNNNNNNNNNNNNNNNNNNNNNNNNNNNNNNNNNNNNNNNNNNNNNNNNNNNNNNNNNNNNNNNNNNNNNNNNNNNNNNNNNNNNNNNNNNNNNNNNNNNNNNNNNNNNNNNNNNNNNNNNNNNNNNNNNNNNNNNNNNNNNNNNNNNNNNNNNNNNNNNNNNNNNNNNNNNNNNNNNNNNNNNNNNNNNNNNNNNNNNNNNNNNNNNNNNNNNNNNNNNNNNNNNNNNNNNNNNNNNNNNNNNNNNNNNNNNNNNNNNNNNNNNNNNNNNNNNNNNNNNNNNNNNNNNNNNNNNNNNNNNNNNNNNNNNNNNNNNNNNNNNNNNNNNNNNNNNNNNNNNNNNNNNNNNNNNNNNNNNNNNNNNNNNNNNNNNNNNNNNNNNNNNNNNNNNNNNNNNNNNNNNNNNNNNNNNNNNNNNNNNNNNNNNNNNNNNNNNNNNNNNNNNNNNNNNNNNNNNNNNNNNNNNNNNNNNNNNNNNNNNNNNNNNNNNNNNNNNNNNNNNNNNNNNNNNNNNNNNNNNNNNNNNNNNNNNNNNNNNNNNNNNNNNNNNNNNNNNNNNNNNNNNNNNNNNNNNNNNNNNNNNNNNNNNNNNNNNNNNNNNNNNNNNNNNNNNNNNNNNNNNNNNNNNNNNNNNNNNNNNNNNNNNNNNNNNNNNNNNNNNNNNNNNNUCAAUCAAGCCCUUUGUUGGAUUAGAUAUCCUAUCCCCAACAAGAAAGAUCUCUUAGCCAGAUUGCAUGAUGCUAAGGUCUUUUCAAAAUUCGACAUGAAAUCUGGAUUCUGGCAAAUCCAAUUGCAAGAGAAGGAUAGGUAUAAAACUGCUUUUACUGUUCCUUUUGGGCAGUAUGAGUGGAACGUUAUGCCUUUUGGGCUAAAGAACGCCCCAUCUGAAUUCCAAAGGAUUAUGAACGAAAUCUUCAAUCCUUAUUCCAAAUUCACUAUUGUCUACAUUGACGAUGUUCUAAUCUUUUCCCAAACUUUAGAUCAACAUUUCAAACAUCUCAAUACGUUCAUCUCUGUAAUCAAAAGGAAUGGCUUGGCUGUAUCCAAGACAAAAGUCAGUUUGUUCUAAACCAAAAUCAGAUUCCUUGGUCACAACAUCCACCAAGGAACCAUCAUUCCUAUCAAUAGAGCCAUCGGAAGCUGAAGUUGCUCUACCACCUUUUGGAGGAGCUCAUUGUCAGAUUCCUUUUUUGCUCGAAGAGUUUGAGCCGAGUGUCUGGAACGGCUACUGAUUUGAAAAGGUUUGAAAAGAGGUUUUUCAAGUUGACAUCCUUUAGGGAUAUCAAGAUUGGAAGAGGAAGGUUCAAUCUUGACCUUUUCUUUUCCUUUCCUGGAAGAGGAAUCCUGCACUUGGGAUUCUCCAAGAAUUUGAAGAUACUUAUUGGUAUAAUUGGAUUGUUCCAUGAGGUCUUUGAUGUCUUUACCAGUGACAUCACCUUCUUCUUUCCUAGUCUUGAAGGGAGAAGCUAGGACAGGUGUAGAUUGAGCUCCUUUAAGAAGGAAAAGAGUUUUAGGUGGCAGGUUAGAAAGGGUUUCUUUUCCAUCCUUAUGCUGCCAUUUAACCAUGUCAAUUUGGAAGGGGUAAGAUUUCCAAUUCUUGUUGGCAUAAUCUUGAAACCAUUCAAAAAAGAAGAUGUUUUGCUGGGUUUUCUCAAGGAACCCAUAGAAUUUUUCUUGGAUCUUCUUUCUCUUUUCACCCUGAUACUUUGCAAAGAACCAUAUUCUUUGCUGAGUCCAUUGGUCAGAGUAAAAGUCUGCUCGGAUACCUUCUUUGUCAAUGACAAAUUCGGAAGUAAUUGCUCCAAUGAAAUCAGAAGUCUCUCCAGGGGUUUCUAGAGAAGAAUACGUUGGAGAUAAGGUGGAUUGAUGAUCUUCAUUACUCUUGUCAUAGGUAGUUUUGACAGGAGUAGUAUUGACAUAUCCAGCUAAAUGGAUAGUAGAUCCGUCAUGAGAGAGGGAAGGUCGAGCACUAGACUCAGGCUGGUUCCUUCUAGUCAUAGAAAAAGAUCUUCUAGACAUGGCGGAUUGGAAAUCAUUUGAGGAUGUCCUAAUAGAUCUAGGGAUAGAGAAGGAAUUUCUCCUAUCAAAGAUGAGAUCUACUUGGCCAGAUUGGUGUUGGAUGAUUUCACGAAACUCAAGAGUUUCAACAGGUUGGGCUGGAGUAGCCUUUUCCAAAGACCAUUUCUCUGGAAGGGUGAUAUCACUCCAUUGGAUGGUUUUGGGAACAAUAACGUUAGCCUUAUCAUAAUCUGUAAGGAAAAGAGUUGUUUCUCCAGAUUUCUCACAAUUGGUUCGCAAGAAAUAAGAUUUGAUAGAGUUCAUUACCUUGUAUUGAACCCUGUAGAUUAAGGAGAUGGGAAUGGAAUCCUCCUUCAUAUCAAGGCCGUGAAGCUUGAUAUUUAGGAAGAGGACAUCAAGGAUGUUUUUAUCUUCCAGACUAACAGUUAGAUCUGGGAAGCAAUUGAAAAAGAUUGGUCCAUUACAGCGAUGUCAAGAGAUUUCCUGGUUAGGGGUUUAAGACCAACUUGAACACUACCUAUAUGAAGAUAGUUUAGUUCAAAGUGUACUACCAGUCCAGAUCCCGACCAAAGUGCUUAAUUAUAUAAGAACAGAACAGAGAAAUAACUUAUAUAUAUAUAUUUAGCAUGUUCCUACUUCCCCAUCAGGCUCUGAUACCAAGAGGGGGUCGAAAGCAGAAGGAGGGGGAUGAGAAGAGGAUUAAGAGAAGUAGGACGCCACCACGGAGGGGCUUUUUGCAGAAAAUUAAAUUGCAGAAAUUAAAAACAGGAAUUAAAACAGGAGGCUCAGCCUUCCAUAAACAGAAAAAUAAAACUUGAACAAGAUGAAUUAAAACAGGAGGCUCAGCCUUCCAUAAACAGAAAAAUAAAACUUGAACAAGAUAUAUAUUACAUAAACAUAGAUUACAAAACUGAAACUUAAAACUGAAAAACUGAAACUUAAAAACUGAAAAGAUUGAAAGAAAGGAAAACUGAAGGAGAACUUACAGAAGGAAUUCUCUCAGUGUUUCUCUCUCUAAACUCUCUAUCUAAGCUCUACCAAACUCUGAUUAACAAGGUUCAGAAUGAGCCUAUUUAAAGAAAAGAUUGGACACUGUUUGAAUAGUUCCGGUUGAAUAGUUCCGGUAGACGGUACUAUUUGACUGGCACUAUUUGCUACAGUAAAAAGUCAAUUUUACUGUUGCUACAGUACAAAAAUUGAAUUAUUACAGAAUAAAAUGAUUACAAGACGACAAACUUAGCAGAAGUCACCAUCAUCUAAUUCUGUGGUUUGGACAAAAUCUGACGACCCAAGAGAGGAUGGCUCGGAGACUUUGUGUUGAGGGGCCUUUGAAGAUGAGGCCUGCUCAAUUGGCUCCUUCAAUAAUUGAAGAGCAGAUUGAAGAUUUCUUAGCAAGUCUUCUUCUGUUGAAGCUCCUGCAAGGGCCGCUGUGAUGUGGCCCUUUUGAUUUAGCAAGAGGCUGGUUUGCGGACUUGCAUGCUUGAGAUAUUUCUGAUUGGUUUUGAACCAUUGGCUCACAUUUUCUUUGUGGGCUUUUGUCGCAUCAAAGAUUUUCCACCAUUUGAUGAGAGCCUGUUUGUAAAGGAUUGGUUGGGUUUUGGUCUUAAGACCAUAACGCCAAGAGAACACCCAAGAGAGGGAAAAGAUUGUAAAAAAGUUUAAACAAUCUGGAUAAUUGUUCAACUCUUUGUUCCAGUGUUUAAUGAAGUGAUUGUAUCCCUCAAGAACUUCAGAGGGGAAAAUUUCAGCUGUAGGUCCAAAGAAGCUCCACCAUGAAUGAAACCAAUUUGGAAAAGAAUAUUUGUUGGUCCAUUUAAAAUAAAUGAGCCAAGAAUGUUUGAAACUUUUGUUUUGCAGACCAAGGAUUAUAUUAUCCCAAGCCCUGAUAUAGUCCCAAUAAUUAAAACCAACUGGGUCGAAAUUCUGGGAGAACUUUUUGUAACUGUUUGGAUUUGGUCCAAAGUCCUUGGGACGAAGGACACGGAGGAUUUGUAGUGUAGAAUGGGUAAUUAGGGAAUUAUCAUUUUUAUCCCUAAAAUGUUUGAUUUCCACACUGUUUGUGUCAACCAAAAUAAACUCAUAGAAUCUUUGGUUUUUGAUUGGGUGAGUGGGAUCAAGAUGACUUGGGAAGAACUUGGUACCAAUUUUAUUGGCCAGGUUAACUCCUCCAGAAUUGUCCCACCAUUCUGGUUCGAUGAAGGUUUGGAAUUUCAUAUCUGCUUUAGCCAAGUAACCUGAAUUUGGGCUAGGUCGGGCAACUGGGCUAGGUUGGGCAACAACAACAGGUUUUUUCCCAUCAUAAGUUGCUAAGCUUCUGGUUCUAUCAAUAAAAGCUUGGAGGGAUUGAAUUUCUUGGUCAUCAUCUUUGUCGGCGAUGCUGGCCCAAGAUUUAUUUGGAAGUUUGGUGAGGCCUUGAGGUAUUUCAUCUAAGCCUGCUUGUUUGAAGGCAAGGAGUGUUGGGAUGGAUAAAGCAUAAUCUGCUUUAGUUUGUUUUGGUUGGGAAGAUUGGGUCUGAGCAGUGGGCUCAAUUUUUUGGACAGUGGGUCCAGAUUGGUGAGCAGUGGGCUCAGAUAAGAUUAAAGGAUCAGAGAUUACAAUACCUUUAUUCCUUUCUCUGCUUUUGUCUCUUCCUCGUGAGGAGGAGGAGGAGGGGCCUCUGGAGGCCAUGUUAGGUUCUUCCCUGCAAAUAUUCACGAGUAAGAAAAUCAGGGAGAGAAUUGUUAGAUCCUUUUAUAUAUUCAAUAUCGAAGUCAAAAACGCUUAAAAUAGCUUGCCAUCUGGCAAAGAUAUGUUUUGAAGCUAAGUUUUUGACAUCUUUUUGUAAGAUUUCUUUCGCAGAUUUGCAGUCUACACGGACUAAGAAUUUUUGAUUAAUCAAAUCAGAUUGAAAUUUUGAAAUAGAUAAAACGAUUGCUAAAACUUCUUUUUUGACAGUAGAAUAAUUCUGUUGAGCAGGAUUCCAAUGUUUUGAAGUAAAAGCAAUAAUUUGUUCCUUGUCAAAAACCUUUUAUUUCAAAAUACCACCAAAGCCAAUAUCAGAGGCAUCAGUUUCAAUAAUUUUGAAAGCUUGAGGAUUAGGGAGAUAAAGACAAGGGAGAUUCUUGACACGAAGUUUGAUUUGUUUGACCACAUUGGUAUGAAUAUCGGACCAAGGUGGAGGAUCCUUCUUGAGUCUAUCAUGAAGGGGUUUGAUUAUGGUACUGAGUUGAGGACAGAAGUCCGCAACAUAAUUGAGACAACCCAGGAAUCUUUGUAGUUGGGUUUUGUCAAUGAUUUGAUCAGGGAAUUUAUCCGUGAACUCGAUGGCUCUAUUGAUAGGAAUGAUGGUUCCUUGGUGGAUGUUGUGACCAAGAAAUCUGAUUUUGGUUUGGAACAAACUGACCUUUGUCUUGGAUACAGCCAAGCCAUUCCUUUUGAUUACAGAGAUGAACGUAUUGAGAUGUUUGAAAUGUUGAUCUAAAGUUUGGGAAAAGAUUAGAACAUCGUCAAUGUAGACAAUAGUGAAUUUGGAAUAAGGAUUGAAGAUUUCGUUCAUAGAAUUCAGAUGGGGCGUUCUUUAGCCCAAAAGGCAUAACGUUCCACUCAUACUGCCCAAAAGGAACAGUAAAAGCAGUUUUAUACCUAUCCUUCUCUUGCAAUUGGAUUUGCCAGAAUCCAGAUUUCAUGUCGAAUUUUGAAAAGACCUUAGCAUCAUGCAGUCUGGCUAAGAGAUCUUUCUUGUUGGGGAUAGGAUAUCUAAUCCAACAAAGGGCUUGAUUGAGAGGUUUGUAGUUAAUAACCAGCCUAGGGGUUCCCCGUUCUAUCUCAGCUUGUUUGUUGACAUAGAAGGCUGCACAGGACCAAGGGCUCUUACUCCUGCGAAUAAGUUUCUUUUCAAGGAGAUCAUUGAUUUCCUUUUGGCAGAAAUGAAGAAGUUCUUCAUUCAUUUGAAUAGGCCUAGCCUUGGUUGGAAUCUGUUUGUCUGAAAAAUCUUUUUCAUAAGGAAGUUCCACCAUAUGGCUCCUUCUUUCCCAAAAAGCGUUGGGUAGAUCAGAACAGAUGCUGGAUUGAAUAUUUUCCAAAAUAUUCUCAAUCCUUGAUUUAACAGAAGGUUGUUGCAAUUGAUCCUCAAUGGUUCUGUAAGAGAUUUCUUCCCUGAAGAAGUUGAUCUGCUUCUCCUUGUAGGAUAUGACGUUCAAAGUCUUAUCUAUGGGAGGUUCAGAGAAUUUGAACAAGAUAGGCUGUCCAAGAUGCUGAACAGUGAUGCCGUUUUCGUCAGUAUUAUAGGGGAAGAGCUUCUUAAUGAAAGGGGUCCCUAUAAUGAUUUUUUGACUCAAAUUUCUGACUAACAGAAAUGGAGUUUCGAUUUCAAGACUACCAUUUUUGAUGAUAGCUGAGGGGAUUUUAUACUUGAUCUUUAGUCUAGAUCCUUCAGCAGCGCUGAGCUUCUCAGUAGUUUUCUCAAAAUAUCUGGUGGGAAUGAGUCCCUCCGAGAUACAACUGGAAUCUGCCCCUGUGUCAAAGAGAGCAGGGAUUUCGAGAAUAAAAUCUCCUAUGAGGAUUUUGACAUGGAUGAAGAAUUUCUGAAUGGUGACCUGGUUAAUAUUCUCCAGAAAGUCUUCGCAAUUGUUGUUAGGAGCAGGAUUGGAAUCAGGUACAGAAGAAUCAUCUUCCUCAUAAUUUCUAGUCAGUUUUUCUAAGAUAAGCUGCUGACUAUUUUGGAUUUGUUUGAGACUUUUAACCUCAGUCUUGAGGGAAUUGACUUCAGAUUGAAGGUCUUGAAUAGUGACGGGUUUGACCGUAGAUUUCUCAAGACGCUUGAAAGUAUCUCUAAGAUUGAAUUUAUUGGUGGUUAUAGGACUUUUGGGAGGCCUAUCUUCAAGAGUAGAUCUGAGGCGUUCCAAAUAGAUUUUCUUUUCCUCAGGAUCAGGGAUAGAAUUAAUGGCCCUGAAGAGAAGAUCUUGUUCAUUGGUCAAAGUGUUGAUGGACAAGGUAUUGACGGAAGAUGAUGAUUGAGAAUCAUCAUUCUGAAUUUGAUUUAGGUCUUCAGAGACCUCAGAAUCCGAAGGAUUAGAUUCUUCUUCAUCAGAAGUUUGAAUGAGGAGAUUGUUGAUCUUGUCCUCGAUCUCAGGUUCAAGAUGAAGCUCAGAGAUUCUCCUUUUGAGUCUGCAAUACCUGCUAAUAUGGCCCGGCUUGCCGCAGUUGUAGCAGGUAACAUCUUUUCCUUGAGAGGGUCUAGUCUCAGGAGGGUUCUUUGGAAUUUGCGAAGAUUGGGGUUUUGAUCUAGGCUUGGGUUUCCUAUGAUCAUUCCUGCUAGAUCUCUUUCUCCAUUGUUGUUUGGGAGGAGGAUCUUGCUUUCUGGGUUUAGGUUUCUUGGGACAACCUUGAAUUCCGAAUUGUUCGCAGAAAGUACCCAAAUCCCUGCGAUUCUGAGACUUCUCCUUAGUGAGUUGCUGUUGGAUUUUGUCAUCCUGACAGAUUUUGAGAGCAACUCUUUGAAUGAUAGCUAUGAGCUGUCCAUAACUAAGGGUGUGAUAUGGGAUUUCUCCCCCCGGAUUUUGGCUUCUAAGUUUCUCACGAACUUUGUCGCCAAAAGAUUUAGGAAGACCGGCCAGGAAUUUCUCUUUCCAGAAGGCUUGUUGGCUGUCUUCACGGGUGUAAACCCUGGUCAGGAAGGUAUCCUUAUACCAUCUGAAAUCACCCAAAGAUUUGCACUUCAGAUUGGACAAAAGAUCACCAGAUCUGUCCUUGAUGAGGGAAGGAUCUCCAACAAAAUGUUGGGCUAUGGUAAAGAUUAAGGAGUUGACAGCAUCAGAGAUGAAUUUGCCAUCUUCCAUGAUAGGAUUACCUUCUUCAUCAGUCUUGACAGCAGUCAAGAUCUGAUCCUUUUCGUCUUGAGUGAGAUAAUUAUCCCACCAACCUUUGAGCUGGCCACAGAAACCAGCAACCAAAACUUCAACUAUAAGAGAUUCAGGACAAUUGUUGGCGGUAACAUAGGCAGUGGCUACCAUAGUCAUAUUUUGGAGGAUCUUGGUGAUACCAUACUCAUUUUCACCAUCAAUGUUCCAUUCAUAGACAUUGUUGGCACUGAAGCUUUUGAAGUUUGAAGACUCUUCUAAAAGAAGAUCAGGAGCAGUAGCUUUAGGAUAAUAGAGCUUGGUUUCUUUUCUCCACUGAUUCUUAGAAUUGUGAAUGACAGUGUUGAUAGGAACACUUUUGACAGUUUGAUCAUCAGAUUGAAUAUCAGAAUCAGACUCAACCUUACCAUCUUCAAUAUUGUUUAAAGAAGUAGAGGUAUUACGAGUAGAAGUUCGGCGGAUUAAAGUCUCUUUAGGAGGAGCAGGAGCCGAAACAGUAGGAUCGGAAAUAGUUUCAGAAGUUGGUUCCGGGGUUGGUGUUGGCGUUUCCGGGACAACUUGUUUGAGAAGCUGAAGUUGCUCAACCACCUUUUGGAGGAGCUCAUUGUCAGAUUCCUUUUUAGCCCGAAGAGUUUGAGCCGAGUGUCUGGAACGGCUACUGAUUUGAAAAGGUUUGAAAAGAGGUUUCUCAAGUUGACAUCCUUUAGGGAUAUCAAGAUUAGAAGAGGAAGGUUCGAUCUUGACCUUUUCUUUAUUCCUGGAAGAGGAAUCCUGCGAUUGGGAUUCUCCAAGAAUUUGAAGAUACUUAUUGGUAUAGUUGGAUUGUUCCAUAAGGUCUUUGAUGUCUUUACCAGUGACAUCACCUUCUUCUUUCCUAGUCUUGAAGGGAGAAGCUAGGACAGGUGUAGAUUGGGCUCCUUUAAGAAGAAAAGGAGUUUUAGGAGGUAGAUUUGAAAGGGUUUCUUUUCCAUCCUUAUGCUGCCAUUUAAUCAUGCCAACUUGGAAGGGGUAAGAUUUCCUAUUCUUAUUGGCAUAAUCUUGAAACCAUUCAAAAAAGAAGAUGUUUUGCUGGGUUUUCUCAAGGAACCCAUAGAAUUUUUCUUGGAUCUUCUUUCUCUUUUCACCCUGAUACUUUGCCAAGAACCAUUUUCUUUGCUGAGUCCAUUGGUCAGAGUAAAAGUCUGCACGGAUACCUUCUUUGUCAAUGACAAAUUCGGAAGUAAUUGCUCCAAUGAAAUCAGAAGUCUCUCCAGGGGUUUCUAGAGAAGAAUACGUUGGAGAUAAGGUGGAUUGAUGAUCUUCAUUACUCUUGUCAUAGGUAGUUUUGACAGGAGUAGUAUUGACAUAUCCAGCUAAAUGGAUAGUAGAUCCGUCAUGAGAGAGGGAGGGUCGAGCACUAGACUCAGGCUGGUUCCUUCUAGUCAUAGAAAAAGAUCUUCUAGACAUGGCGGAUUGGAAAUCAUUUGAGGAUGUCCUAAUAGAUCUAGGGAUAGAGAAGGAAUUUCUCCUAUCAAAGAUGAGAUCUACUUGGCCAGAUUGGUGUUGGAUGAUUUCACGAAACUCAGGAGUUUCAACAGGUUGGGCUGGAGUAGCCUUUUCCAAAGACCAUUUUUCUGGAAGGGUGAUAUCACUCCAUUGGAUGGUUUUGGGCACAAUAACAUUGGCCUUAUCAUAAUCUGUGAGGAAGAGGGUAGUUUCUCCAGAUUUCUCACAAUUGGUUCGCAAGAAAUAAGAUUUGAUAGAGUUCAUUACCUUGUAUUGAACCCUGUAGAUCAAAGAGAUUGGAAUGGAAUCUUCUUUCAUAUCAAGGCCGUGAAGCUUGAUAUUUAGGAAGAGGACAUCAAGGAUGUUUUUAUCUUCCAGACUAACAGUUAGAUCUGGGAAGCAAUUGAAAAAGAUUGGUCCAUUACUCAGGCUGGUUUCAACCGUUCCUAAGAGGGAGUCAUGGAAUUGAUUAUGUCUAACAUCCCUAAGACAAAGGAGUACAGCGAUGUCAAGAGAUUUCCUGGUUAGGGGUUUAAGACCAACUUGAACACUACCUAUAUGAAGAUAGUUGAAGUUCUUGCUGAUAUGUUCUUUGAUGCUUUUCUCGGAAAGCAGAUGGAUUUCUUCAUCAUCAGAUCUGAGCUUAUAGGUUUGCUCAACGGUUUUGAUAAUGAAAUCUGAUCGUUUGAAAAAGGAUCCGUUUGGUUUGUAGAUCUCAGCAUGAGAGAUUUUUGGAAUUUCCCAGUUGUCAAGAUCUUGAUUGAUAUCUUCAAAAUGAAUUUCUUCUUUGAAGACAGAUUUGGAUAAUUGAUUGGAUUGAUGAGGAUGAUCGAUAGAAGAAGAAGAGGGUUGGGAAGAUCUGAAAGAAAGCUUAGAAGAGAAAGAGCGAAGCAUCAAGAAAGAUAGAUCUUCCUCACCCGUAAGUAUCAUCGCCAUCACCUGGUUCUAUAGAAACAGAUAAAUAAAUUAGAAAUAUAAGUUGGGUUCUGCGUUGUUCUUAAUAGUUGAGCAGUAUAGAUCUGGAUCAGACUUAAGCCACCACAAAAAGAAACUAAACAAGGACAUUAAAAAUAUUCAGAACUUAAUAACAUGUCUGUAGUAUGGCCAAUAUAGACUUACUGCCACACAGGGACUUACUGCCUUCAACGCCUCCGCUGCAGAGAUGAUCAUAAGUCUGAAUAGUAAUAAUCCUAGAAGGUUUUCAAAAGAGCUUUCAUUUUAGUUUAGUUCAAAGUGUACUACCAGUCCAGAUCCCGACCAUAGUGCUUAAUUAUAUAAGAACAGAACAGAGAAAUAACUUAUAUCUAACAUAUUUAGCAUGUUCCUACUUCCCCUAUAUAUAUAUAUAUAUAUAUAUAUAUAUAUAUAUAUAUAUAUAUAGAUUUCACCCACUAACAUCAGGGAGCGAAAGCAUAGACUCUGUAUACAAGGGCACUGAUGAAUCGACAAGACCAAACUGGUUGAAAUUCUCUAGUUGAUCUCCUUGUAGUCCUUCGUCACUAUACUUUGUGAGAUUUUCUCCACAUUCUAUAACAAGAUCACCACCUUUUGUAGAGCAUAAUGGAAAAAGGGGCUUCGAAGAUAGAACAAAAGUCUUGGUCCAAGAUGAUUGUACUUUGUAUUUCUUCAUAACCCAUAUUUCAAUUGUAUCUCCCUGGAAAGCCGUUAGACUAAAAAAUCUUCCAUGCACCCACAAAAUAUAAAACCCAAAACCCUGGGGAAAUAGAUCAACAGGCUGAGGCUGGGGUAUCUCUAAAAGUCUCUUUUCCAUUAAAUCAAAGGCAAUGAUAAAAUGCGUCACACGACCAGCCACGAAGUUCUGAGCCACCCAGUGAAUGGCCUCGUUGAAGAGCAACCCAACACUAUGAUCUGGAACAGUGGUAAAGGUAGGUAAAUCAGCACCCUUAGUAGAGGCCAAGGAAGAAGGCAAAUCAACACUCUCAGUAUAUUUCCAAAUAUUAGCUCUCAAUGAGAAAAACUGCACAUCUGCAAAAUUAGUAGAUGAGCCUGGUUUUACACCAGGGACUCGAACCACGAGGUAGUCAUCUUUUGAUGAAUCGUAACCAAAUCCAUAUUCAUAUGGAUACAUAUGAUCAUAUUCAUAAGCAUUGGCGUCAACAGGUAAUGGUUUGUGGACAUGUGUGGAUGGAUUCCAUAUAGAGAGACUUCUACCUCGAUCAUAGCCAAUUAGCAGAAAGCCUCUACACGAACCUACAAUAUAGGGAACAGUAUAUGGAAAGUCAUAAUCUAUUAGUUCAGAAAUACGAUCAGGGUGAAGUGAUUCCUCCAAGUCCAUGGUUCGAAUGCCAUGAUUGGAACGGAUCAAGAGUCUAGGAGCAGCACGUUCAAAAUGUGAUGUUGCAAAGUGGGGAUUGGAUAUGAGAGACCGCCAGAACUUGCACACAGCCUUGAAGCGUACAAGAGACUUCACCGGCAACCUCAACAGGAUUUCAGUAAUCAAAUCUUCACCCAUUUGCAAAGAAUUCUGGGUUUCAAUCUGAAUAUAUAAUAAGCAAAAUCACAAAAUCAAAAGCAAAUACUUGUGGCCGGGUUUCAAUCAGAAUACAUAAUAAGCAAAUACAGAAAAUGAAAAGAUUCAGAAGCAAGUUUUAGGUUUACAAGAUUCAUUCGAUUUACCUCCAUGUGAGCCAGACGCGGCUGCCGGCGGGCCAGGGCAAACGGCGACGGAAGCAGGGUUGGAGGGAAGCGAGUCUCUGAGCACGAGCAAAUAUAGGGUUUUGGAAAGCAUUGGAAGCGUGCGUUACAUUUAAGCAAAAAUAUCACGUCAAAUCUGCCAAGACUUUUCCAUUUUUGGUCUUUUGAUAGAUUGGCUCUUUAACUUACAUUUGGGGAUUGGAUUUGGAACCAAUCUAUUAGAUUAGAUUUUAGAUUAGAUUUACCACCCCAUUUUAAAGUAGGGAAAUACGGAAAUGUCUCUGCGCGAUUAACUUCGACAUAUCAAGUAUUAAACAGAACACUAGACUCAAACCUUUCACUUUCAUAUUAGUACUUUGGAAUUUAAAGUUCCAAAACAUAUUAAUAUUAAAAACAUAACAGGAGACUCAAACAUUUCACUUUCAUAUUAGUACUUUUGAACUUAAAGUUCCGAAGGGUAAUUCUGACAUUUUAAAAAAAAAAACUUGGGGUGCUAGAUCUAGUAGUACCUGAAAUGCCAAAUCUAACUCCUCUUGCAUUUGAAUAGUUCUAAUGACAAUGGUCUUUAAAAAAAAUGACAAUGGUAUUUAUUUUGUUUUUCUUUUCAUAAAAAAAUCAAUUUGAAAUACUGACAUUGCUUCAUUGAUUUGUACAAAACACAUUAAAACCAUAAUUUUAUUUAAUCAAAAUGUUGCUAUUUUAUUAACUCUGUUUGAGAAGAUCCAUGAUUUAUAUGUUCAUAAGCAAUCUACUCUCAAAGAAUUAAUGGUAAUCAACUCUUUUUUUUAAUUAUUGAGAUGGAACGAAAUAUUGUCUUGUCACAAAGUUUGCAUUGCUGCAACUUAUUUAAAACCUCAAAAGCAAAAUAUAAAACAACAAUGCGACACAGAGAUAAGUUAUCACCAUCAAUAUUGAUUUCUCAAUACAAUGUUGUGAUCUAUCUCACUACUCUCGACAUUGAUUUACACCUCCACCAUUACCCGCAUACAAAAAGUUAUCACCCCAAUAAGCAUCCUUAGUAUCUUUAAUGGAGUUGCUUAAUUCAUUUGCAGCACUUAAGCAACGUUGUUUAUUUUGGAGCAACGUCACGUGACAGUCUGAUUGCUUAAAUUUAAGCAACAGUUGCUGGUUCUCUUUCUUUUUGUUUUCUGACUAAAAAAUUAUAUUUUUUCUCUCAUGCAUUAACUUAAAUAGUCUCAUGACCUUGAAAUAAUAUAAAUAUAUGAGGUAUAGUGUGACCUAGGGAUGACAAUGGGUCUCGAACCCAUAGGGUACCCGCAAAAAAUACCCAUCAUGGAUAGGGUAAAAACCCGCUAGAUGGGUAUGAGGUUGAUUAUGGGUAAUUACCCGCAAAAGUAGUGGUAUGAGUGCGGGUAUGGGUACUAUAGUACCCAACCCGCCCCAUACCCGCACGCACAUAAAUACUCUGUAGAUCCCUGAAAUUGUCUGGCGUAUGAAAAUAAGUCCCUGAAUUUUUUUUUUCUGAUUCCGAAUCCCUAGAAAAUGUUUUUUAAUCAGAAUAAGUCCGUACUCGUGUUUUCAGCCUAUGUGACACAAUUUUUACUGAGUCAUUUAUUCCACGUGGUUAUUCUAUUUUUUUUUAAAUACACAUGGAUUAAAAAAAAUUAAACAUUUAAAUUUAAAAUUAAAAUCUUUUAGGGAUUUAUGGUUAAUUAGCUUAAUAAGAUUUUAAUUUUAAAUUUAUACAUUUAAAUUUUAAAUUUAAAUCUUUUUUGGGAUUUAGGGUUAAUUAGGUUAAUAAGAUUUUAAUUUUAAAUUUAAAUGUUUAAUUUUAUUUUUUAAUCCAUGUGUAUUUAAAAAAAUAUAGAAAAGCCACAUGGAAUAAAUGACUCAGCAAAAAUUGAGCCACAUAGACUGGAAACACGAGUAGGGACUUAUUCUGAUUAAAAAAAAAUCCAGGGAUUAGGAAUCGGAAAAAAAAUUUCAAGGACUUAUUUUCGUACGGCAGACAAUUUCAGGGACCUCCAGAGUAUUUAAACCUUAUUAUUAUUAUUAUUAUUUUGAAAGUAAAAGAAAAUAUUGCCAGGGGCUAAAUAGACUAUAUCAGUCAUACAGAGCGUUUAGAGCACUCACUUCUCUUUCGUUUUAUUUUAUUUCAGUUAGAGGAAGGAGCCGUAGUUGGAGAGAAUUCUGCUUGGGUUGCUUAAAUCUUAUAUUGCAGUUUGGACCUACCAGAAUAGUGUUUAAGCAACUAAACUAGCAACCAUGCAUUGUAGAUGGAGAUGCUCAUAGGCAGAGGUACUUUUGGAGAGUUUAAAAAUCACGAAAUGUAUGUACUAUACACAGAUAUUCAAGGAGUUCCACUUUAACUCUUUGUAUAUAUGGUAUAAUUCGUACCUGCAGAAAUCCUAAAAUUAUAAAUGGAAGUCUCUAACUCCGACACCACACCUUGUUCUUUUGAGGGGGUGGGAAAUGGUUUGAAUGCUUUGAAAACCUUAGCCAGCUAAAAUAACCUCUAGACUCCAAACCUAUAUAUCUCACCUCACAAAUCCACACACUCUCAUGGCAUCCUAGUUUUGACAUGAGCUCUAGCCCUUUACAUUCUUUCAUACAAUAUGGGCUUAUAUUAAUCUCUACUUUCUCUCUUUGUCCUUUAAAAGUUAAUACAUAUAUUUCACUAGAUUCAGCAUAUGUUAGGCACAUUGCUCCAGAAAUUUCCUAGAGUCCAAGCAAAUUCUUGACCUGUGGGGCUAGAAGAUGAAGCAUCUUGUUGAGUUUCAAGUCCUAAUGACUGUCUUUCUCCAUUGCGGUACCAUCCAGGCACAGGCACUUCUGAUGGGAAAUUGUUGAGAAGGCUGAAUAAGUCAUCAUCCAUGGAAUUCAAUUCCUCCAUUGAAUCUUCAUAAAUUAGCUUCUUCCCUGUGCAAAUACACAGUUUCAAUCAACUUUAGUGAAAUAGUCAUAUAUAUAAUAUAUACAAGCAUGCAAAAUCAUAUUAUUUAUAGUAUGUUUGGAUCAUCUUCUCUUUCCCUAAAAUCAAUUCUAACAUCUAAAAGCUACUCACAUAACCUUCUUCUCAGAAUUGAUUUUGACUCCAAAAUCAAUUAUAGAAUUUCCAAACAUGCACUUAUAAAAGAAAAAUUAUUAGUUUCUCCCUGUCUCACCUGUUAAAAAUUGAGAAGAGCUCACAUCAUUCCUCUGUUUCUUAUUAGUGAAGUUACCACUAUUUUCCAUAGUUGUCUCCACCAGCAUUGUGCCAUCCUCUUGAGUCAUGCUUUUCCUCUUAUUACAAGAUAAAUUUUUCCCUGCUGCAGUUGAAUCCUCACUCAUUAACUUGUCAUUAUGAGAAAGACUUUGAGCCUCCACCACUUGAGCAUCUUCAUAGUAGCCAUUAGCCACACCACUUGAAGCUCCCAUCAAGCCAUAAACACCACUAUUGUGGGAUGAUGUAGGGGUGGUGGAGCCAUCGUGUGCUGAUUGGCUCGAAGAAAGUGAGUCUUGUUGUUGAGAUCUUGCCAUGGAAUUACACUGGUUGAAAGAAUAGCCAUGUGAAGAAACAGUGGAUGGUGGCAGAACCAUUCCAAAUUUGUCAUUGGGAGACUUGAACUGAGGGUGUGAAUUGAUUAAAGAAGAAGAAUUAGGCACGUUUUGUUGGGGGUUUGUGGUGGAGGAGUGGCUUAGUGUAUUAAGUUCUUGAGGAUAUGAGGAAGAUAAAAAUGUAGAAAAUGAUAGGGAUGAUGGGGAGUGAGGUUGUGAUCUAAAGUUCUGUUUAUGCUUUUGUUGUUCUAGAUAGUAUGUGUUCUUAGCUUCUUGUAGGAAUACUUCUGGAGGAUAAAGAGGUAAACCAGCUCUUUGGCGCCUUUUCAUUCUGGUAUUCCAAAAGUUCUUUAUUUCAUUGUCUGUUCUCCCAGGUAACUGUAACCAUAGAGACACAAGCCAUUAAUUACCGAUAGUGUGAAGCUAGAAAGUUCAAGCAAUAUAGAAGUAAAAUCAUGCAAUGACUAGAUGUGAUGAAGAAGUGGAAAAGAGGAAACAACAGAAAUAAUUUAAACUAGUUUUUCAGCCAUAAAAAGAACAGCUUUGAAGAUGGUAGGAUGAUGUGAUAAGAUACAAAUGAAAUAAACAAGGUAAUUUUAUAAGAUAGAAACGGUCAUAUAUAAAUGAAAACUAAAAAAAAGCUUACUAAUAUCUAAAUGAUAGAUACAUACAUAUAUCACAUCAUGAGGACGGAUUUUACAUUAAAGUGGAUACAUAUUUUGGGUGAGCCCAAGGUAUUUAGCGCUGACCGCUGAUAGGGUGCUCACACAAAGUGGUAAAUGACUGACUAUGAAAUGUGUUUCAUUCCCAUGAAUGAUUAUUGAACUCUCAACCUCAUGGUUAAGGGACGAGGUGUGAUUAAAAUAAUGUCCAUCUCUAAUGUUCUAUGACUUCUAUCCAAUCCUAAUUAAUUAAUAGUGUAUCAUAUAUUAAUAUUAUGAUGAAUGCUAGACAAUCCCCUUUCUAAUUUCUGCCAUGUUUAUCAACACAUUCAGCUUUGUGAACGAGUUGCCUGUGCUGACUUAAGCACUAGUUAAAUCAAAAGCCAAAUCUGAUAAAAAUAAAUAGCAAAAAGUUUAUAUAUAUGCAAGAAAUAUCUAAAACUUCACAUUGAUAUUUACAUCCAAACCCCAAAUGAUUAGGAGUCCUUCAACAAACUUAAACCAUGAACAGAUCAAACCACAAUGUCAUGAAUAAAAAACUGUAAUAAUCUUAUAUGAAUGAUUACACAUAGACAUACACAUUUCAUUAAACACCCUUCGGACAUACGACUUAACGUACCUGUGCGGCCAUUUGAGCCCAUUUGCUUCCUAGCUUGGCAUGAAGGAGGAUGAUGAUUUGUUCUUCCUCUUUAGAAAAUGCACCCUUCUUCAGAUUAGGUCUUAAAUGAUUGGCCCAUCUCAACCUGCAACUUUUCCCACACCUUGACAACCCUGAAUUCUUUUGCACAGAGUUCCAAUUCCCCUCACCAUACUUCAUCACAUACUCUCUUAACAUGGCAUCUUCGGCUUGCGUCCAAGGCCCUUUCUUCAUUCCCUCACCACCCUCUUCCUUUGAUGCACCUUCAUUGCCAUUAUCCUUGUUAUGAUUUUUGUGAACCAUUCUUGGCAUUGUGAAUAUUAUAACUAGCACCAACUCAAAAUGUUGUUAACUUUCAGAGAUGAGUUAGAUGAUUUCUCCUCUCUCGAGAUGAGAGAAAAUGUGGAAAAGAGAGGAGAGGCAAAAUAAAAAAGUGAAAAAAAUACAAGAGUGAUAGAAAGGAACGGAAAAUCCCAGCUUGUUUUGUCCUCUCUUUGCCGUGUUUUGGUUUUGAACAAUGGUGGAGUUUAUGUGAAGAAAUCAACUCUGCAAAGAAGAAGAGAAAUUUGGGUUUGAGAGAAAGUGUUCUUGAUCCAAAGAUUUGGAGGGGUUCUUUGUUUUGGUGUUUGGAGUGAGAGAGGGAACAGCGAAUGUGAGGAAGAGCUUCCAUUUCGGUCCGAUUUGCAUGCCAAGUGCUUUGCCACGCCACGCGUUUCUUUUUCAUCUACCAUCAAUCUCUCCCUCGUAGACUUCAUUUUUCACGUACAAAUCAUAAUUCCUACACCUUCUAGAAUUGCAUCAUUUUUUUGGUACAUGAAUAGCAUUUUGCAAUUUUAUUCAAAUUAAAUAUAUGAAUAAAAUUAUGUUUCAAACUAUGUUUCCCUCAUUUGGUCCUAGUUCAAGUGGUAAGAGUUUAUAGAUUAGGAAGGGAGGGGUCCAGGGAUCAACACUGGAGGACUGUAAUUUAUUUUUUGAUCUAAAAAAAAUCACCCCCAUACAUAUAAAAAUUUUAAAGGUAAUUUACUAUUGGGUCAGAUGGUAAAGAUAGACCACUAUCCCUCAAAAAAUUGUGUGUUCGAUUCAAUCACGUUGUUAAUGUGAGAGCCGCGUUGGUGGAUAAUUUGUAAGAACAUUUUUAGGUAACAAAUGUUCUAGAGCCAUGUUUCACCCAUGGUAGUGACCUGAACCCAACCUACUCAACUUUCAAUAAAAAAAUGUCCUUACCCAUUAUAGGUAUGCAGGUCCCAGCUGCAAAUUCAACUUCCUGGCCUUUAAUUUUUACAUUAUAUGACGAUUCAGAUUGAUUAGUUAAAAAUUGAAUUAGUUAAAAGUUAGUUCCAAAUUCAUUUUUUUACAAUUAUGAGUAACCAAUUUUUAUGAAUCUAAUUACCAUCCUUACCCCUUUUCAUUCAUAGAUUCACCCUUUUUUUAUAGACCCAACUUUCUUUCGGAAAUCACAUUCCCAAUUUUGAGUAGUCUCUUAUCAUCAUAGAUACAAGUAAUCUUUAUGAUCAAGGUUUUGAAACUAAAAUAAAAGGAUAACUCUCUUUUUUCUACCAAGCAUCUUUAUUUAAUUUUCCUCUUAUCAAACAUCUUCUCUCCUUGUUUUUUUAACUCUUGAUCAAAAUGGAGUAUUCACAUUCACCAUGCCAUAUAGGUAAUAUGUGAGCACAGGCAACUCAACCCAGUUAUCAAUGUGUUUGGGAGGGAUGAGAUUGAACCUGUGAUCUUUAUUCUAAGUCCCAAUAACGCAUGAAGUAACUGAAAGCCCCUUCAAACAUGGCUUCAUCGUGUAAAACCAUCCAUUCACAAGGCUCUCAUAGUACUUUUGAAUGAAAUAUACCUGUCUACCUUACCAAUCAGUCUCACACACGAUAUAGUCUGAUAUAUCCACACUUAUGUGAAGUUGUGAACAAUACUAAGAGGAGCACAAAUUCAAGAAAAUGGGAUUUCCUAGAAUGUAAAUAACCAUCAAACCUUGCAUUCAUUUUGGAACAUUUUUGUUGCUAAUUACACUAAUCUUCUUUUAGAUUAGUGCUCAUCAUACCAAACUCUUAUCUGUUUGGUAAAUUACACUCGCAUCCUUUACUGGAGCUUAUCAUACACUAAUCUCCUUUUAUGAUGUCAGUCCCCAACAAGAUAGUAAAAAAUAUGGACAGGGAUUGAAAUCUUCUGUCUUUAAAUGGUGUUUCAAUUUUUUGUCCCAACAAUAAAAUUUUGACAUGUCAAUUAAAAACUAACAUGCUUGUAACUGCCCCACUCAAGUCUACUCUAAUUGACAUGACAAGAUUUGAUUAAUGGGACAGAAAAUUGAGUCUCUUAGGGGUCAGAAAAUGUAGAUCAUGUGGGCAGAUGCCAAUUCCACUUUCACUUCCUGCUUUUUAAGAGGAAAAGUACUUUAAGUAACCUCUAAGGAACAUUUCCCCUUUUCAGUUUGGCAGCCUAUCCUCCCACCAUACAUCUAACAAACAAUUUCCACUCUCCACAUUUUAUCCUUUCUUUUCCAUUUUAUCCCCUUUCUGUUUGUCCUAAUUAACAGAUGAAGAAAACAUACCUUGAUGUUUGUUCCACAGCUCAUUUCACAUAUGGAGGAAAUUGCAUACCAAAUGAGCAGUUCAAAAAAUUAUUAAGACAUGUAACUCAAUACCAAAGUUAAUGAAAUUAUAUCAAGCAAUAAAAUUUUGGACAUAUACAGAGCUUACUAUUUCUUCAGAUUCGUAAGGAAAAGAAAGUGUGCAUCAAUUUUGGAACAUUGAGAAAUUAAGAUAAGAUUUCACUCAGUGUUCAUAAUGCUUUAUUGCAGUAUAACCAAGUUAAUGACUUAAUGAUAUCUUCAGAUUUUAGAUCAAACAGUAACCAACAAUUUAUGCAGAUUAGAACCAUACUCUCACUGUAUAGGAAUAUGAAUUUCAACAAAGUUCAGAGAAAGAAGAUAUUAAAAUUCAUAAUAAAACUACAGUUUGUAACUUGUAAAAUUAUAUUCCAGGAGCUCAAAUACGAUCCUGAUCAGAUCAAUGAAUAAGUAACAAAGAGAUGCCUCUCACAUAACUUUCUUGCGGAAGAAACUUACCUCAACAAUUUACAAUGAUCUUGUCUCUUCUAUGGAUACAUCACUAGUUACGAAACUGGUGCAACAGCAUAGCAGAUGAGAGAAUCGUGAAAUGUAUUUAAGCCCCACUAUUAAUCUGAGUUCACAAUAAUUACAACAUUUCUUUGAUAAAAUCGAGGUUUAGGGUAUCACGAACAAUAAGGUAUAACCCCAGAAGUAAAACAAGCAUAAUUCCUGACGACAUGAUCCGUUGCUCCACUUCCAGAGGUAGCUUUCUCCCUCCCCUGGCAGCCUCAACAAGAAUCAACGCCAACGAACCCCCAUCUAAAGCAGGCAAAGGAAGAAGGUUUAUAACUGCAAGGUUAAUGUUGAGUAUGGCGGCGAACUGGUAGAGACCAUCGAUGUUCGACCGCGCAACUUCUGCACCAACAGCAAUAAUGGCUACAGGACCUGAAACCUUACUAGCUGACUGUGAGAAGUUUAAAAAUGUCUGCCUUAAGCCAUCUAAAACAUUAGAUGAUAAACCCCAGAAUUCUUUCGCGGUAAAGCUAAAAGCGUCCACCACAUUUUUCGGUUUAACCUUAUCUAACUUCACAUUCGGCGAUAGCUGAACUCCAAUUUUACCAGUUCCAUCAAAAUUCUCAUCAGGAGUGACACCUAUAUCAAAGUUCUGCUCCCCCCUCUUAACCUUGAGCAAAACAUAUCUCUUGGGGUUCCUUUUGAUCACAUCAACAACUUCAGAAACAGCACUAGGACCUUGUUUAACAAACUCAUUUCCAUUAACUUCGACUAUCACAUCCCCGGAGAGCAACCCAUCUCGCGAAGCAGCCGAAAAGGGUCGAACUUCAGGCACACUCACCCCAGGAAAGACCUCUUGAACAGGCAAACCAACAGCAAGGAUUUGAACAAAGAUAAUGACUAAUGCAAAAACUAUAUUGGCAAUAACACCAGCUGAAACCACUAUGACUCUAUCCAAUAUUGGUCUGUUCUUAAGCAAAUCCUCAUCAUCAACAGGAAUAUCACUAUCUGGAUCNNNNNNNNNNNNNNNNNNNNNNNNNNNNNNNNNNNNNNNNNNNNNNNNNNNNNNNNNNNNNNNNNNNNNNNNNNNNNNNNNNNNNNNNNNNNNNNNNNNNNNNNNNNNNNNNNNNNNNNNNNNNNNNNNNNNNNNNNNNNNNNNNNNNNNNNNNNNNNNNNNNNNNNNNNNNNNNNNNNNNNNNNNNNNNNNNNNNNNNNNNNNNNNNNNNNNNNNNNNNNNNNNNNNNNNNNNNNNNNNNNNNNNNNNNNNNNNNNNNNNNNNNNNNNNNNNNNNNNNNNNNNNNNNNNNNNNNNNNNNNNNNNNNNNNNNNNNNNNNNNNNNNNNNNNNNNNNNNNNNNNNNNNNNNNNNNNNNNNNNNNNNNNNNNNNNNNNNNNNNNNNNNNNNNNNNNNNNNNNNNNNNNNNNNNNNNNNNNNNNNNNNNNNNNNNNNNNNNNNNNNNNNNNNNNNNNNNNNNNNNNNNNNNNNNNNNNNNNNNNNNNNNNNNNNNNNNNNNNNNNNNNNNNNNNNNNNNNNNNNNNNNNNNNNNNNNNNNNNNNNNNNNNNNNNNNNNNNNNNNNNNNNNNNNNNNNNNNNNNNNNNNNNNNNNNNNNNNNNNNNNNNNNNNNNNNNNNNNNNNNNNNNNNNNNNNNNNNNNNNNNNNNNNNNNNNNNNNNNNNNNNNNNNNNNNNNNNNNNNNNNNNNNNNNNNNNNNNNNNNNNNNNNNNNNNNNNNNNNNNNNNNNNNNNNNNNNNNNNNNNNNNNNNNNNNNNNNNNNNNNNNNNNNNNNNNNNNNNNNNNNNNNNNNNNNNNNNNNNNNNNNNNNNNNNNNNNNNNNNNNNNNNNNNNNNNNNNNNNNNNNNNNNNNNNNNNNNNNNNNNNNNNNNNNNNNNNNNNNNNNNNNNNNNNNNNNNNNNNNNNNNNNNNNNNNNNNNNNNNNNNNNNNNNNNNNNNNNNNNNNNNNNNNNNNNNNNNNNNNNNNNNNNNNNNNNNNNNNNNNNNNNNNNNNNNNNNNNNNNNGAUCAAAAGUGUAGAAAAUUCUCUCCUGACUGAAUCAUAUUGGAAUGAGAUAAUAACUACUUAAAAAUUAAAAAGAAAACAAGUGCUGCUAAGGAGUUCUGUUUCUGAUAUGUUUUUUUGUUUGUUUGUUUGUCUGUUGGUGAAACUUUCAGGGGAUAUAUAUGAGCAUGCUGUUGUCCUGAGCGUGAAAACCGAGGAUCAAGAUGACUUUGAGAGGAAUUUCUUCCAGUUGAAACCUUAUUAUACAGAUGCCUGGUAACUGAUUGUUUCCCCUUUGUUUACAUUUGCAAAAUAUAUGUUUCCUGAUCACUUUAACUGAAGUCGUAUCAUUAUCAGAGUGUGAUUCUAUGUGCAAUUCUUUUUUCUUUCUUGUUGAGGUCAUGUAAUUUAUUGGAAAUUUUCCUGUGUUGCAGUAGUCGUCUUCCACCAUCUCCGCAGGAGUACCCAAUACUAGGUCUGAACCUGUUGAGGCUACUUGUGCAGAAUAGGAUAGCUGAAUUCCAUAUGGAGUUGGAACUGCUCUCAUCUUCUGCUCUAGAGAAUCCAUGUAUUAAGCAUGCUGUGGAGCUGGAGCAAUCAUUUAUGGAAGGAGCUUACAAUCGCGUAUUGAGUGCUUGUCAGACAGUGCCACAUGAGACAUACGUUUAUUUCAUGGAUCUUUUGGCAAAGACUGUCAGGUAAUUUUUGUUAUCAUUUUAUAUAUAGCCUAGAAGAAACUGGAACUCUUGCUUGAUUUUUUAGUUAUAGAUUGUUAAUUGUUUAGGAUGUGUUCUCUAAACUGAUUUGUAUAAUAUUGUUGCUAAAUUUUAUGAGUAAUUUGUAGUCUUGUAAUUCUAUUUCUGUUUCCUGAAAUGUCAAUUUGGCCAAAGUUUGAUCUUUUAAUCUUUUUCCACACCUCCCCAACCCUUUUUUGGCUGUAUAUUAUUUUACCAUUUUUGCAUCUAUGUUAAUUUUUUAAUUAGUUUAUAUAUUGUCUUGAAACAUUCAGACAUGAAAUAGCAGGAUGCAGUGAGAAGGAGUAUGGCUCUCUUCCAAUUAAGGAUGCUAGGAAAACAUUACGUUUCUCAUCGGACAAGGAACUAUUUGAAUAUAUUAAAGAGGUGAGCCAUGUCAUGACUCUCAGUGUGUCUAGAUCUCAUGAGAGAUCAAAGGCGUUCAUUUUGACCAUACACUAUACUUGGAUGUUCAAGAUUACUUUAAUUUAAUCUUGACUAUUCACUUAUGUUGUGUGAUUAAGACGUUCCCUCUCAUCUGUAUAUAGUGUUUGGGUUGAACUUUUUCUCUUGACAAUGAGUUUACUACUAGUAUGUUUACAAAAUGGAAAAUUACUCAUCUUUAGUUGCGCAUAUCAUUAUGAUUAAAAAUUGUCAUAUAUUGAUUGCAGGAGCACCCUGAGUGGGAGAUUAAGAAUGGCCUUGUCUUUUUUCAAAAGGCUAAAGAAUCUGCACCUUGCAAAGAAAUACCCUCUCUACAACUCAUCAACCAGACACUUAGUUAUGCCAGGGAGUUGGAGAGGAUUGUCUGAAAAGAAAUGAAAUGGCUUUGUGUUUUCUAAAAUUUCUAGGUGUUUGGGUAAUCGUUGCUAAUACUGUCAUUUGAAAUUGUUUAUUAUUUUGAUUCGAUGCGGAACUCUAAAAUGGUUCAUUUCUUUAUUUUGGAUUUUUGGUCCUCUAGAUUGUUGUAUUGUUUCUUUUGGUACCGUUUUCUCUCUUCCUUUUAAUGGCAUGUUUGGGUAAUCGUUGCUAAUACUCGUUUGUAAUAUAUAUGACUAAAAUAUCAAAGGUGUUGCUGCUCUUUGGUUUCUCAUAUAUCCACUUCUCUGGUGGGUUUGAUCCUCAUGAUCAUUUCUUAUAUACACAGUUAAGUUAGCAAUGCCAUGGUAGGGAGAUGCAGUCUUCGUGACAUAUAUCUGCAAUGUCCACCCUCCAGAACUCUGCACAGCAUCAUUCCUCCUAGAGUUUCAAAUUGUAUGCAGAAGUUUUUCCCUUUGUUACCCCAGGUAAAGGAAUGAAGAAAAGAAAGCAAAGGAGGACAUGCAGGAUAUAUUUUAUGGCUGUAGUUGACUCUUCAAUUAUUUUUAAUCGUGUCAUCCAAUGAUCGCAAUGAAAGAUGUGUGCAGAAUCAUAACAUUGUGCAUUUGCAUGGACUAUACAACCCUCAAUAGUAUCACUACUUCUAAUACAUUUCCAAUCUCGGUCAGAGGACGAAUUAGGGGGAGCUGCCAUUUUUUCUUAGCUAGACUUUAAAUCCGGGUAUAAUUAGAUUCAUAUGAAGGAGAGAACACACAUAAGACAACAUUUCAAGCACAUGAGGCUUCGUUUGGAUUGAUGGAACAUAAUGGAGCGGAGCGGAAUGGAAUAUAAUGGAAUGGAAUGGAGCGGAGCGGAAUGGAAUAAAAAUUUCAUUCCAUUGUUUGGAUAUUUUAUGACGGAGCGGAACAAAGUUACCACUGCAUUGUUUGGAUAAUGGACGGAGCGAAAUGAGUUAUAAUUUUUAUUACUCCUAUAUUACCCUUAUUUUAAAAUAAAAGACAAACUGCUGAAAAAGCAAUUGAAAAUUGGGUAAAUGGUCACAUUAGUCCCUGGAUGUUCGCACCGACUUCAGAAUCGUCCCUGAAUGAAUUUUAUUAGGCUUGCGGUCCCCAGAUGUGGCAAAAAAUAGUCAUAUUAGUCCCUGACGUUAAAAUCCCCUAACGUCCGUUAACCCAAUUAAUAAAAGUCAUUAUAUUUCUAAUUUUUUUUCACUUUGGUCCCUUUCUUCUUUCUUCCACCCUCUUCACCCCCUUCUUCCAUCAUUUUCACCAAAACCCACCCCCAUCAUGCUUCAGAAACCCAGAAUGUAAACCCACAAUCUUCACUUCCUUCAUCUUCAUCUUGUUCAUCUUCACUUUAUUCAUCUUCAUCCCCUUCUUCCAUCAUCUUCACCAAAAACUCCUCCCCUUCUUCAUCAACUCAUUCCCCUUUUUUUUUCUUUUUUUUCAUAUCAUCAUCAUCAACACUCUUCUUCUCCUUCUUCAACCAACCAUGCCCAAACCUUCUCUCCAAGAUUUAACACAAACCCAACUCAGAUUUAACACCAAAUUUACCCUCCUUCUCUCCCAAGUUGGGUUUGUGAGUAACAUUAAAAUAUUAGACGAUGUAUGGGUUGUUUCACUGUUACAAUUCACCCUAACAUGUGGAGCUCAAUCAAUAAUUAAAAUCAAAAACUGCCUUGAGCUUCUUCACUUCACAAAACCCAGAUCUGCUUCUUCUCUUCUCCACCCACAAAACCCAUUUUCUCUUCAAAACAUAUUCUCUGCAUCAACUCUCUCCUCGACUUCCCAGGCUCAACCACAGCCACCGAGCAGGACCUCGUCCACAUCUGCGUGUCUCUCGCUCUCUCUAUGUCUCUCUCUCUGCUUUGUGCCCGGGUUUUGAUUUUGGUUCUGGUGACGGUGUCGCCGGCGAGUUCUCCGGUUGAGAGUAGGAUCUGGGUUGCAGGUUUGAAGAUCAGGGAGGUGACCUCGUCCAUAUAUAUGUUUUGCAGCGUGAGAGGAAUCAGUUGAGGGAGGUAGAGGUGGAGGAACUGGUUGACCAUGGCGGAGGCGGAGAAGCCUGAAGUGUUGGAGGCUGUGUUGAAGGAAGCUGUGGAUUUACUAGCAAACCAGAUCUGAAUUUGUUUUUGCUUUUCUUUAGAGUAACAUUGAAUUUGCUUCACGGGUAGAGAGAGAGAACAAAAUCUGGAUUGUGGCCGGUGGGAACAAGAGAAUGCGGCGGCAAUGUUGUUAGGGUCGGAAACCCAAAACGUAAACCCACAAACCCAACUUUCUGGGUUUCUGAAGCAUGAUGGGGGGUGGAUUUUGGUGAAAAUGAUGGAAGAAGGGGGUGAAGAGGGUGGAAGAAAGAAGAAAGGGACCAAAGUCAAAGAAAAUUAGAAAGAUAAUGUUAACUUUUAUCAAUUGGGUUAACGGACGUUAGGGGAUUUUAACGUUAGGGACUAAUAUGACUAUUUUUUUCCACAUCUGGGGACCGCAAGCCUAAUAAAAUUCAUCCAGGGACGAUUCUGAAGUCGGUGCGAACAUCCAGGGACCAAUGUGACCAUUUACCCAUUGAAAAUUUCCAAAACAUUCUAGCUAAGAUGGAUACUACUCCCUCUCUCCUUCCCAUUUCACUCUCUGAAGUUGAAAUUGUUUCUCUUUCAAGUGGAUUUCUUAUUUGCUCAUAAAGACGUUAGCUAGAUCAAUUGUAUCCAUAGUAUACAUAACAGAAUUUAAAGGGGAAAAGAGCAAUAUCAUGCUUUAUACUGCAUCAAACAUGAAAAAGUAAAGGAACAAAGCCAAAAUAGCUAAAAAAAACAGAAACAUAAGUUAUAAUUCUUCUUAGACUACAAAGAAUGAUAAAAAAACUUAGAGGCGUUAAAUGGGGGAAGCUGAUUAUGCUGUACAGAGAAAUCUACAGGGCUACAAAGAAUUUUGGUUUGUUUUCAUGUUAGUUUUGUUGCUGCCAAGACAAAGUACAGGGACAAAAACUAGGCUACAAGAAGAAAAACAAGCUACAGCUACCAAAGAAAAAAAACAGGACAGAAAGCAGGAAAGAAAGAGUAGGAGCACACUCCACGCAGCUAAAAAGGAUCCAUCAAGAGGCACAAACAACAAACACUUGAGCACGCAAACUAUAACAUCAGCAGCCACCAAUUAAACUGGAGACAAUAUAUUGGAGACAAUAUAUACAGUAUAUGAAUCAAAUUUUAUACCCAAAUUAUAAUACUUCUUGCUAUAGCUCCCAUCAUAUAUUUGUUCAAAAGCUAUAAACCAAAGACAAGUCACCUAGGCAUCAUGCGACAAGACUUUUCCUCUUUGCUAAAGUUAGAUGGCAAAUUUCCACUCAAUAAUCCAUCACAGCACUUUUCCACGCAAUACUUUUAUACUUAAAUAGCCAAAGAUUAAAUGGCAAGUGACAUAUUUGUGUAAUUCAUCAAUCUCUCUAGCAAACCAGAUUUAUAAUUCAUCUGUAUAGGACUCCAAGUUUUUUUUGGUAAGCCAAUGUCAUGUCAUAUAUAAAUAAAAGAGAAGCUAGGGACCCCUCAACCCAAAAUUACAAUAUAUACAGUACCCAAUCUAGUUCUGCAGCAAUUCUAAUUCUGCAAUAAAACUAACAGCAAGACUAAAAGCAAAAAAACAGAUCAGAGACAAGCCUUGAGACAGAACACAACAGGGUACAGCUCAAGAAGAGGCCACACCAACACAAGAUCAGAAACAUAUCCUACUCGCAGGAAAAUUCAGAUGAAGUUUAAGCAAUAAACUGGAUUGGAAUGCCAUUCAUAAGUAGAGCAAAAAAAACACACCUUGCCAAGGGAAAAGAUUGCAGCAGAGAGCAAUUGCAGGGCAAAGGGAAAAGCCAAGAGAAGGAGCAAACAACGAUGGCAGCAACUGGGAAUGGGUGAAAGAGUAUUAUCAAGGUAAAAGGCGGGAAGCUUUUGUCAUCUGCCGCCAGAUUUUGUUACGUGAUGACUGAUGAGAGAAAAUUAGGGCACCAACUAGGAGAAGUUAUGAAUGGAGGUUACCAUGGGUAGAAUGGUAUUUUCAUAAUUUAAUAAUUAAGUGACCAAUUUUCCUUUCCAUUCCUUUCCAUCCAAUUUGGGGGGGAGCAAAUCUGAUGGAAUGUAAUGGAGCAUGAUGGAUGUUGGCCCAUUACUUACCACUCCCUUCCACCCUAUUUUAAAUAAACCAAACAAUGGACCUAUCUCUCCAUCCCCUCCCUUCCACUCCACUCCCUCCUCCUCCAUCAAUCCAAACAAAGCCUGAAAGGCAUCCUUUCAACAUCUGAAUCACAUAACAUAAGACAACAUUUCAUCUCUAUCGUAGGAAGUAUAUCCCAGUAUGUUAAUGAUAUUCCAAUUUAUAGUUUUAUACUUCUGAUCAAAGGGCUCAUCUUAGCCAUUAAAGAUAAAACUAAUUCAAUAAAAGAAACUCAUUACAUUAACUAUUAUUUAUCCCUAUUUAUUUUAUUUUAUUUCAGCAAAUUUGUCAUGACAACUAUCAUUCAUCUCAGUUUUAUUCUCAAUGUAAUUAAUUAUUUCAAUUGCAAAAAAAAUGAAGAUUUUCACUAUGAGUUCAUAUAUAUUACUCUCUGUAAUAAACUAUCAAAUUGUUAUAUAAAAAACUAAAAUAAUGCAACAUUUAGAUAAACAAGGACAAAACCCACAUAUAAAUAAAAUUAAGUGUUUGUGGUGGUACCUUAAGUCAGAUUAAAGACUAUGUACAGUUAAAAUUUUAUAUAAACUUUGUUCAUCCAUCAACCAUAGUCAUUUUAGGCGUAUUUCCAUCAUUAAUUAUUCAUUUUCAUCACUCGCCCAUUUUUCAUUAGAAAAUGAAUUUAAUGAGAUAAAGUUAAUCAACAAGUAAAAUCUAAAGAUAAGCAUUUACCUUACCACACUCAAAAAAAUUCAGUUACCACAUAAUUUACGAUAAAAUAUUUGCGCUUCGACCAUAAAACAAACACAUUCAACACAAUUAAAAAAAAAACCUGGAUUGAGGGCACAUUAACGAAAUCAAGAAAGAUAAAGAAAAUUGAUGUAUAAUGCGCACGAAAGAAUACAGUGUAUAUAUUCUUAAUCUUUCAUAAUUCAAAAACUCAAAUGAACAAAUUAUGAAACAGAAAAAAAAAAACUGAGUUGAGGCAGGAGGAGUGAAAGACGUGAACAGAAACUCCAAAAGGUUGAAUUUGCUCCCAUUCUUGAACUCUUGCACGCAAAUAGCACAUUAUGAUCCGGUUUCUAUGUCUCCUUGUUGGACUGUCAUAGCCUGGAUAAGACUCUCGUAGCAAUCCUCACUUUGUAAAUGUCUGGAUUCUUGUCUUAUCGCCACCAAUGACAUGAUAGUCGUUACUAAUGAGGAACAUAUGAAAAAAAUAACUCCAAAACUCUUGUAUCUUAAAUCUAAUGCUACAACAAGCGUCAACACAUUCACUAUUAUUAACAGAAAUAUUGCUUUUUCCAUAAAAUCCAACUUCACACUUUGUAAUUCCGUGGACUUUUGUCUUACUGCUAUCCAUGAGAAGAUAGAGAUACUCAACGAGGAACCUAUAAAAAGAAUAACUCCAAGCAACUCAUAUCCCAAAACUGAUUCUACACCAAGGGUCAGCACAUCCAAUAUUACUAACAGCAAUAUUGCUUUUUCCAGAGAAUUCAUACUUUACAACUCACCACUUACUUUAGGUUAAGUUUUUUGUUCAAGGAAUACAAUCCUAUAUUUAUACACAGAUAAAAGGUCUCUUCCCUUUCUCAAUGAUUUACAACUAAUUAUUUUACGCAUUUCAAAUCUGUAUCUAUCUAUUAUUCCAUAACCGUUUAUAAAUUUAUCUAUCUAUUUAUAUUUAUCCGCAGUUUUUUAUUCAAACGUUUAGAUUUUGAUUGAAGAUAAGAUACAUGAUUAAUAGAGGAUAAUUUGGUAGUGCAGAUUAUUCAUUAGUGAUAAAGAGAUACUAUAAAAUUGAAAUGUUCAUGAAAUUUAUCUUUUUAUUUUCAAAUUCAAGAUAUGAAGGAUAAACCUUUUUUUUAUUUCUUAUUUUAUAACAAAACUGUGUCAUUUGUUGACUAUAUUCUUUUUUUUUUUGAAACUGACCAUAUUCAAUAUAUGAAACUUUUUUUUUGAAAUGCAAUAUAUGAAACUAACUUUACAGUAUAUAAGCACUUCAACUUAAAACUUACAAAUCCAAACACCAAUGUUGCCGAAAAGUAUAAAUUACAAUAUUUUCACCUUAUAAUAUCCUGCAGGUUUCUAUUCAGCUUUUAGUUUCUGAAAAAUUAAACUGUUUUUGUACCACUUAGCUAUGGAAAUAUGCUCUAAUUAAUAAGGUAUGCUUUAUUUAUAAUUCUGCCAAUAAAAGGAGUGUACAUAUAUACAUGGUAGCAAUGUAUCAUAUCAAAUGAGAGAGCAGAAAUGUGGAUUUUUAGUUAAUCCUAGCUGGAAUCUUAAUGUUAGUAACCCCAUAUGCAUUGAAGAGCAGUUAGUUGUAAAUACAGUUAUUAGUUAAACUGAUUAGUUGUUAGUUGUUAAACAGUUAGUUUGAGUUAGUUAUCUUUCAGUUGUUAAACUGAUUAGUUGUUACUUGUUUGUUGUUACAUAGUUAGUUUUAAUCAGUUAUUUUUCAGUUAGUAAGGUAAGGUUAAUUGUGAUCAACCCUCACAUAAAACUCAUCCUCAAACAGAAGCCAAAGUACAUUUUCACUUCUCUUUUUUCUCUGAAUUUCUUCUUAACAAAAGGCACAACAAAAUCAAGAAAUUAAGAAAAAAAAGAUGGCAUGAAUUUUCAGCUGAAAUGUCUAGAGAAUUGUUAACACAGAGAGUGAGUGAACCAUGAUCAAGAGCUUGAAAAACUAAAACAGAAUCAUCACUAACCCUGAUGUAUCAAGAAUCUAUGCACUAGCUACAAUGUAGCAAUGUACAAUAUCUUCAAUUGCAGAUAGAGGAUUCUGCAUUUCUGCUAGCCUAGGCAAGGAUUGGAAAUCCAUUGCAAAAUGGAAACAAAUUUACAUGACAAGAAUUCACAGCUAUACAAAUGAAAACCAAAAUCAAGAUCGAAAAAAAGGGGAACAGCACAUGAAAUGCCCCAUGAGGAGGUGAAUUACCAAAACAAUCACAGCAAAAAAGAUCACCAUUUCCAACACAACAGACCUAGUCUUGCGAACCACGUCACUUUGAACAUCGCACGAUACAUGAAACGGGUGCACAACCGUGGUGGCGGUUACAGAGGAAGAAGAAGAAGAGGAACAGAGCUGAACCUUCACGUCUCCGCAAUGGCCUUCAAGCUUGUCCUUCACAGCAAAAGGCAUGAAUCUUGCACUGGCGUUGAACUUCAGGUCCAAAUACACAUACCCACAUGAUGAUGAUGAUGAUGAUGAUGGUGGAAAGCCAUGAUCCAUGAUGGUGGUCCAUUCAUCAACCUUCAAGGACACAUUUGGAAACAGAGCUUCUAUGGCGGCGGUGUUACUCUGUUCUUGUUGCAGCCGGAGGGAGAAAGUUGACAUCAUCUUUCUUUGUUGGCGGUGGAACAGUGAGGCGUGGAGGGAAUCAUCAUCGGAGUAGUGGAUACUGCUUCCGAUGGGGUUGGAAUGAUCAACGUGAAGCAACACACCCAAGUUGGUUGUGAAGAGGUUUGGGGUGGUGGUGUUGAGAAUUGUAGAAGGCGCAGAGGUUGAAAUUGAAUGCAGAGUGAAAGCAGGGGUGAGGGGGAUGAUGAAGAACAAGCCGAAGAUAAAGGUGAGAAUCACGAUCAGCCAUUCCGCAAGAUAUGUGAAGAAAAUGGUCGACCAUAUCCCAAGAAAUGUCAAGAAAGCGGUGAUUGCUUCACAGGCUCGGUGAAGGAACGCCGUGGAGUCGCCGUCGUUGAGGGGAUUGGUAGGCUGCAGCAGAGGAACUCGUUCGUCAGUGAUCUCAUGGUGUUGUUCCAUGAUCGAUUGUGAGAGGUUAAUUUGGUGAGAGAAUGAGAAGAAGAAGAAGAAGAAGAAGAAGAAGAAGAAGAAGAAGAAGAAGAAGAAGAAGAAGAAGAAGAAGAAGAAGAAGAAGAAGAAGAAGAAGAAGAAGAAGGAUAACAGAACAGAGGGGGAGUUGUGAAUUCAAGGCUCAAACUAAUCAAAGGUGACAAUGCAUGCAUGCCUUUUAAAGCAGAGCAUGCAAUCCAAUCGGGUCAAUGGGCUUCAUAAACCAGGGCCAAUGGGCUUUUCAUGAUUUACCAAAAAAAUCUUGAAAGUGCUAACUCAGCUAGCUUUCAAUCCAUGUUCCACACUUUUUUUUUUUUUUUAAAGUGGUAAAAGUUAAGAGACAUAUGAGUUAGGGUGAGAAGGUCACGGGAUCAAUCCCUAGAGAGAGCAAUUUAUCUUUUCAAUGUACAAAAUGUAUAUAGCAUAAAUUAUUUUCUAAUAUUACGUAUAAAAGGUAAAAUAGUCAUUAUCAACCACACUUCUCUUCUUUCCUUCCACUUUCUUUACCACAUUCUAUCAUAUACAACUUAGAAAACCUCUCACUUUUUUUCUUCUUUCUUUCCUAUCCCUUUCUUUCCAAAAUGUUAAGAGGCAUAUAGGUUGGAAGAUAGGGGUCAUUAUGAAACAACUUUAAAACUUAAUGUGAUUAUUACUAACCCACGUUGCUUGAUUUAGUGCCUUAGUGGGAUACCUAUGUUUUAUUGAUUUUAUUAGAAAAUUUGAUAGUUUAUUGUAGUUUCUAAAAACUGUAUUUAAAAACUACUUUUAAGAAAACUGUUUGAAUUAGAUAUUUUUCAACAUUAAAAAAUUGGAAUUUAAAAACUAAACAAAAAUAUCUUUUGGUCAUUCUGAUAUUUUAGUUUUAAAACUGAAAUUUAGAAUUGUUUUCAAGAAAACAAACAGAUUUUUCCAAUAUUAGUUUAUCUCGCUGUUUCGAUCGGUGAUGUAGCACGGUGAUGAGCUACACAACGUGAAUUUACCUACUUUUGAUAAAGAAAAUUGACGUAUACAUGUAUGCGUACGAAGUGCAUAUAUUAUUAAUCUUCCAUAUAUAAUUCAAAUGAACAAAUAAUGAAACAGAAAAAAAACUCCUAACCUAUGAUUUUGUUCUGUACGCAAAAUCAGAACAAUCACAAAAACAUAUUCUCUAGCAAAUAUCAAUCUUCAAACCUUGACUGCAAACCGGACAAGUGGUUUUUCCAUCAAGCAACCCGGAGUUGAGGCAGGAGGAGUGAAAGACAUGAACACACUCUCCAAAGGGUUGAAUUUGCUCCUCAUUCUUGAACUCUUUUACGCAAAUAGCACACUGUGAUCCGAUUUCUAUGUCUUCUUGUUGGAAUUCCUAAGUAGGGGAGAGACUCUCGUAGCAAUCCUCACUUUGUAAUUUUUGGGAUUCUUUUCUUAGCGCCGCCAAUGCCAAAAAAGUCGUUAUCAAUGAAGAACAUAUAAAAAAAAUAACUCCAAACCAUAACCAAUCAUCUUCAGAAACUAACACUAAAACAAGCAUCAACACAUUCAGUAUUAUUAAUAGAAACGUCAUUUUUCCUAUAAAAUUCAUAGUCUCACUUUGUAAUUGCCUGUACUUUUGUAUUACCGCUAUCAAUGUGGAGAUAGAGAUAAUCAACAAGGAACCUAUUAAAAUAAUAACUCCAAGCAACUCAUAUCCCAAAACUGAUGUUACAGCAAGCAUCAGCACAUCCAAUAUUAUGAACAACAAUAUUGCUUUUUCCAGAGAAUUCAUACUUCACAACUCACCACUUUCUCUAGGUUAUGUUAUUUUUUUCAAAGGAAUACGAUCCUCUAUAUAUACACAGAUAAAAGGUCUCUUCCCUUUCCUAAAUGAUUUACAACUAAUUAUUUUACGCGUUUCAAAUCUGUUAUUCGAUAUACCGUUUAAAUGUGAUUACUAACCCAGUUCCUUAAUUAGUGGGAUAUUUAUGUUUUAUUGAUUUUAUUUUUAAUUUGGAUAGAGGUCGGCUUGAUUGCCGUUUCUAAAAACUAUUUUUAAAAACUAUUUUUUAAUAAAAAUCUGUUUGAAUUUGAUAUUUUUCAACAUUGAAAAAUUGUAAUUCAAAAACUAAAACAAAAAAUAUCUUUUAAUUGAUCUAGUAUUCCUAAUUAAGAUGAAGAAGAAGAUGGGAGACGGUUGAGAAAAAGCAAGAUGUGGUUUGAUCUUAUAUUAUUUUGAAUAAAUUGUUUAAAAAUUGAACUUCUGAGGUGGCAAAAAGAAAGAAUCUCAUUGGAUGACUGUGCAUGUUUACACUGUCAGUGCAUUUCCAUUAAUCUCUUUAGUUUUAAAAUUGAAAUUAUGAAGAAACAGAAUUUUAAACGGUAAUCAAACAAACUUUAUUUAAUUCUGGGGCUUAAUUAUAAAUUAAAAAAAAUUAUUUAACUUUUUUUUAAUUUAAUGAAAAUGACGUGACAUGUACACAUAGGACGGUUGAGCACGGCGGCCGGAGGAAAAGCCCGGCAAUGAUGGAUUUCAAAAAAAAAGGUAGUCCGAGGGUGGCGCUAGGAAGAUUUUCCGGCGAGGGACGGAAAUCAAAUAUAGCCUAAAGUUCAAGGACUGUUUUCAGGUUUAACCCUUAUUUAUUUUAUCUUCUCCCAUUUUCAUUCAUCAUAUAUUCCUAUUUUCCUUUAAUUUGUAAACAAAACAUUUUUUCAAUAGCUUAUCUCACUGUUCCGUGAUGAGCUACCAGAAAAAAAAAAAAAAACCAGGAUUGAGGGCACAGUAACAAAAUCAAGAAAGAUAAAGAAAUUGAUGUAUAGAUGCGUACGAAGUGCAUAUAUUAUUGAUCUUCCAUAAUUCAAAUGAACAAAUAAUACUCAAAUAAUGAAACAGAAAAAAAAAAACUCCUAAACCUAUGAUUUUGUUCCCUACGAAAAAUCAGAAUAAUCACAAAAAGCAAUUUUUCUACCUAUUCCCUCUAGCAAAUAUCUAUUUUCAAACCUUGACUGCAAACCGGACAAGUGGUUUUUCCAUCAAGCAACCCAGAGUUGAGGCAGGAGGAGUGAAAGACAUGAACACACUCUCCAAAAGGUUGAAUUUGCUCCUCACUCUUGAACUCUUUCAAGCAAAUAGCACAUUGUGAUCCGGUUUCUAUGUCUUCUUGUUGGAAUUCCUUAGUAGGGGAGAGACUCUCAUAGCAAUCCUCACUUUGUAAUUGUGUGGAUUCUUGUCUAAUCGCCACCAAUGAGAAGAUAGUUGUUAACAAUGAGGAACAUAUAAAAAAAAUAACUCCAAACUUCUCAAAUUUGGCAACUAAUGCUAGAGCAAGUGCCAGCACAUUCAAUAUUAUUAAUAAAGAUACAGUUUUUUUCAUAAAAUUCAACUUCACACUUUGUAAUUGCUUGGCCUUUCGUGUUACCCCUGUCUGUCAAUGAGAAGAGAGAGAUACAGAAUGAUGAACAUGUAACAAGAAUAACUCCAAACAACUCACAACCCUCAAUUGAUGAUGAUAUAGCAAGCAUCAGCACAUCCAAUAUUAUGAACAACAAUAUUGCUUUUUCCAGAGAAUUCAUACUUCACAACUCACCACUUUCUUUAGGUUAUGUUAUUUUUUUCAAGGAAUACGAUCCUCUAUAUAUACACACAGAUAAAAGGUCUCUUCCCUUUCCUAAAUGAUUUACAACUAAUUAUUUUACGCGUUUUAAAUCUGUUAUUCGAUAUACCGUUAAACUUAUCUCUAUAUCUAUUUAUCCGCAGCUUUUUAUUCAAACGUUUAGAUUUUGAUUGAAGAUAUAGAAUUAGGUUUUAAAAACAGAAUAAAAAAUCCAGGGAGCCAAAGUUACAUGUAAAAUUUGAAUAAAUCAAAAUCAAAUCUUAAAAAAAUUGAAAUGUUCAUGAAAUUUAUCUUUUUAUUUUCAAUUUCAAGAUAUGAAGGAUAAACCCUCCUUCAUAAUUUUUUUAUUAAAAAUAGAUAAAUAUGAUAUAUUGAACUAUUUUUUUUUGUUACAAGAGGAAAGGUAUAUUGAACUAUAUUUGAAAUGAUUAGGAUAAUUAUUAUUUUUAAAUAAUAAAUUUUAAUAUUAAGAUAUUCUAAAAAUUUAAAAUGAUGAGAAAUGAAUUUAAAUUUGUUGGAGUCAAGUCUCACAUUAGAGAAGUUAGGGCAGGGGGGAGUUUAUAAGGAGGUGAUGAUGAACCUAUAAACCUAAUGUCUUAAGGUUUUUGGUUAAGAUGUCUUGUUCAAUAUCUCCUUGGUGUCUCCCUCGGCCCGAGUCCUCGUCGUGACUCUUCCCAACAAAAUUAAAAUUAAAAAUAGUUCAAGAUUUUAUCCCCUCCAUAAAUUUCUUUUCUUUUUAUUUAAGUUUUUUUAAUUCGUCAACAUCUUUUUACUCAAAAUCAAAUUAAACUAAUUAACUUAAAAAUUGAUUUGGUUUUAAUAUUAUUACUACCUUUCAAAAAAAAAACUUAAAAAAAAUCUUCAACUUAAAACUUACGAACCCAAACACCAAUUCACCGAAAAGUAUAAAUUACAAUAUUUUCAGUUUCACCAUAUAAUAUCCUGCAGAUUUCUAUUCAGCUUCUAGUUUCUGAAAAAUUAAACUGUUUUAUAUGCUAAAAAUCUUCUCUACCACUAAACUAUGAAACAUAUGCUAAACAUAUCUUAGUAAUUUUUAGGGUUGUAAUCGGACCGGAUUAAUUUGGAUUUAGGGUGACAAAAUGUUCGAACCAAUCAAACAUGUUUGAUUUAGGUCGGUUCGAAUUUCAUGAAUUUUACUUCUAAAUCUGAACCAAAUCAACCUGAUCUCAAUCGAAUUGGUUCGGUUCGGAUGGUCGGAUUUAAAAUAAAAAAUCUUAUUUGAAACUAUGCACGGAAAUUAUUCUAAAAACGUGAAAAAUUAUUAAUAAUAUAGAAAAAUAUAACAUUUUUUUAAGAACGAAACAUUCGAUAAUGACAUAGUCCAUAUAAUCUAAAUAAAACUAGCAUCUCUAAUAGAAAUAUAAACAUGUAAUGUAAUGUGCUGAUUGUUUGAGUUUAAUGUAAAAAAAUUCUCAAUUUAUUGGGUUGAUUCGGAUUGAUCAGUUUUUCAAUCCCUAAAUCCGAUACCCGAACCAAUGGUGAUCAGAUUCAGUAAAAAAGAUCCGAACCAAUGAUCCAAUCCAACCCACCAUAAUGUGUUCGGUUCGUAUCGGUUUAAUCGGAUUCGCGGAUCGAACUAUACCCGCUUACACCCCUAGUAAUUUUAGCUUGAACAAGAUUACGCCUAUGAUUCAAAUUAGAUAAAAAAACACUUUUGGUCCUUGAUGUUUCAAGUUUGUGAAAAAGUUGCCCCUAUUUUACUUUUGUCGACGUUUUUACCUCUCAUAUUUUUAAAAGGUCCACCGUAUACCCUUCCGUCGGUCAUACGCUGAAAUAAGCUCUUCUCCGUGUGUUCGAAACAGCGUCAGUGUGAAGCAAGCAGCAAGCAAAGAAGCAGCAAGUAGCGGCGAACCCAGUGAGAGCGAGAGAAGAGAAGAGAAUGGCAGAACCGAAAGUGAAAUACGAUCGCCAACUCAGGUAACUCCCUCUCUCUCCCUCACUCCACUUCGCUCUACCCUAACUGUUUCCCCCUUAAAGCCCUAACAAAUUCUCUUGUUCUUAUUCUUGCUGUGUGUUUCUUAGAGCGUGUUGUCAAAAUUGAUUAUUCAUAGAAUUGGCUUUGGUGAAAUUGAUUAUGAUGAAAGUGAGUUGAUAGUGAAGUGAUUUAUAUUUUUAUGUGGAAAACGGUUUCUAUAGGAUAAUGUUGUGAAAUUCAGUUAUGGAAACUCGUAAUUGAUUAUGUGCACCGCAGAAACUAGGAUUUGUUGUGCAAUCAGUGUUGUCAUAAUUGAUUUUGAAUAUAAUUGAUUAUUGUAAAAGUCGAAAGUGAAAUGAUUUAUGUUUGGAUAUAUUUUUGGGAAAAAUGAUUUCUAUAGUGCAAUGUUGUGUAAUUCAGUUAUGAAAUCCCACAAUUGAUUAUGUCCACUGCCGAAGCUACUCUCAAUAGCUCCUCUGCAGAAUUGAUUUUGGGGCUGAAAUCAAUUAUCUAAUUCGAUAUCCAAACAUCUAUAUAACCACUGGUUCUGGUCAAUGAGAAUUGAUUCUAAGGUUCUCAAAUGUGGAACCAAACGCACACUAGCUUCAUCCAACGAUUGAUUUUUAAGCUAGAAUGAAUCAUGAAAGGAAAUAUUUGAACACCUAAAAAUUGAUUAUAAAAUUGGAGAAGCAAUUCUAACACUUAUAAAUAUGAAACGAAACAUGUUCUUAACUUGUAGGCUGUAGCCCUUUGUUGCUAAAUUAUGUCUCUCUCUGUGUGUGUUCUGAAUUUGAUGUAUUCUGAGAUAUGACUUUGAAUUCUUAUCUAUCUGCUUCUCCAACUGUUACUUUUUUUUUUUGGGCUUUUGGGUAAUCUUGAACACAUAUUUGAUCUCAUGACUCAUAUUUACUGCAAUGUUUAUUUGACAAUGUAGAAUAUGGGGCGAGCAGGGACAGGCAGCCCUUGAGAAAUCUAGUAUUUGUUUACUUAACUGUGGUCCUACUGGUUCUGAAACACUUAAGAACCUUGUUCUUGGUGGGGUUGGAAGCAUCACGGUAGUCGACGGGUCCAAAGUUGAAGUGGGUGACCUCGGAAACAAUUUUUUGGGUACAUUAUCUUAUUGUUGAGUUCUGGUUGUGUUUUGUGUUUGUGUGUCUCUUAUAGACCUCAUUUUCUCUGUUUUUUUUUUUUGUAGUGGAUGAAUCAAGCCUUGGGCAGUCAAAGGCAAAAUGUGUAUGCUCAUUUCUUCAAGAGCUGAACGAUGCAGUUAAAGCAAAAUUUGUAGAAGAGUAUCCAGAAACAUUGAUUGAGACAAAUCCAUCAUUCUUUUCUCAAUUUACUUUGGUUAUUGCCACUCAGGUACGCUACUAUAAUGCUUAAAACUUCCAUAAGACAGAUGCUUCAUUUGGAAAUUUGUUGUAAAAGUAUAUUAUGUGCCUCCAUUCAAACUGCUGAUGUCAUAAUUAAUUGAUGUAUAACUUAAUAGAUCUCAACAUUUCUGCAUGAAAGAAACCGUUCAGUUACUAAUAUAUCUGAAUUAUUAAUUUAGUUUAAAAUUUGAGAAGAGCAUAUUUCUUUAUUUAUUCUUUUCAUGUGCUAUAUCAUUGACGUACUCUGUUAAACUUCCAGCUGGUGGAAAAUUCAACAAUAAAACUUGACCAAAUCUGUAGGGAGGCGAAUGUUAUGUUGAUCUUUGCCCGCUCCUAUGGUCUUACAGGGUUUGUUCGAAUUAGUUUGAAGGUAAUUUGGUAUGUAUUUGAUAUUACAAGUUCAAGGAAUAUUCUAGUACCUGACGAAACAUAAUAUUGAUUUUCAUCACUGAUGCAAUUUUAAUCUUGUAUUUGACACGCAAAAAGAGAGAAUAAAGUAAAUGAAUAUGGCUAUUUAAAAAAUGUCAUUAAAAAGAGCAGGGAAGUAAAGGAUGGAAUUGCAAUAGAUUGACUAUAAGAUAGGCCGGUAAUUUUCUUUUGCAGUCAUAUAUAUGUAUGAACUAGAAAGCUCAAAAAUACCUUGGUUAGAAAGAAUUGUCUAGUUAUUGAAUAUAUAUGAUUUAGAUUUGGCUGAUUAGUACUUUUUGUUGGUUCUAUUAGGAACAUACUGUUAUUGAAUCAAAGCCUGAUCAUUUCUUGGAUGAUCUCCGGUUAAAUAAUCCUUGGCCUGAACUCAAGAGGUAUAGCAUAGUUUUGUUUUAUUUUAUGUUUCAUUUUAUUUCCUUUUUGUUCUGAGAUCUGGUUUUCCCUUCAUCAAUUUUGCUUGUCAGCCAGCUAAAUUGUUGUAGCUAAAACUAUAGGCUUACUCACAUUCCACUUGGUUUUCUCAUUACAUGUGCAUCCAAAGGUUUGCAGAGGGCUUUGACUUGAAUCUGCAAGAUCCUGUUGCUCAUAAGCACAUACCAUAUGUUGUCAUUCUCGUCAAGAUGGCUGAUGAGUGGGCCAAAAGCCAUGGUGGUAGGCUUCCAUCGACCAGAGAAGAAAAAAAAGAAUUCAAGGUUUGUUGUUUAAUCGUUUAGUUGUUCUAUUGAUUGUUGUUCUAGUUAUGUGAUUAGCUUUAGAUGUGAACAAUGUAGGAGCUUCUUAAGGCUGGGAUGGUUGCACAAGAUGAAGAUAAUUAUAAAGAAGCUAUUGAGUCCUCAUUCAAAGUAUUUGCUCCCCGAGGAAUUAGUAAGUAGAUCAUUCAAGAUUAAUUGAUUGUAACUUUUGCCUGCCUUCAUUUUUAAAAUCACCCUAUCUUUUGUUUUCUUGUAUAAUGAGCAGAAGAAUGUAUCAUCUUUUGUUAACUUGUAGGUUUAAAUUUAUAGGAUCAUUAGACAGGGUUGGGAGAUGAAUAAAAUUGAAGACAAGUUUGAAUAUUUUAAAUGUCAAGUAUUUAUAAAGGUUCUAAAAGUCUUUUUGUUUAGCCUGGCAAUGAAAUCUUUGUAAACCUAUCAUUGAGAAUUUUGUUAUUUAGCCUCUGACUGUUGGCAAAACUAUACUUUGCUUGCUAUGGAAGAAUGUAUUGCCACAGACUCAUGGUUAAGGGUGGGGUUUCAAGUUUUAUUUUUUUUAAUUAAAAAAUUGUUUUCAUCUAGAAUGUUUAGCUAUUGUGUGAAAAUUUACUGCCUCAGUCCAAUCAAAAUUUAAUGCUCUGUACUUUCUUAGGUUUGGAGUUACAGCAGAUACUAAAUGAUAGUUCUGCUGAAGUGGACUCUAAUUCAUCAGACUUUUGGGUGAUGGUGGCAGCUCUAAAGGUUGGUGCUUUUGAUAUUGCAUCACUGACCUCGCUUCAGAUACAGUUUGCCUCGCUUUAAUGUGGAAAAAAUUCUUAUGCCAUUUGAUAUUGUAAUGUUUCUUUUUGGGUGGUACUUAGAACUUGUGACAUUCAAAGACUGGAGUAGUAAUAGAGAGUUGUCAAGAGCCUUUCAUAAUUUGGCACUGGAACUAUGCUGCUCAGUUUUUGAGCUAGAGAACUAUUCAAAGUUCUUGGUUGCUUGCUUAUAUACCUUAGUUGUUUGUUGAUACAUUUCUUAUCAUUUUGCAGGACUUCAUUACAAAUGAGGGUGGUGGGGAGACACCUCUUGAAGGAUCUAUACCAGAUAUGACUUCUUCUACUGAGUUAGUGGCCAAAUCUUUACAUGUUUUUCAGAACAGUUUAUAUUUUCUAUGGAAAAUUAAGAUCACCAAUUUAUUUACCCUAUAUCUGUACUCCUGCAGGCAAUAUGUGAAUUUGCAAAAUAUCUAUCAGGCUAAGUCCGAGGCUGACUUUCUUGUAAUAGAACGACUGGUGAAAAGCACCUUGAAGAAAAUUGGUAGAGAUUCAAAUAGCAUUCCAAGGGCAACAAUUAAAAGCUUUUGCAAAAAUGCAAGAAAACUCAAAGUAAGCAUGUGAAGUUGCAAAUCAGUUUAAAUUUAAAUUGUAAAUAAUUAACCUUCAAAAGGAUUACAGUGCUUUUGGAUUUUUGGGUCCAAAAUAAAAUUCCUUCAGCCCUCUUAUUAUUAUUAUUGUCAUUAUUAAACUUCUCUUCAGCCUUUUGUCUAAAAAUAGAGCAAUCGCAAGACUAGAGAUUUUUGCUUAGUUUUCAGUAUAGAUUAUUUUGUAGGUUUGCAGGUACCGUUUGAUUGAAGAUGAGUUUAAUUUUCCAAACCUGUCGGAGUUACAGAAGUACCUAACUGAUGAAGAUUACAGGUUAUAUCAUUUUACAAAAAAUGCUUCUCGAUGAUUUUUUUUAAGAUUAAUCCACGUAGAAGGAUUUAUCUUGAUGAAAACCUGGUUUCCUGUUUAUAUAUGUGGCAGCAUUGCUGUGGGAAUUUAUAUUUUGCUUCGUGCGGUUGAUCGGUUUGCUGCUAAUUACAACAGUUUUCCUGGACAGUUUGACAGGUAAUGCCUCAAAACUGGUGAAGGUCUAUUUUUUUCCCUUUGUUUUAUGGUUGGACUCAUUAUUGAGGUUGGUUUUUUUAUAUGUUGUAAUUGUUUUGCAGCGCAAUGGAUGAGGAUAUAUCUCGAUUAAAGAGCACAGCAAUUGGCCUACUUAAUGACUUGGGAUGCAAUGGUGCCACAUUGGCUGAGGACCUUAUCAAUGAGAUGUGUCGAUUUGGUGCUGCGGAGCUUCAUGCUGUUGCUGCUUUGGUUGGAGGAAUUGCUUCACAAGAAGUGAUCAAGGUUUGCAUUUCUAGCUCAUGUGGAAUAGUUUUGUUUGAGAGCUUUUAUUUUCUUGGGCUGUUUGUUCCUAUGAGAUUAUAUUCUUUGCAUGGAUGUUUUAUUGGAUUCUUGUCUUGGUUCAGUCAUUUAGAUAAUUAGGCCAUGAAAAGUUAACACAAAAGACUCUCAGACAGCAAUUAGACACGUAAAAAGAAGUCAACUAAACUAAACCUAUUUUCUCAUCUUUUGUAAGGAUCCCUACGUCUUGUCCCUAGGGCAUACUGGUUUAAGCCCUAUCUCUAUAUCUGCUUAAUGCCCAAUUUUCUGUGCCUCAGCCCAUUAUUAAUCCAAUCACCCAUUCCCAUAUAUAUAAAACCAAAAUGCUGUGUUUUUCAAUAAAAUUAAAAUUGAGUCAACAUUUCCAACUAUGAGUUUUGUAGAACUCUACAAAGUAGAAGUAGAGCCUUGGCUUAAUAGUAAAAUCUGCUCCGAUGUGACAAUGAGGUCACGGAUCUUCUUUGCAAGUGCAUAAAGUUGCAUUUUCCUACAAUAGCUCACAAUAGGACUCAAUGGGCUAGACCCUUCUGAUAGAGCGUGUAGUAUCAAUAUCUUCUGGUGGAAGCUUCAAAAAAGCACCAGGUUGCCUUUUAGAAGUUCUGCGCCGCAUGUGCCCAAAGUUCAUAGCAGAUGAAGCUUGGCUUGGAAUUGUAUCAUGUAUGUGAAGGGGAAUGUUGUAUUGAAAAAUAUUGAAGAGAAAAUGGAGCGUGGGGGGAAGGGAGCCAUUGCUAGGCUUUAAGAUGAAGUAUAAAUUACCUUUAUCCCACACCUCUAGUUUUCCUUAAUAGUUAUCCACACACUCUUUUAACAUCUGCAUUGAACAAUAGAUGAGGGAGAGGAAUCAGGUUUAUCAUAGAAGGACAUUGGCACGAAAGAAUUGAGUGUAAUCUAAAUUGAGGAGCUCUGCUAUUUUUUUUACUUAAAAUUUAAGCGUUGGCCUAUGCAUUUGAAUUGAGGCUCAUGUUAAUGGAAUUGUGUAGUUACAACAAUUAGCAGUAUUCGGUAAAAUUCUUUCAAAUGAAUGUGCUAUGUGCAAAGAAAGGAAAUUCAUUUUGCUUCUGUCCUAUACCUGACAUUACUUAUGUUCCUUGCAGCUCAUAACAAGGCAAUUUGUACCAAUGUCCGGAACCUUCAUAUUCAACGGCAUUGACCACAAAUCACAGAUAUUGUCACUGUAAUUGUUUUCACUGUGGUAAUACUUUAACUUUCUAGUUUGGCUCCAUAACCUUGUCGCUACAGUUUUUAUCCUUACAUUGUAAUUUAUAAUGGUGCUGAUGCAGCAGGGUUCUAUUGGAAGAUCGUCGAUUUGCUGGAGUGAGCUAUCAUUAACUAUGGCUUCCUUGUAUCUUGUAGUGCGCAUUUUUGAAGCAUUUCUGAUCGUUAAGCAGUACUAGUACAUUCUUCCUUGUAUGGAAGUUUUGUAACUACGGAUGUCAUGUCAGACAGCGGAUUGAGGAUUAGAAUAGAUAUUACAAAACUGAAGAGACUACUUUGUUUUAUGAAUACUUUUUUACCUAUGUUGUACAUUAAGAUCUCUUAGCUGCAGCGAUCAAUGUAAUCUCAGGGAAAUCAUAUUAUCAUAUAGCACUAUAAUUUAGUAAUGAUCCAUUGAAUAGUAAACACAUUACUUAAAUUUUAUCCCUAAGAAAAAAAUUCUUUAUUAAUGUUCGAAAAGAUAUCAUGUGAAGAAUUUGCCUCAGGGAUGAUCCAAAGCAUAGAUGUCAUGUUUGAAAAACAGAUUGCUCCUUGUGAUGUUAUAAUUUGAUGAGAAUGAUUAAAGCAUGGGCAAAGUCCUUCAAAGCUACUUGUCCCUCUUUCUAACUACAAAAAAAUUACAUGAAAAUUCUCAUAAAUAAUCAAAUUAACAAAAUCAGACUAAAGUACAAGCAACAAAAUGAGAGGAAGUGUGGCAACUAGCAACUAGCAACUAGUAGGAUCCUGCAGAGUCGCUACAUACUAACAGCAUCCACUCUUUUGUCAGUAUUGUAUACACUGAACUUGCCGAACUCCCUUCGUCCACUGGCAAAAAGUGUCCAAUGUCAAAGCCUUGGUGAAAGGAAUAAUAAUUCAGUUGUUAAAAUAAAUAUCAGUAUCAUAAGUGCACUACUAACAACCAUUUGGGAUGACCAUCAAAAAGUAAGCAAGAAGAAAAAUAAAUAAUUACAGCAUACCUGUGUUUCACAUCCCAACCACCAGGAAGAAAUCGUGGAUUUACAGCAUCCACAAAUACUUGUCUCCAUCUUUGACAAAACUCUCCAAUACCCUCUUCACCAAACUCCUUCAGUAAAUGUUCUACAACUAAAUUCCCGUGUGGUCCAUGUCCCAAGAGUGAUAGUUUCGAAUUAUGCUUCGCUAGUGUUGAUUCUUCAUAUUUGGAGGGAUCAAACAAGUCGCUAACUCCAUUUGGUAGCGUUCUGCUCAGACUGUUAUCAACAUUUAAAGAGUUCCCACCUUCAUUAUAAUCUCCAUUUGAAAUAGCUGCAUCAACUGCAAGGUCAGAAGCUAAUAAGGGGUUCCCUAGAUCAUCUUUUUCCAUCAAAAGUUCUCCAUCAUGAGCAUCAUCAUUCAAUGCGUCCUCAUCACCCGGAGCGCAACCAACAUGAUUCUCCAGUUGUGGCACUGCAGCAGUACUCUCCGUAGAAUGUUUAAAAGAAAACCCCCUCUUCUUCUCGAACCGUCUUCUCUCUUGAGGAGUCAUGCCAACUUGCAAAGCUCCUUCUAGAUCUUCCUCAGUUAUUUCUCUCCCUCCAUAAUAUCUUUUUACAAUCUGCAAAAAUAUAACAUAUAACCUUAUAAACAGAAGCUCCUAUAGUUGAUGUUCUUCAGUAGCAAUAACAAACCAAUAUAUCACUACAGAAGUGCAAUUUAGAACCCAUAUUUUGUAUUUAAAAUGCAUCCAAAAUAGCUUAAACAAAUCCAUUCCCACUUGGCUAUACCCAAACUAUAAAUUACUCAUCAAGUGGGGCUCUACAACAGCUGUGUCAAAAUAACCAAUAGCAGACAGAAAUAUGAUCAAACCUCAGUUAGUUCUUCACGGCGAUCGAGAGGCAUUCUUGGUCCAUGGCGUAGAAGAGCCAUUGCAGCUGUUCGUAAUUGUAAUGGAGAUACACCUCCCUCCUCAGUUUGUUCUUCAUUCUUUUCCCUUGGAUGAAUUACACUACGAACAUAGAGAGGAAUCCCAUAUUCAGCAGCUAUCUUUCUCUUAUACUUCUCUGCAGCAGCAUGGGCAAUUUCAUGGCAAUCCACACAAAGUAGGACAAUAUCAUGAGAACGAUGGCUUUUCAAAUGCUCAGGGAAAUGUAUUCUGUAACAUGAUGGGAUUAUUCGAUACCGCAAGUAGUGGUUUCCUUCACCACACCCAACACAUAUAUUUUUCUUACUCUGGAUAUAAAAGUCAUUGUCUUCAUCCUCCGGGCGGCCUUUGGGUUCAAAAAGAAGCAUUAUACCUGGGGGAUCGUCAUCAACAAGUUUAGCAAGAUCCCGGCUGAGGUACCUGGAGGUUUGAACAUUAAUCAUGAAGAAAGAGUACAUUUUAGUCUUUUACAAAUGGAAUAAAAGUGAAAGUGCACAAACCAUUCAAGCUUCUUCCGAUCACAAUAACAAAGUAGCCUUCCAUCAUUAGCAUAUAUCCGACAAUUGUGAUAAACAGGAGCUUUGCAAGAAAACUUUUGAACGAACAAAUCUCUAGAAGCCUUCCGGGAGAAUUGUUUAAGAUUUUUUAGUCUUGAAUGCUUAUGGACUGAAGUAGGUCUCGGGCUACCGUUAACCAGCAAAGCAUAAUUAAAUAUAGAAAGUUGACAAAUCCCAUUUUGACCAAGACACUUCUGAAUAAUCACUGAAUAAAUAUCACCACGGUUAACCAGCUUGUUCGCAAGCAGAUCAUAGAUAUCAUUCAGGUGGCUACAAACAACAGGAGAUGGGGAAGGGAUGAUAGAGUUGAGACCCAUUUCAAAAUUGAUAUCAGUACGAGCUAUAGUUUUGUAUAUUUCAGUGUGAGUUGCUGGUGGCUGACUUGCCAAAGCACCAAUUGCCUGAUCUGACAGUACAUAUUUUAAGCUCUCAUCAUGAAUACGAGCCUGAAAGGAUGAACAUGGCACAGAAUAAUCAACUCAAGGUGCUAAAAUAUAAUUUUCUGACAUCAAAUAUAAUGCAUCCAGCAUUACAUCAAAAUUUGCACAGCAAGCAAUGAAAUCUUUCAUUUAUAAAUUUAGUUUCAUCACUAUAAUAGAAAGUAGAAUUAGUUUAACUUAAUUUUAUAAAUUCUUUUGGUGACAAAUCAUGGCAGAAUCAAAUAUAAGCCUACAUAUAUUAUUACUAUAAAAAAUAAAGUUGAUGCAUUGUCAGCAGUUAAUAACUAAACAAAAGUCAUGUAUAUUCAAUCAUAAUAAAUCUCGAUACAUCAAAGCAAUCUUAGAAAUACUUAGUUAAACUGCUAUUUUUUUUUCAUUCCAGUAUUACUCCAAGUUUUAUUUUAUGUAAUGGCAUGAAAAGUAGAACUUAUAAUCUCAAUAACCAUGUUUCGAUCUCUAAUGACUAUGAACAAGGUACAUUAAUUUCUGAUCCAAAUCCAAUCCAUCUUGUAAUUUUCAAACUUAGUUUUUUCUAUUUUUCUUGAUAAGCACAAAAUUCAAGUUAAGCAGUAAGACAUAGCUACAGUAAAACAACUCUUCUUAUCUAAAUUUAAGCACCCUUAAUAUUCAUAACUGACCAUCAAAUCUCUCCAUGUGCAUAGCUGCCUCACAGUAUGCUGAAACUGUAAUCAGAGAAUUAUGUUAGAAUAUCAUAUUCAACAGACCACUCACAUUACACUACUUCAAAUGCUGAACCUGACCACUCAUGUUAUGCGGCAAACCUGGGUUUCAUUGGAAAUUGAAGGCACAUCUUGGCUGCUCACAUGACGAGAAAAUAAUGAUAAUACAGAAGAUUCUCCAGGUGAAGCUUCAAUAUCCUUUGUGAAAAGUUGUAAACAGAUCAUGUUUGAACGCCGACAAGCCUCGAGGACAAACUGGAUUUUAUCAUCAGAACCAGAGUUUUCUGACCCAACAACAAAUUUAAAACUUUAACUCAACAUUAACAAAGAAAGGUCCUAAUCAGUUGCUAAGUUGAGAAGUGGCUAAGAAAAAAGAUCCAUUUCUUCAUUUAGUUUAUCAAAAUUAUCCUGUUAAAAUAACCAAAUGCUUACGAUCAUGAAUCUGCUUAUUUCUUUACCACAUUUCUUUGGGGCAUGGGAAGGAAAUAAAGGAGGAAAAAGAGCUUGGCAAGAAGGAAUACCGUUGUCAAGUUGUCUGAGUUCAUUGAUCAUACAGUUUGCAAUAUACAACAGAUAGUGUGCAUCUGUUAGUGCAUAAUGUAACAUUUCUGCUGAGAGAGGGCGCUGUCUCCAGUCUUCACGCUACAUUAAGCACAAAAGAAAAUUGCAAUUCUAGUCAGUAAUUAAAAAUAACAUCCCAAAUCCAGAGUAAUAGCCUUCCAUCUUAUUUACGACAUUUUAGUAUUUUACAAUGAAAAAAUAUUUGUUAGAAUAAAAAAAUAUUUUGCAAUAUCUUUGAUUAAUUUAAGGUAAUUUAGAUGAUUCUUUGGGAUUAGUUUUUUUUCUUCUAACUAAUAUUGAUUUGUUUUCUUAUUUUAUUAGGAUUAGGGGUCUUAAUUAGUUUCUCCAUUCAAUUAUAAUAAGGAGUCUACCAUUACUAUAAAUUAAGGUAAGUACUCUGUCUUUUAUAACAUCACAUCCAAUAUAUUAUAUCAAUACAAUUUUAUUCUCACUAUUCCUUUUUUCUCUUUCUAUAUCCUAAAGACCAGGGCCGUGUAAGGCCUUAGUUAAAAUAGGCAAUUGCCUAAGGUCCCCAAGAAUAUAUAGGCCUCCAAAUAUAUUUAGUAUGUAGACAUGAUAUAUUACUGAGACUUGAGAUGGUAAUGAAAUAAUGAAAAAUUAGAUAACAUGAAUUGCAACAUGAGCAAUGCAAUGUAAAAACUUAGAAGUGCUAAACUCAAAAAAUUAAAUUGUGUUACUCAUAAUAGUUUUUAAUAACUUAUAUAUAUAGUAUUGUAUAUGUUUGCUCUUCACUUUCUGUUUCUUCUCUAGAAAAAAAAGAAUUUUUUUCAUUUUCUAUGUACGUUGAAGUAAAUUAUCAAAGAAGAUAUUUGACAUUAAAGUGUUGCAAAAUCUCUCAUUAAUUUAUUCAUUGUGUUUUAUGUUCUAUUGUUCAUAAUUUUUUUUAUUUUACAGUAUAAAAGUCUUGAUAAAUGAUUUCGCACCUUAAAAAACGGGAAGAUUAAUAUAAAAAAAUUGAUAAUUUAUAUAAUAUGUUAGGUCUCUUUUAGAUUCUUGUCAAAAUAAAAUGACUUUAACAUUUUCACCUUAGGCCCUAAAAUCGCUGUACACGGCCCUGCUAAAGACUAAACUCUAUAAUAAUUCAUUGAUGUACCUCAUACUAAAUGCUUAGUCGCCUACACCAUUAACAACAAAUGCAACACAAUUUUAAAAGAUGUCUUAAAAAUGUAAUUAUUGGCACACUAUAUUCAUUGUUCAAAUUCUUCAGAAGGCUACUUCUGAAGCAGUAGAAAAGGGAGAUUUUCUCAUACAUCAUUUAGAAAUCUCUUCUUCCAUGUAGGAGCAACCUCAAUGUCAAUUUAAAUGAUGACUGCCCUUAAUCUCAACUGCUUGAGAUCAAAUUUCUUUACAAGUUAGAAUUUUAAUCCCGUGUACAUAAGAAAAUUAUGAUUAUGAUUUAUAUUACUAAACAAUUGAAACCGUAAUAAUGUGUUUUUAAAGCUCAUUUAAGAAGCCUAUCAUUCUUAGGGAAAAACACAUAGGAUGCCAGAACUUUAUAAUGUGUUUUUAAAGCUCAUUCAUUCUCAGUUGAACUCUGCUAUUUAUUGAAAUAAAUGAAAAAUUUAGGCAUUGCAUUUUACUUAAAUAUAUCCAUGCUAAAUAGUCUCCAACAUUGUUGAUGACAAUCAAUGAACUUAUCCAAUGUAAUAAUUUGUUUGUGGAUCAAGCAUAAGAUCAGGUCAAACCUGUAAUAAUUUAUUUGUCACCACGCCACAGUAAGUUUCUAGCAAAUAAGCAAGUGAUUUCUGUGGUUUUGAAAGCACUUCACAUGCCUGCAGUACAUGAAGACAUGGAUUAAAAAAGGCUAUCAAUCAAUUGUAGAAGGGAAACUUCUCCGGUCACCAUCAUGCAUGAGGAGAAAUUUCUGUAGGGUACAUGACACCCAAUAGAUAGUCAGAUAACAAGACAGGACUAGGAGUAGCUCACCUUAGAAGUAUCAAAAAGAUUAACAACAUAAAUAUGGAAGUCCCUCUGUAGCCAGAGAAUAUCAUUGUCAGCUCCAUGGAACACCUAUCCACAAAUAUUUCAAUGAGAAAAGAGACUGAAAUAAAUUGCUAGGACAACAAAAACAAACAAAUAAAUCAACUAAAAUAUUUUCAUAAAUGAUAUGCUUUAGCCCCAAUUCCAAAAUAUAAGGUGCAGUAUAUAUAUAUAUAAAAGAGAAAGAAUCAGAAUCAUUCAAAGAAUUUAUGAUGAAAAUCUUACUAAAAAAUUAUAAAUUUAGGCUUAAAAAGAGAAACUAAUUGAAAUAUAAACAUCAUCCCCCCUGCCCCAAUAAGUUUCCAAAUCAUAUGAAACCGCUAAGAAGCAUGAUUCCAAUAACUUACAUACUUUACAAAUGGAAGGAUUAGCAAAAACUGGGCGAAGGAUUCCCAUAGAAUCAUGCAGAGCAAUUGUGUCAACCAAAUAAUCUUUCUUCUGUGUAGAAAUCUGCUUGAUUACAUCAAAAGACACACUAAUCAUCACCAAAUUCAUCCGGAAAAAAAUAAUAAUGGCACAAUGCAAUCAGAGAUAAGUACUUAAAACUUCAAAGCAGCACAGAAUUACCUGAACUAAUGCUGUAAAGCCUAAAAAAGAGUGUAAGCUAUGUUGUUCUGUGUCCACGGCAAAGAACUUCUCCUUGCUCAAUUCAUUGACCAGUUCCUUUAACAGUACCUCUGUAUCGACCCAAACAUACGAAUCAUUCGUCUCCAAGUCCACAACCUCAAAAUCAUCACUAAGUUCAAUUUCCGGCUGAGGACUUCUUACCAAUGCCGUAAUCUCUGCCUCAAACGGAUGCAAAUCCGAACCAUUCUCUGUAACAAAACCAAUAAACUCAGCUAAAUCUUUAUAAUCUCGCACAGAGAACUCAACAAUGAUGAACUUCCUAGUUCUUAUUUUGUACCAAUUUUUCAAACAAAUCUAUAAAAUGGAACCUUAUCACUUGAAAAUUGAAAUCUAAGACUUUGCCAUAUCAAAAUUUCCGAAAAUUUCCACCAUUUUUGCACUGAUAUAGCUCAGUGUUAUCAAAUAGCGGCUAUAGUGGUGCUGCGCCUAACUGCUACAGCGGCGUAGUGGAUUUUUGGCUCAUCGCAAUGCCGCUAUUGCCAACUAUAGCGCAACUAUAGCGCGCUAUUCCAGCUAUUUGCCGAUAAAUAGCGGCCGAGAUAGCGGAUUUUUUACUCACCGCGAUGGUCCGCGAUCGCGAUUUGACAACACUCAUAUAGCUACACCGAACUAGACUACGCUACUUCACUUGUCUAACCUGAUGCAAAAUUCGCAGCAAAUGAAGAAACAAAGUGUUCACAGAAUCAUAGGCAAGCAAACGUACCAUCGUUGAGGCUCAAGUGUUUGAAUGGAGCGUAGGAGUUAUCUGCCAAGACACGCUUGAACGCGCACUUUGGCUUCCGUUCGGAAUGUGAGUAGCACGAGCUCGGAGGGGACUCGUGCCGGUGGUUACGGCGUCGUCGUGCGGUGAAGAAGAUGGAGAUGAUGGUAGCUGCUAAAGCAGCGAUCGUGAAUGCCGCCGCCACGCGCGUUUUGUUUCCGGUGUUCAUGUUUUUUGGUCUUCGCUGCUCUGAUGAGUUGAGUUUGGGUUUUUUUGUGCAGAAGGCACGGUGGAGGCGGUGGCCGGUGCGGCUUGUGGCGGCGGAGUUUAACUUGCGCUGCUUUGAUGGGCUUAUUGGUUAUUGAGCCUCCGAGAUAUAAGCCCAACCCAAAUUGUUCUAAUAGUUGGGCUGAGGUGAAUUAGGCCCAAAAGGUUUUUUUUGACAAAAAAUGGAAAAUUCUCUCUUUUUUUUCUUCUUCUUAGUAUCGUUCGAGAAACAAUUGCAAAUUUCUACGAUUAAAUUAGUUUUUUAUUUUAGAUUCGAAGUUGUGCUCUUAUUUUUUGGUCAAAGGUAAGUGAUUCAUUCAAGAGGUGAAUUGUCUAACGACACUUACAACAACUGAUCAUUCAUACUUGAAUCAAAGAAAUUGGGUCAUAGCCCAAAACAACUUACAAGAGAAUUCAUUAACACUUAAGCCUAUGACUCUUAGCACAUAUAAACAGGGUUAGAACGAAGAGAGAUUAAGACAAAAUACUUGCAAGAACCACCCAAAAGGAGUUAGGCCCAUAACAGUAAGCCCUUUAGAAAAAUGGGUCAGUCAAACCAUAGCUUUUGGGGUCUCCAAACCCUAGCCAACCAAAGUAAAGGGGCGGCAGAACGAUGGUGAGGGGACGAACGAGAGUGACUCCAAAGCAAAGUUCCAAAUACAUGAUCUAUAGCAUACAUAAGCGAAAAUUUAAUCUUUAUUGUGCUCUUAUCCUUUCAGAGAUCGAUUUUCAUUGGACUAACACCUUAUUUGUCUCCCUUUUUAGUGGAUCCACCACAUUCAAAUUUUUUGUUGACAACUAUUAAACGACAAGGGUUUCUUAUCCAAAAAUGAAUAUGAAUUAUAAUUUUGUAAUAAUCUUGGACUCCCCUACGCUAUUGUUUAUUUUUUUUUUAACAUUCCCCUACGCUAUUGUUGAAUCUGAACUUUAUGCAAUGCUGAAAAGUAGAUAGAUUUCUUGUUCUAACAAACAGUUUGUCGAUAAACCAACUUUUCAAAGUUUGCUUGAAGCAUUGGUUGCUAUAUUAAUAAAUGGGUCAAGACUUCUAGAUACAUACAAGGCAUAACCAAUUUUUCAACUUAAUGCAUGUGUUCUUUGUCAACUUCCUAGAAGUGACCAUGAAUCCUCCAAAGAUGGUGGUACUUGUAAAGUUAAACAAAGGGAUUUUACUCAUUUAAAGUAAAUUAUUAUAAUUAUUAAUAGUGAUUAUAUACUUUGACAAGUUAAUAAAGCAAUUUAAUCAAUGAAAAAUAUAACUUACUUUACUAUUUAAAAUGAAUUUCUGACUUUAGAGGACAUCGUCUCAAACAAAUCAAAUCUGUAAGUAUUUUGAGCCACCAGAGAUGGUCAUUGGCCACCCAAUCCCUUGAAUUGGUCAAUGCAUUGUUAAUUACGACUUUUAAGUUUUAACAUACCUGGAUAAUGCAAUUUUUUUCUUGAUUAGUGACUAGAAAAGUAUUGCCCUUUCUUUGAAGUUUAUAGGAGUUAAGAACUGUAAAUUGCUGUUACAUAAAAAAAGUGACAUCUCUCCGAAACACAUUAGUACUUGCAGCAAGUUAACACAUGUUGUGUAAUCACGUUUAAAGUUAUAAUUAAUUUUAAGGGAAGGUCCUAUGCUGUGAGUGCUUUUGAGUGAGAAAGAAUUGAUCAUUAAGAGGUUCAUGUUUGGAUCUAGAUUCAAAAUCAAUUUUGUGGACUCUGUGAGUAGCUUCUACGUACGGGAAUUGAUUUUGAAAAAAGAAAAAAUUGAAACAUGCUAUUAAUCUUCCUAUACACAUGUGGUUCCUUGUAAGGUCAAUUUGAUGAAAAAGCUUAAGAAAUUUUACAGAGGCUUUGUUUAUGGAAGUUAACUUUAGAGGUGAAACAAUAAUGACACCAUGACCAUAACUGGUGGUAGACAGUGGCACCGAGUUAAGUCUGAUUGCAACCUUCUUGGCUUCUUGCUAAGCUCGAUCGGAGUGCUGAUAUAUAAAGAUGACAAUGAUGGUGAUUUGGAUUUGGUGGAGGCAACUACAAAAAUGUUAUUUUGAUUAUGUUUAUGUGUUUGUUCCCCACCAGGAAAAAGAAACUUAGAUAGUGAUCUCAUAUUCUCAUUAUCCAUCAAUGGGCUCUUCUUGCGCUUAAAAACUUUGCAAGAUUAUUCAAGGAGAGCCCUUUACUGUUGCUGUAGUAUGUCGGCAUAUGUGAAGAAAGGUUAAAAGCAUUGAUUGAGUCGUGUUGAACUUAUUUUUCUUUAGAAUCAAUUUUAAAUCUCAAAAGUAUUUAGGGUGAUAUGUUUUAGAAUUAGUUUUGGUUUAAAAGCACUAGCUCAAUCACGGUUGCUACAACUUCUUACCUUGGGGACAGGAUUCCACGACUCUCUUAUUUGAAUGAGAGUCCUUAUCUCGGUGCGAUAUACUUUUGCUCUAACUUCCACUUUCUCCUAUUGACUGUGCUCGAACUGCUGGCUAUAACAAAUUGAUGUGGCAUAGCAACGACUGAAAUUGAUCUGAAUGAAGCUUUAAGUGUAGUUCUGGAGCUUCUCCUAUUCCCCGCCUAUACGGAGUGGAGGAAGAUUGUGCAUAGUGUGAUUUUUCUAUCUAUCUAUAACUGCAUACAUUAAAAACUAGACCAUUGCAAUUUUUUUAUUACUAUAUGAUAAUUUUUUUCUUUUUAUUUCUAUAAUUGCUACUAGUCACAUUACAUGGUGCACUUACCAUUUAAAGAGAAUAUAAAACUUCAGAAAUGCCAUCUACCUCAAAUUUCAGUUUAUAUAGAUCUGAGCAAUUGUUUACCCCUAAAUUCAUCCAUGACCACUUCUAUAAAUGCAAUUACUUCUAGAAUCAAUUACCAAAAACAGGGUGGAGUUAAAUAGUUUAAUUGAAAUUUGACAAUUGUAAGAGGUAUCAAGGUAACAUAUUUCUGUGCCUGCCACAUUGUUACCUUGGGUGUUUUAUUUCAGCUAAACAAUUAGUAAUUUACUGAGCCAAUUAAGGAAUUGAGACAUAAGGGAGCCCUCUUUUGGCAACUCUCUCACUUUGGGUGUUAAAAAUGACAUGUGGCAGCAGCAGGUGUAGUCAUUCACUGAAAAUAACUCACAACUUUCAUGGUAGUGACUGAUAAUGACAUUACUUUUAACUUACUUCAAUGCUCUCAAUCCGGUUAACCUACUCAUGGGACAAUACAUGUUCUUUCAGUAAAUAAAUAAAUACAGACCACCUACUCUUAGAGUGUAGUGUUUUUUUUUCACUGUAGAUAUAAGGCCUGAAUUGGUGGAUAAUUUGUUAGUAUUCCUGUAAGCGACCAAUAAUUUAAGAAAAAUGCAUUGACUCAUGUGAUAAUUAGAACCGAAUUCACUAGAAGCUUUCUUUAAUCUAAACAGUUAAAAAAACUUUAAAGAACACACAGAAUCAAACAAAGAUCAUGAACAUUUAAAUCAAACAUGAACAUGGUGGUGGAGGUAGAAUAUGUGGAACUUGGAAGUGUAGCACCACAUCCCUAUACCACAUGGUGCUCUGGCCUGCAGACACAAAACAGUAGAUGAAAGACCAGGCCACAUGGAAAAAAAGGGUGCUCAAUUGUGGCAUUUUUUAUAAUAUAAGAGGCCAAUUACUAAGGACUGUGGGUCACACUGACCUUCACAUGUCCAAAAUUGAUGAUAAAUAAAAACAAUAUGGUUGGAUGGUCUCAUUUUUUGAUCACCACAAAAAUGGUCUCAUUAAUGAACGGUGGAUGUUUGCUUUUGUUUAUUGAGAACUAUGUAUCAAGAGAAUCACAUUGUCAGAACUUGACCCUUAUAGGGCCAUCAAUUAGUGAGAAAUAAUUAGUCGUCAUUAUGUGAUGUAAGGAUUCAGUAUUUUGGGAGGCUUAGUUUAGUUAGUUGAAUUAAUAAAUGAUAUUAUCAAAAUGGAAAAAGUGAAAUUAAGAAAUAUGUAGAAUAUAGGCACACCCUUUCAUUGUGUUUGGUCCAUGAAUGUGAACAUGUUAAGCAGUGCACUUCGAGUUUCUAUUUAUGUCUUUAGAAUGAUUAGCAUAUCUUAAAAGAGUAAGGUGGGUGUGGAAGCAAUUUCUAUGGGCCCUAGAGUUCCCUUCAUCCAACUCUAAUUUCUCUUAAACUUGUUCACAUUCAUUUUCUUUUUCAUUCUAAUUUCAAUUUUUUUUAAUUUUUCUAUUUUAUUUCUAUCACAUUAGUUAUUUCUUUCUUUUAUUUCCUUGCAUUAUGUGAACACAAAUAGAGUUUCAAGUGCCCUCCAUAUUUAUAUAUGGUAGCUGAUCUUUUAAUUUAUGAAAAAUUGAGUCAUAUAUGGCACAGUUACAGCACCAAAAAGACAAUCUGAAAAGUAGAAAUUGAUUAGAGCAAUGUGGACAAUCAUGGACAGAUGCACUUAUCAUAAUCUCUAUUAGCCAAAACUAUUGUCAUUAUUACUCCAUGGUAGGAUGAUCAACCUAAAGUUGCAAGCCAGCAUAUUGUCUCUUUAAACUUCCUUUGAUUUCUCACUGUGGGGCGUGGUACUAAUAAGACGAGAUAACACUCAGUUUGUCCCCUUUCUUUCUUUCUUUACUUUAUUUCCUUUUUUGUCAAUUGAGAUGAAGUUGAUGGCCAAAGCCACUUAUAAAGGUAAUGCCUAUCCCUAAAAAAACAAAAACUCCAUACAAACAGAAGAAAAUGAAAAUCACCACACCACUAAAAACAUCAACUGCCCAUCAUUACAUCCAAAGCCGUCUUAUUUCUUUCAAGCGAAUAUAUAAACAUGGAAAAUGUUGGUAGAUCAGAUCUCAUCGCGUAGACAUUCAGAGUGAGAAAAUAACAGAGUAAAUAAAUAAUUGAUUAUAUAUGUGAUAAAAAUUUAAAAAAAUGUGGAGUAUUUGAGGUAUCUAAGUAUUAUUACUCGUAUUAUUAGAGCCUUAAAGGCAAAAGAAUCCUUGAACGAAUUUAGAGUGUGAGUGUUAGUCAAGGCAUUUUUUAACUUGUGUAACAAAGCAUCUACAUACACCAGUCACCAAACUACAGUUGGUCUCGUCUAGUACAAUGGCUGGCAGCUUUGGGUUGCUUCAAGAUAAAAAUGACACAGGAAUCCUAUUAUUACAAGCAACUAAUUAACGCGAUCUCUCUAUGCCAUUUCCACACACCACAUAAUUAACUGGCCUCAAUGUUUGGUAACCUGAUAAGUGGUCACCUCACUCUUCUAAGCUAGAUUUUAUUUCUCACCACUCUGUUGUGAGCCAUGAUCAGCUGGAAUGUUUUUGUGUCAAAUAUUGCAUGUGCAGCUGAGAAUGAAACUAUAAUGUAGUUAAUAUUUUAUAUGAAAAUGGUGCCCCAAAGAGACCCCUAUGGCAGAUACAACAUGUGAGCUGAUCUGAACCUUCUUUUUGAAGUGCACGUGAAGUUCACCACCACCUGUCUAAUUAAUUUUUGGUAUUAAAAAACUAUCUCAGAACUUGAAACUCUAAAAUUGCAUAAGCGACUUAGCAUCUUAUUAAUAAAUCAUUUUUUAUACACAUUAUUCAAGAUAAAAUUGAGUUAUCUAAUAUUUAAGAAAUUCAACUAUCUAUCUAUUGCGCAUAAAUUUGUUGAUAUUCUCUCUUGUUAACUAAAGUGAUUUCAUGUUGAGCACCGCAUGCAUGAAAGUAAUUCAAUUUGGUCCUAAGUAGUGGUGGGUGGCGUGAAAGGUGGUGUUGGAGUUAGUGGAGGUGGUAGGGUGGCAUAGCAGAGGGUGACCUCACGGUAGUGGGGCACGACAGAGAGCGAUGGUCGAAACUUGUGGUGGUGGCAAGGUGACACCGGAACAGGUGGCAAAGGUAGAGGUGGCAUCGCAACACGACAGAUGGCGCAAAGAGGGCGAUGUCAUGACAAUGAGAAACAAGUGACGUCGCAACAGAACUGGUGGGAGAGGGGGAAGAAGGGGUAGGUGGGAGUUAGGGACAUAGUGAGCUAGUGGCGAGGAAGGGAAGGGGUGGCGUCGUGUGACCUCAUAUGUGGUUUGUUGUGUUUGAAAUACAGACACAAAGAGUAUGUGCACUCUAUCAGUAAAAUAACAUUUAUCGUACCUUAGAAACUAAAGCAUCAAUACUUGAUUUCAAAAGCCUAAUAUGUAUUUUAAUUUUAUUAAUUUAGUUAUAUUUAUUAUUUUAAUUUUGCAUAGUCCUAGGUGGCAGAAAAACAAAUCAUUCGCUUAAGACUAUGCAAAAUCCUUUCAAUUGAAUUCCUUGCAUUCGUCUCGGUCAACGCAAAUCCUUAUCUCAUGUUGUGUCGGACUCAAUUCGCGUGCAGACAAGUGAAUCCUAAUAAUCAACGGAUUAACCUAAUCUUAAACGAAUCUUUUGUUUUUCCGCAACCUGAGUCAUGUAAGAUUCUCUGUCCUCCACAUUUAAGACAUUCGCUUAUGAGGACGCAAAUUCAACACUGAUAUUUGCGUGGGGUGACAUAAAUCUAUCCCCAUCCACCACAUAAGCUCAAAGCUAUCCAAAAUCACAUCAUUGGGGUAUAUAAAUAUUUGAUUUUUUUUUCCUUCUUAAUAAUAAUUAUUUUUUCCGUAUAAUUCAAGAAAAAAUCACUAAUAUUGUUAUAAUGGAAUUUUGAAACUUUUACAUUUACUUUUUCUUCUGGUUACUCUCUCUUCUUUUUCUUCUUACAUCACCUAUUUUGUUAAGAAUAUAUCUCUCACAUGGGAAUUGAGUUUGGUGCCCCACCCCUUAGGCUUUGCACCCCACUUUAUUAAAUACGGAAUUUAAAGUUCCGUAUCAAUACGGAAAAUAAAAUUCCGUAUCUGUUUUAGUAUAUAAUGAGUGGUUGAAAAUGUGACACGCAUGCUUAAAUACAGUACGGAAUUUUAAGUCCCGUAUUCAAUAGGGAGAAUACGGAAUUUUAAAUUCCGUAUUUGAUAAAGUGGGGUGCCAAGCCCCAUAGGUGGGGUGCCAAACCCAACUCCCCUCUCACAUGUGUUUGGUGUAAAUAAUUUAUUUUCCAGUCAUAUAAUAUGAUCCUCCCAACUUCAAUCUCCACCGUAAGAAGAAGAGAUAGUGUAGUUUGCACUGCACAUGGUGAUGGUGUGGUGAGACCAGAGAGAUGAAAGAGAGAAAGAAAGGUUGGUUUAUCUGGCAAGGCUCAUGGUUACGUAGGGAGAGGGCAUUAAUGUCAGAACAAGAAACUGUCACUGAAUUUUCCCAUUAAAGAACAUUACAGCCGACAGAGACAACAUGGGCAUUAUGGUAAUAUAAAAACUGGUCGGUUAACAAGUCUCUUCACUUGUGUUCAACGUCCCUCACCACACCACACCUCACCUUGGAACACAGAACUCACAAACCAAACCAAACUUUACAUCAUUGGAUAAAAGCUAAGCAACAAACAAAACCAUUUGUUAAAGACAGAGCAUCUAUCUUCCUCUGUUCUGUUCUGUUCUGUUUUUGCUCUGUUCAGAUUCUCUCUCUUUUUGUGUCCCUCUCCUACCCCAUCUUCUUCUUCUUGCUUCAAAGGACCACUUUGCUUUCAAUAACCCAGUUUUGCAUUUGGGGUUUGCCUCUUGAAUUGAGAGAGAAAUCAAAAAGUGUUUUUUAAAGAAAAAGUUGAUGACUUGGAAAAGCAGGGGAGAGGCAUCUUCUAGAAACGUUAUACACCAGAGAUGGGCACUUUUCUUGUGCCUUGGAAGCUUCUGUACUGGGAUGCUAUUCACUAAUAGGUUCUCAAUUCUUCUUCACUUUAUCCUGUUGAUGAAUUUCUCAUCUUUUUAAUUGAUAAUUGAUCAUUUCUUCUUAGUUUUUCAAUGUUUGAUGAUUUGUCCAGUUUCUGAGAAUAAGUUCAAGCUGAAUUAGCUUUUCCAAUGAUUUCUGAGUUGUGGUUUAUCUUCAGUUCAGUGUUCUUAGAUCUUCAUGAUGCCUGGUUGCUACUUUCUAUGAUUAAUUAAUAGUUUGAUUUAUUAGUGGGUUUCAACUUUCAAGUGCUUAGUUAAUUAAUUAAUUAAUUUAUUAAUCAUCCACCUAUGGGUUUAGAUCUGGAUUCAAUUAUCAUGAAAUGAUUGUAAAUCAUUCAAAUUUUCAGUUUAACAUUCCAUUCUACCCAGUAUGAUGACUCUUAUUGACAAGUCAGCUCUGGUGUCUGGAAUUAACAGCACUUCAUCUGCCCUCAAUAUCUGUCAUUUUGUUGAACAUUUAAUUCCUGGUCCAGUUCUAGUUACUGAUUUUUUAUGAAUCUAUCCGCAAGUUUAAUUGAUGUAGUUGUUGUAAUUUAUGCUAUAAUUUAGUGAGGUAGUUAUUGUGGUACUUUUUCUGAUGAGAAAUGUUAAUUUUUCUUACAGGAUAUGGAGUGUUCCUGAAUCUAAAGGACUUGCAAGACCAACAGCUACAGAAGCUGAUCAAUUGAAUGUAGUUUCAGAGGGUUGCAAUUCGAGAGUUGUAAGCAUUGGUUUCAUUUCCAAUCCAUACUUUUAAUAAAUCUAAAUAAUCAUGUGGUAGUUAUCAAAAGAAGUAUAUCUUGAAGACUUGAACCUUUUCAAUGUUUAUCACCUGAAAUUCUUAUGCUGUUUUUUAAUGUUUGUUGGCCUCCCUUUUAGUUGCAAGAGAUGGAAAUGAAGCGCGAAUAUAGUGAAGAUUUCAAGAGUCAUAACUCCAUACAGUAAGUUAUAUGCAUAUUUGAAAAUCCUUCUACAGUUGUUUCUAAAAUCAAAAUCAAUUAUGGGGAUAAGCUUCUGUAUGUAGCUUUUGGUUGUCAGAAUUGAUUCUGAGGAAAUAUAAGCCGGUUGUAGUUGCAUGUUGUGAUUGUAGUUUGUAGUGAAAUUAUUUGUGUUGUUUUGAAUGCCAAACUUAUGGGGAUGUAUUGAAUGUAGAAAUUUGGACAAGACUAUUUCAAAUUUAGAGAUGGAAUUGGCUGCUGCAAGGGCAACUCAAGAGUCUGUAAGAAGUGGUGCUCCUGUUCCAGAAGAUAUAAGGAUUAGUGAUCAGUCACCGCGUAAGAGAAAGUACCUUAUGGUGAUAGGUAUUAAUACUGCAUUUAGCAGCAGGAAAAGAAGAGACUCGGUUCGGGAAACCUGGAUGCCGCAAGGUUUGAUCCCAUUUCUUAAUAUUUUUCUGUCAUGAACUUAUGGUUUUUAAUGCUAUUCUUUCUAUUUUAGUAGUUAAGGUUUGUGAUGAUUGGUUCUUUUGAUAACAUUGAAAAUAGGUGAGAAAAGAAAGAAGCUAGAAGAAGAGAAGGGCAUUAUCUUCCGCUUUGUAAUUGGACAUAGGUAGCUUAUCUUCUCUCUUUCAAAGAUAUUGUUGCAUAAUUGGUGACUUUAUCAUUAUGAUGAUCAAAAUGCUUUGAUGGAAGUUUAUACACACAUAUCCACAUAUAUAUCAGAAAUAACUCAAAUAUAUUGAACAGAUUAUAAAUUUGAUAUGAAUUUUUUCUUCUUCAUCUAGUGCUACAUCAGGAGGUAUUCUAGACAGAGCUAUUGAAGCAGAGGACAGAAAGCAUGGAGAUUUCUUGAGGCUGGUAAUUUGACAUAUAUGAUCCUUUUUGUUUCAGUGCUUCUUCCCUGCUCCAUGUCCCUUUUUUCAUUUUUUCCCCACGGCUUUUGUAAUUGCUUGACAAUGCCAUAACUUUUGAAGUGAAAAGGAAAAAUAGCACACGUGUUUAGGUCCUUAUACUUUGUUUUGUUUAUGCAGAAUCAUGUUGAAGGAUACCUUGAAUUGUCCGCAAAGACAAAAACAUACUUUGCCACCGCUGUGAACUUAUGGGAUGCUGAUUUCUAUGUCAAAGUUGAUGAUGAUGUUCAUGUAAAUAUAGGUAUUAAAAGUCUUAAAAACUCUGAUAUUCUAUAACUAUACACAUAAAAGCAUGAGGAAUUGGCAUUUUGUAAUACUAGAAUAAUAUGAAAACUCCAUCAUAUACAUCUUAGAUCUGUACCAAUUGGUCUUUUUUCUAUGCACUUUCUGUCUUAAUAUCCUAUUCAUUCUGUUUCAGCAACACUGGGGGAAACUCUAGUUAGACACCGAUCAAAGCCGCGGGUAUACAUUGGAUGCAUGAAAUCCGGUCCUGUCCUAUCCCAAAAGUGAGAAAUGAUGUUCUUCUUUUCUUCAUCUUUAUUCAAUUGAAGAGUUAAAACUCUUCCACUCUUCCACUUUUAGAUUCUUACAUGCCUACAUUGUUUCACAGAGGGGUAAGGUAUCAUGAACCUGAGUAUUGGAAAUUUGGCGAAUCUGGAAACAAGUACUUCCGCCAUGCCACAGGGCAGUUAUAUGCCAUUUCAAACGAUUUGGCAACCUACAUAUCAAUGAACCAGUAAGUCCUACUUCAUUUGGCAACAUAGAUAUCAAUUAUUAAGUGCAUGUUUGAAAUUCACUUUACGAUUGAUUCUAAAGUCAAAAUUAAUUAUGGGGAGAAGCUUAUGUGAUUAGAUUCUCGAUGCCAGAAUUGAUUCUAAGAAAAUAUAAGUUGAUUCAAAUAUGAUAUAAAUGAAAUUAAAUAAAUAGACUAAAAGGGUGGUGCUUAUGUUUUGUGCUCUUGUACUUAUGUAUACAUGUUUAUCUCAGGAAUGUUCUUCACAAGUAUGCCAAUGAGGAUGUGUCACUAGGAUCUUGGUUUAUUGGACUUGAUGUGGAGCAUAUUGAUGAUCGAAGACUUUGCUGCGGCACUCCUCCAGGUGAAUCUAUUAAUUAUGUUGGAAAUCUUUCUACAAUUAAUUCUAAAGCCAAAAUCCUUUCUGGAGAAGCUUUUCUAUGACUAGCUUCUAUGUGCCAAAAUUGAUUAUGAGGAAAUAGAAGUUGAUUCUGUUAGGUUUGUUUACAACUCGUAAACAUUUUCAAGUUACUGAGUUGGUUACUCUUGCAGAUUGUGAAUGGAAGGCCCAGGCAGGCAACAUUUGUGUUGCUUCAUUUGAUUGGAGCUGCAGUGGAAUAUGCAGGUCAGCUGAUAGGAUUAAAGAGGUACAUAGGAGGUGUGGGGAAGGUGAGAAUGCUUUGUGGAGUGCCUCUUUCUAACUCAGGAAGAUUACUACCCCAGAAAGAAAGCAAGCCUGCAAGAUUUUUUUUCUUUUUUUCCAUAUUUUUGUCCAGUAUAUAGAUGUAUCAAUCAUUUUAUAAGGAGUGAGAGAGUGUGUGAGGGAGAGAGGGAAUGGUUGCCCCCAUGGACCUUCUGCAAUUUUAAGAGGAGAUUGACCAUGGUAGCACUAGCCAGAAGAGGACACACAUGGUAUAGUCAACAUUCAUUCUUUGAUGCUUGAAGGGUCAUUCUGUUUGUUAAUAGUUCUAUGGCUUUCAAGUUUCAAGCUCCUAAUAAAGAUAUAAUGGGUGGCUUUUGCUACCCUUCUUUGUGCCUGAAGUUUUUUUCUGUUUUGGUUGAAAUGACUCUUAAUGAUCUCUUAGGCUAUGUUUGGAUAUCUUUUUGCAUUGCAAACGGACAAAAAAUGAACGAAACCUAUCUCAUAAAUUAAGAUGAAAGUUUGUUUCUUGCACUCAAUUGGUAUCUAAGCACACUUAUUUUAUGAUUGGCACUUGAACUAUAUUCUAGCGAAGUGGACAGCUCUAUCGGAUUAUAAUGCUCACAAAAACUUCACAUGAUAAUGUCAUGUUGAAAAUUUAUAUUUACCUCUCAUUUCAUACAUAUUAAAUAAGUGAAACCUUCUCAAUAUUUAUAAAGAGAGAUAAAUAUAAAAUUACACUUGACACAAAAAGAUCCUAAGCCCAUCUUUUUUUUUGAACACCUAAGCCCAUCUCUAUUGUAUAAGAAAUUCAACUAGAGAAAAAAUAAAUUAAAAUGAGCUUCAAAACCUUGUGACAGAUCAUACUUUUUAACCAGUGUAUUAAAAAAAAAUUCAUAAACCAUGAAAUAGUAUGGACCACUUCCAUACAUAUAUAAAAUACAAUGAUCCCACAUAUCUAAAAUUUCCAAACACUAAAUCAGUUUAAGCAAUGAGAUGCUAUUUUAUGAGAAUGCUUUAAACCAAUGUAAUCAAAGUAAAGGUAAACCCUUGAUAGUCAAUCUUAUUGUGCCAAACUUAUUUGUAUAUUAUAUCUGUAAGAGGAAGACCAAUCUUGGAUCUUUUCAAUGGACAGGCCAAAGGAAUGUUAAAUCUUUUUUUUGAUAGGCAAAGGAAUGUUAAAUAAAUUAAUCCUGGUUCAUGGGUUAUUGUUAAUUUGGUAUGUAGUUGAAAAUUGCAACCUAAUGAUUUGACCAUAACAUGAUGCAUGUGGUUGGGUGGGAUUCCCUAGUUAAGAAGGGUCAUUGUGUUUAUGGGUCAACGGGAAGAAAAGUUCAAAGUACUAGGAGUAUUAAUUAAUCAAAUCAAACAAAUUGGCCAGGGUUUGCAUAUUGGAAAUUUCAUCUCGGACGCAAUGCAAGAAAAUGAAUGGAGCAUUACCUAAUUAAAUAAAAACAUUGGUGGAGAAAAAUGUAAGAAACUAUAUGUAGCUGGUUUCAAUUCUAGAUACGGCUGACAUCAGAAUAAACGAACCAGGGAUUUCACUCUUCUAAAGUGAAUGACUCAUUUUAAAUGAUAAAACAAGUUAUUAUAAUUAUUGACUGAGUUGUUUUAUUGAUUUUUCAAAACAGAUAACUAUUAUUAAUGAUAAAGCAGACUCACUUUACAGCAGCUAAAUCUCAUUUUAAAAUAAAAAUAAUAGAAUGAAACUCUUCUUAUGAAAGUACUAUAUUUUAUUUUUAUUUUACAUGAAAAAAUAAUGCAAAACAAUUACAUUAGCAAGCUGCGGUAUAGAAGGUGCAUGCAUAACAUUGGAAGGCAGAAACUUCUAUAAGCAAUAACAUUCAAACACACUAUUAUUUCUGAAAAUAUAAUGGAAAAAGACAAAGGGAAUAGGCAAGAAGGCACAAAUGAGGCAAUAGGUAGAAAAGUUUUCCAUUGAUUGUGUUUAGUACAAAAAUUCAUUGCAGUGAGUAGCAGAAUCAGAAUACAUGUCCAGAGACCAAUAUUGAAUAAUUCUGUCAUAGGAGCUGUACUGUACCCAAGUUGUACUCAAAGCCUUGUUUUAAAACAAACUACUAUAAUCAUUACAUAUGUGUUUUAAGCAACUUCAGUUCUGUGUCUUACUCUGAGGAAAUUCGUGCAAUGUGCCAAAAAGAGGUAAACUCAAGUUAAGAUGGGGAAGGGUGAAUAAUGAUNNNNNNNNNNNNNNNNNNNNNNNNNNNNNNNNNNNNNNNNNNNNNNNNNNNNNNNNNNNNNNNNNNNNNNNNNNNNNNNNNNNNNNNNNNNNNNNNNNNNACCAAAGAAAUAAAACCCGCAACCAUAUACCACAAGUUUUACACAAAUAUGAGUUCAAAAAAAAAAGUUUUACACAAAUAUUUAAUUAGGUUUCACCGUUUUAUCAUAUCAUGGAAAAAUUAAGAUAAUAUGUAUAUAUAAUGAAAAAAUAUAAUUGUACAUCUAAGUUACAUCCUUCUGAAAACCAAAGAAAUAAAACCCGCAACCAUAUACCACAAGUUUUACACAAAUAUGAGUUCAAAAAAAAAAAGUUUUACACAAAUAUUUAAUUAGGUUUCACCGUUUUAUCAUAUCAUGGAAAAAUUAAGAUAAUAUGUAUAUAUAAUGAAAAAAUAUAAUUGUACAUCUAAGUAAAACUCUUUGUGUAUAAUGAAUUAAUGAUUAAAUUUGUAAAACUAAUUUUCUUAACCUACUUUGAUUCAGCACUUUGUCACAUAAAUAAGUGGUUGAGUGUUCGAAUUUCACCUCUUGAUAAUAGAAAGAAAAAAAAAUUCAUUGGACAAUCUUUUAUCGUUUAUUGCACUGACCACAUGACGAUUGAUUAGGCUCACGCAUAUAAGCUGUGGAAUACCUUGAUAAAAAAGAUAUCAAAAGUUUUCUGAAAAAAAUAACGGCAAUGUUAGAGAUGAAUUGAUUUUGGGCUUACACAGUUUAUUGUAGGGCUUUAUGGCCGAAGUGGGAACUUCAAGCCUCGCAAUAAAAUGAAACAAUUGACCAAAAAAAAGCCUCCCAAUAAAAUGAAAAACACAUCCCUAUGUUUUUUUUUAAAAUAAAGUCUCCCUGUGUUUAGGCUAAAUUUGAUAGUGCUCCGUAAUAGUUAUAUUAGUGACAAAAAUGUGUUAAUUGGAUCAAAAUCCUCUCAAUUUGUAAAAAAGCUUGACUAUGUUAAAUUUCACCAUGGCAUAUCGUUCAAAACAAAUGAGACACAUUGCUAACUAUCAAAAUAAAAAUAAAAAUGAAACACAUUGCUAGAUUUUCAUUUCUCAUGAAAAAUGUAAAAUUUAAAUGGUGUGCUCACUGCAGCCAUUAAAAGUAAAACAUAUGCAUUUAAUUGGCAAAUUUUAGGAAAACUCUUAAUUUUAAUGUAGAAUAGAUUUGUUAUAAAAGAAAGGUUAAAAAUGAGCUUUUAAAAAAUGGUAAAUCCCAGAAAGAUGGAAGAGUAGGUUAGAGAACUUUUAAAAAAAGUGAAGUGAAAAGAAAAGAAAAGGUAAGAAUUUUGAAAGCACAUUAUGACACAAAUAUAGAGAAAAUUAAAUGCGCAGAAAUUUAACAGCUUUAUCAGAAUAAAUUUAAUACUUAUGCUCUUUAUUCAUUAAUAUAUUAACUACUCUUUCAAAAAAAAAAAUUGAAUACAUUAACUACAACACCAACAAGUAAUACUUUUGUUUUUGAAGUGAACAAGUAAUACUAGAAUUCCACGAUUAGAGGAUAAAAUAAGUAAUUGUGGUAGUUGAUUGAAAAAUCAGGUUGUAAUCACAUAUUUGUGUAGCACACAUGGUUUUCUAUAAAUCUCAACCAUUAAUUACUCAAUCAAAUCAACAGUUGUGAUAACUUAUUUCACGUUCAGACUCAUUUUGGAUAAGCCAAAUCAUGGUACCUGAUUUCCCCAUAAAUAAAUUGUUCUUAAGUAAGCAAUUACUAAAAUCCUAUCUUUGAAGACAGUGCUGUGCUGCCUUUGAAGUCUUUGCUUCUUACAUUCAAGCUUUUUAUGUUUAAAUCUUAGAUGUCGAUACCUUGAUAUGUAUAGAAACAGAUUUAUGAAACGUGCUUGUGUUGAAAAGCAGAGAAUAAUUCAUUCAAUAAAAAACAGAAGCAGAGAGAUGAAAGACAGUCAUACAGAGAAUGCUUAAAGAACUGCACAAGGCUUCCACCCUGUAUCUACUCUGCAUCAAACUUUAUUAGCCCUAAAAUGUUGUGCAUAUAUACAUGAUGGUUAUACAAAUAUAAACAUGUUUGAGUUCACGUUUAAAUCUUCCAGAAUCAAUUCUCUGUUCACAAAAGUUACUAGAAUUGGCUUCUCAAAAUUACUUCUCUGCCAUGAAAGAGUUUCCAAACACGCUAAAUAUAUUCACAUACUAAACAUGCUUCACAGGCCUAAAAUAUUUCCUGAUAUAUAACUUCUGAAAAAGAAUAAUGAAUGAAAAAUGUAGUUAUUUAGAAAUCAAACACAUGACAUAACUAGAAAAGGGUAAAAUAAAAAGGCAAGAAACUCUGUCAAAGAAGAACAAAAGACCUAAAAGAAAAUCAAAAAUAAAACCAGAAUGUUCAAGAGGACAACCUGAAUAUACAUAUCUUCUUUGCAUAAGAAUGCAAACAGAAAAACACCACCUUUGAAACUUUUGAUUAGAAGCUUUCAAGGGUGUGAAGAGCACAAUGUCUCAUGAACGUGAUAUUGGCACGGCUCAAUCAAAAAACAAAGCUCCAAACGUUUCGAGCUUUGCUUUCUUAUUGAACCGGACCAAUAUCCCGUUUUUCUCCUCUACCCUUCAAUGCCAUUGCCACCACCAUGCUUUGCCUUAACCUUCAAAAAGCAUAACAUAACAAAGCAUCAAGUUAUUGCAAUUGAGUUAACAAAAAUUCAAAAGGGUCACUUUUCCCUUAUUCCCAACAAUGUAACAUGCAUAAUUUCAUACAUCUAAGUGAUAGUGAUCUAUGAAUGGAGAAGAAACAAGACAUGUUGAGAGAGAGACAGAGAAAGAUAAAAACACUCUGAUUCUGAAGUCACAAGGUAACUUUAAAGAAGGUAUAUAGUGAAGAGAGCAAGAAAUAUGGGUGGUGAUGGGUAGCAUUGAAGGAGUUGCAUUAAAUUCUCAACCACCAAGCAACUGAGGAAGUUGGAAUAUUAAUUUAAAGAGGUACAGGAAUCGUGAAAAAGCUCAGAGGAGACAAAUCUGUAGCUUUAAAUGUGGUGCAUUUAUGGAUUAUGGGGGGGAUGUUGGUUCUGUUCAAUCAGCAUUUAUGUGUAUCAAACAGUGAAAAAGAACAACAAACAACCCUUGUUUGCUUUGCUUUCUUUAAGGGUUUUAUUUCAUCGUAGCCAUCAUUCAUGCCCAACCUCUCAUGAGGCACUUCGUAGGUUCAGUGAUUCCUUUCUUCCCACUACAAUUGAUGCAUUUGCUUGCUCACAUCCAAUUCUUUGCUAGAAAUGAAGGUAAAUUGAUGAUUAUGAUUCUGAGCAUGUGAACUAGUUGUGCCAAAACUAGCUAAGCAAUGUAUGGUCUUUUUGGUUUAAAGUUUCUUUUAGUUAUGCCUUGUUAGCUUUAAAUUGGGAAAUUUUAUAAUGAAAUAACAGAAUCAUGAAACUCUCUACAUGCUUAUUCAUGGGUGUCUCCUGCUAACAAUGGGCAAGCUAGAUCCCUAUAAGAAUGAGGAUAUAAGUACAAACUCUAGAAAAGUCAUUUCUUAGGAGGAAUUGACCCAGUUUUUCGAACGAAUAUACACAUGUAAAAUCGCAAAAAAUAAAAAUUCAUAGGUAUUUGUUUGCUACUUGAUUUUUUUCUAUUGUCAAGGUAUCUCCACAUUUAUCCGCCAUGAGACAAAUCACCUUGAGACUCAAACAUCACAUUAAAUGAUCGGUCUCUUCCAACAAAAUCAUUCUUAAUAGAAACCGCUCAGAAAUCGAACAGUCAAUUAAAUACUCAAGGAGUCAGGCACUCAGGCUUCUAUCAGUUGUGUUGGGACUUGGGACUUGUUGGCUGCUACUCAUUUAAUUAUAAAGAAAAUAAUCAUUUUUUUUAAAGUCCCCACAAAAUUCACAAGUGUGUAUAUUCUAAUAAACUUAAUUAAAAUGUUGAAAUGUCAAUAUAUAUGAAUUGAGAUGAGUUAGGAUACCCUGACUUGAAUAAUUUUUUUGAAAGUGUACAUGCCUUGUUAGAUGACCAAGAGCAAUACAAAUUCAAAAUCACCUUAGGGUUUGUUUGAGUGCGCGUUGGAGAAAAAACCGCAUAUUUCCCACAACUAUAACUUGGAGCGUUGAAACAUACAGUUUGGGAGCAACCCCAAACAAGCACUUAGUAUUUUGAGAUACUAAAAACGGGCUGAUGCUUAUAGAAAGCUAGCUUUUUCGAUGAGGAAUCUUGAAAUAAUCUAUAGUGCAUGAUUAUUAAAUUUUACUAUUACUAAGAGCAGUGUAGCACUAUUCCCAAAAGAACAAAAGGAGCUUUGACUAAUUGUUGAUUUUGCUCGCUAAUGAUUUUCAAAUAAGUGGGUUAGGACAGAAAAUUGACAUGCUAAUAUAUCUGUGUCAACUUAAGAAUAUAAAAUAUUGCAUUAUUUUAGUGGUAUUGUGUUUAAUUUUACUGAAAAUCUGGUCGGCACUAUGGAUUGUUAAAGGAAAUGGUGUGGGAAACAGGUAGGUUGAUUUUGAGAUGUUAGUGAUGUAUAGCUUUGUUCAAGAUAUAAAAUUCCUUGAUUUUAUGCCCACGUUUUUAUUCGUGUAAACUUGUUUUAGUGCAUUAGUGCAGGUUUUAAAUUACAAUGAACUCAAAAUUAUAGUGAACCGCCUCAAAAGUUAAGAUAUUAUUUUUGUCCAUCAUAAUUUUUGCUUGUUGUGAUUUUACAUUGUCUAUUUAAACAUGUACUAUAUAUACAUCAAGUUUGAAUAUGGGGUCAAAUCUCUUAAUAUCACUAUCUCACCCAUAAAAAUUAUUUGGUAGUAGCUUAAUCAGAAUCAUUUCUCUAUCAAAUGUGGAAAUUUAUAGGAUUUCUAAAUUCAUGCAUAGUAUGUUUGGUUUGACAUAUAUCACACAAAUCAAAAGCACUUCUUCAUAAAACACACUUUUUAACUUACUUUUGUAAGUGAUUAUGGGGUUCCAACCAAAUUAAUCAAACACGUACACAUAAUUUUUCACCAUGUCAAAAUAAGCUUUUGAAAUGUAGUUUUUUGUGACAAUACUUACAAGUCACUGGAAAAAAAAAAAUUACACUAGUCGUACAUGAAAAUUAUACUCUUUUGUAGUGGCAAAAUUUGAAAUUGAGCAACAUGUUUGUACAUAUUUUUGUCAACUCAACUCAAACCGCUUUUCUUUACAUGAAAGUUACUUGUUAACUUCCUCAUAAAAUUACUUCUUCCCAUGGGAAACUUAUCAAUAUUUAUUACAAGGAAUAAAAAACAAGCUACUCACAAUAGUUUUCUAAGCUCACCAUUAGAAAUGUUGCAGCAAACAUACCCAUAAUGUCUUACUAGAAUUGAUUUAAAACUCAAAAUGAGUUGCAAAAAUUAAACCAAACACAUCAGGAAUGGUAGCCACAAACAAGGACAACACAGAGUGGGUCUGUGUGCUUGAUACUUUGGAUCCAUUAUUCCAUAUAUUAGGAAUUAUUGAUGCACCCAUAUAUAAUAUUAGUAUAGUAGUUAGCCACAACAUGUGAGAAGGACUAGACCAGUCCAUUAAAUAGUUCUGCUGCGUUCUCUUGAUGAGAAGGCAUAUAUACACAUGAGGGAAUAAAAUUUCCUACAUUUAAAUUUGUCAUGUGUACAUUAACGUUACCUGUAGGCAAUAAACAGUAUGCAAAACCUACCCACUACACUGUUUCAGUUUUCUGUUGUGUAAUCGGGAUCAUUUUCUAGUUUUGGGUGAUGGCUAUCGUGGUGCAAGGAUUGAUUGGAGCUCUCUUUUUUUGUUUUACGGUUUGGGGUUUGGGUAGGUGUGUCUUUUUAUUGGGGGUGGGCAUGAGUUUUGUUUGGUUGGUUGCUGGAUGGGUAUUUUGGUGUGUGCUGGCUUCAUGCUUUUGUUGUGCUCUAGUUGCUCAAGCUUUUGCAUGCUAGUCUUCUAGAGUGUUUUGUUUUGGCUGUAAUUUUUUCCUGGUUUUUCUUUUCUUUGUAUUUGGGUUUAGCACCCAAUACAAUAUUUGGCCUAUAAAAAAAACACAACAAAUUAUUUUAAUUAAAUAAACAUAUAAACUGAUCAAAUAAACUAUAAUUGAACAUAAAUGACUUUCUGAAAACACUCUUCCAACACAGUAUUCAUUGAGAAAAUGCUCAACUUCAAGAAACUUUUUGUAAAAAACAAUAGCAUGGAACUAACAUCAUACUACUUUAGUGCUAAAAAAACAUCAUACUACUUUAGAGCCAAUUUGGAUACCCGUUAGAAAGUAUGAAAACAGGUAUCGAAACGAGCUCUUCGUUUCAAGGACCUUAUCAUGUGCGACCUGUUUUGUGAUAUUCAUCAUAGAAAAAAGAAGUCUAAUUGUAAAAUGCAUUUUACAUCUUCAAAGGGAGUAAAUUGCAAGUUGGUUCAUGAGUCUCAAAAUGAAGGUAAAUAAAUGAAAAGGGUACUUAUUGAAGACCAGAAGACUAAUACAUAAACAAAAUCAAUUGUAAGUCAGAUGAAAAAUUUGACUAGGAAGAUUGCAAUUCUAGAAUCCCCUGGGUUCAAUUUAUCAGUAUAAAUGAACCAAAACCUUCAUCCUGAUAAACUUUAGUUUCAACAAGGCUUUGUGAUUAUUUACUCCGGACUUUAACUUGCAAACUCCAGUUAACCUUGCCCUCAGGCAAAGGGAUGGACCUGGGUAAACGCAGUGGAACCUCAUAUUCUCCCACGGUAGAUAAUGGUGAUGGAAGAUGCAGGUUUUCAGGUGCAAUGUUUACACAGAGUUGUCUUGCCACCUGAAAAUAGCACCACAUUUCAAAGUCAAUACCAGAAAAAGAAUGAGCGGGAAAAGGAAAUUGACCUUUGACAUAUCUGAUAUUAUUGUGAUGCAUUAGAAAAAGUUUAUGAGUUUAUCUUAUUACAUAAGGACUUAAGUGAGGCUUAACCAAACCUUGAAAAUAGCUUAUAACCUACCUAUAAGCAACAAGUGUUUGGUUAAUUUUAUGAAAAUAGCUUACAUCCUACAUUUUUUUUAUAGGCCAAGUCAUUGUAUUCAAAACAGCACAAUGGCAUGUUUAUGGGAAGGAAAAGAAAAACAAGUAAAACAUAGUGACUGGAAAAUCUGAAAUUAAUUGAUUUGAUGUAAUUAGAAGACAUACCUUAACCCCUAUUGAUAGGAACAUUAAACUCCAAACACUAAUUAAAUAAGAAAACAAAUCAUGAAAUAUGGAAAACAUUCUAAAGAAUUAAUCUAAGGACUCUUAAAUAUUGUAAUGUAUAAAAUAAUAUUAUGAAAGUUCUCAACCUAUUCUAAUAUGAAUCAUUAUGUAUUUCAAGUUUCAAAGAAUAAAAGCAAGAAAAGCACAUUAGCAAAUGACACAAACUUCCACUACACAUUUUCACUUGGCAGGAACCUCCAUUGAAGAAAUUGGGUUGGGAAAGGUGAAAUCGAGCUGCUGGUACAGCUGCUUCGCUGAAACCAGCUUGUGUUGGGGUUUAUAUAUGAAAAGGAAAAGUUGACCUAGCUUGAUGGAUCACUGAAUUUGGACUCGCAUACCUCAUUCCUCCGUCAGCAACCCCACACUUAAUUUCCUUCGAAUAUGAGGUAAUUCAGCUAAUUGGUAACCCAAGUUAAUAAGCCUAAAAUUUGGCACAGUACGAGGGGACACAUGAUGAAGACAUAGAGGGAAGAAUUAGUUAUAGGAAAUGAAAAAGAGCGAGAAGAAGAGGGGAUAGAGCGCAGAAAAAGUUAUUCGCAAUAGGGCGUAGAAAAAGUUAUUCACAGCGCAUUCAGCUACUGUGUUGUUUAGAAUCUCAGUUCUGAGAAUUGACAGAUUUAUAAUGUGGUUUCAUAUUGCUUUUCCAUACUUGUAUUUCUUUCCAAAUGAAAUUACAUACUAUCACUAAAUUUGGGAAGUUCAUUUCCUUAAGUAGUAUUUGCACAAGAUUGGAUGAUUGUUUCUCUGAAAUCUAAAUCUACAAGCAAAUCACAUGGCCAACAGGCCAAGAAAGUUUCUCCUGAAGCAUCAAAUACUAGUUGCAACUUGCAAGUAUUUCUUUUUAACACACUAUAUACUUAUUUCUAAAUUUGUUUGUUAGUUACAACGAAGAACACAUUAAAAUUAAGAAGAAAAAAUAUUACCUCAGCCACAAGUACUUCUUUUGUCACAGGUAAUCGUAUUUCCAAGGGUUCAUCUUUUGAUGCACGUGCCUUAGCUUUUUUAACAUCAAUUAACCUCCGCAAGACCUAUUAGAUGAUCACAUUCAAUUCAUAUUAAAAUAACAAAUAUUAAUGGGUGAGUUUUGACAUGAAAGACUAUCAAAAUAUCAAGUAAAUGUUUCUAGAAAAAUGCUAGCAACACUGACUUUAACACUCAUUAAUUCGUUAAAAUUCAUGUGGGAUCCAAUAAAAAUAUGGGGCCCCACUGCCAAUUUAGUGGGAUCCAUAUGAAUUUCAACCAAUCAAAGAUUGUUGAAAAUAGAGUGUUAGAGUGAGUGUUGCUAGCACUACUCAUGUUUCUAUUAUACCACUCUAACAGAAACAAUCUUGGGGAGUAUAUCAGAGUCAUAGUUUUGAAAACCAAACCAAAAUGGCAAGUUAAAUUUUUAUCUAACUUAGAUAUUAGUUUACUACUUAACAUAUUAUAUAAGAGUCAAGAUCCAAUACCAUCAAAUGUAAGUCUCGGUAUGCUUACACCACCUGAUAAUUUUUAUUGUUGAAUUGAAAGUUCUCAGGAAGUAGAUCAACUUUAUAAAAUUUCAUACAAAUCUAAAACUACUUUAUAUUCCACCACACCACUAUAUUUUAACAUAUAAUAUGCUACUUAAAAUAUAUAAACAAAAUUCUAUUAGAUUACAUAUCAAUGAAAACCUAAAUUAUCUAAAACUUUGAAUACAUGAUCAUCAAGAGAAUUUAACAUGGUUCAAUUGCCGGUUUACCUAACUCUGAAUUCUACAAAAAGUUACUCGAUGAUAUAACUGUUCAACACUUAAACCUAUUGUCAGUGGAUCGUAACUCAUCAUUAAUAUUUAAAAUAUAUGAUUAAUCGUCACCAGUUCAACUAUUUGAGAAGGCAAAUAAUUUCCCCAAAAAGGAUAGGAGAAAUAGUUCCAAACAGAAAUGAAAAGCUUUGAAGAGUAAGCUACAAACCAGCUUAGCCUUAUCAAGACGAAGUGCGGCUGCUUCAUACUCUUUCAUCAGAUCUUCCUUUGACUCUUUAACUACAGUAACGUCUUCUUGUUUUUCUUCUUCAGUAGGUUGAUAAAUCUGAAGUCUCAACAAUUGUAGAAGACAGAGUAAGUUAUGAAGACUGGCUAUGUGAGUAUGCAAAUGUUUAUGUGCCAAGCAAUGUUGACAAUAUGGGCUGCGCCCACAUUCAGAUAAACACAAAAAGUAAAGGAAAAGGAUGCACUAUUGUCAUAUCAAGAACUUAAAAAAGUUAUUCUAGAAGAUAGAAAAAUGCAGAGAACUGAAAGUGGUAGAUAGCAUAGAUGAAUAAGAAACAGAGAUCAAUGGCAUUGAACAACCAAUAGCAUAGAUGUGUAAAAUGAGACUAAUGAAAGGAUGAAAAACCUUGCGCUGCUCAGUGAGGAGAUAAGCAAACUUAUCAAUGUUAGGGACAGCGAGGAGCUUGGGCAUUAGGUGGUUGCGAAAAUAUCCAGGAGCAACCUUGACCGUAUCGCCUGCCUUUCCAAGCUUAUCUAUGUCCUAUAAAUUAGAAAUUGAAAAUAUCAGAUAUUUGAAUAAAAUUUUAUCCCAGUAAUUAAACAUUAGGAGUCAAGAUAGAUAAUUACAGUUGUAAGGAUGACUUGGAGCUUCCUGUUGUAUCGAAGUCCUUGAGACGCAUACAGAAGUGGGUUUACGACAGCACUAUUAGAACUGGAAUCUCUAAAUCUGAUGAUCUGCCUAACACCAAGUCUUCCAUAUUGAAGAUAACCCAUUCAGAUUCAGUCACAACUUUUCUCUGUCAAGAUUGAAAACAAACAAUUAUCAGUAUCAAACCAACAAAUUCCAUUUCUUCGAAUAGAUGGAAAUGGAUCAAAAAGUAGGAUAGAAAAGGAAAGUUUAUAGACAGAAAUGAGAUACAUAAGAGAUACAAGAAAAAAGAUACGAAAAUAUGUAUAUGCAGAUUCCUCCAAGUGUUUGAGAGAUUUGGGCUCUCCUCCCCAUAUUUUACUCCAAAAGGACCAAAACCAAAGACCCUUAACGAUUUAUUCCCUCCUAUUACUUAUACUCUGUAGAUCUCUAAUAGAAUUGGAAUAUAAAAGAAUAUUAUGUAUUAUUGUAAUGAGUCUUCAAUCCCUAACUUGUGUACCUGUGGGGUAACUGAACAGAGACAAUAAGAAUGAAUAUAGUAGUAUGCUAGGUGUUCAUGAGACUUAGAGCUCUCCCACAAAAAUAAAUUAAAAAAAUCUAAGCAUAUACAGAGACAGAGAGAGAUCGUGAAAAAGGGCAAUGAAGGUUCAGAUUGCUUGCAUGUUUGCUCGUACCUUGUUGUUGGUUGAUGAGGAUUGAGGAAGAAGAAGAUGGAGAUUUGAUUUGAGUUUGAGGGAGAGAAGGCAACAACGGUGGUGGGCUGAUGGAGCAAGGGCUUUUUGUUGGGUCGGGUUGGACUUGUCUUUCACUUUCACUUUCACAUUCACAUCACAUAUACAUAAAGAAAAAAACUUGGCCGGCACGUGUCAAUGGAUGGGGGUUCUUGACACGCACGCCUUCAUAUAAAAAUAUAAAAAUAAAAAAAAAUAAAAAAUAAAUAAAUAAAUAAACUUCCUUUUUCUUUGACGGAGGUUUCUUCUUCAUCUUCUUAUCUGAUCAAUCAAGCAAGCAACACAUCUUCUUCUUCUCUCUUUCGCUCUCCUCUCUCUCUCUCUCUGGUAAGCAACAUCUACUCUUCAAUUCUAAUUGCGAUCCUUUUUCCUUUUUAUUCGUCAAUCGUUUUCGCUCCUCAAUUCAUCGCUACCCUCGUACCAAACCCUAAUUCCAUAAUUGGUGCUGCAGAAUCAUCGCCAUGGCUAAGAGCUCAUUCAAGAUGGAACACCCACUUGGUUCGCUCCUCUCUUAAUUUACCAAUUUUUUGUUCAAUUGUUACUGUAUAGUGCAGUUUUAUGAGUUGAUCAAACUUGAUGCUUUUGGGAUUCUCGGGUAGUAAUCUAACUGUCUAGGGUUUGGUUUCUAUUUUUUUUUUAUUUGGGUGUUUAACUAUGAUGUAAAGUUUGUAUUUUUAAGCACCAUUAUCACUUCUUCCAUGAAAAUUGAAUUUUUACCAGAAAUUUUUACUCUAUCAAAUGCCAUUGUCUUGUCUUAACUACAUAUUUUUGCUCUUUAUAUUUAGUUUAGAGUUUAGUAUAAACAAUGACCUAUGUUAUAGCACUUAAUUAUACUUUCCUAAGUGCAUGUAAACUUGUAUUUAGUUCACCUAUUGGGUGAUUUAGGUCCAACAUUUAUCUUCUCUAAUAUGUGCAACCAUUAACAUGCCAGAAAGGAGACAGGCUGAAGCAGCUCGCAUAAGAGAGAAGUAUCCUGACAGAAUUCCGGUAAGACCUGCUUUCUGCUGUGCUGUCUGUGUGCAUGUGCCAUUUUAAUAUCAUUGGAUGCUUAUUAUUUUGGUUGAUCUUGUGAUGUAGGUUAUUGUUGAAAGGGCAGAGAAGAGUGAUGUUCCUGAAAUUGAUAAGAAAAAGUUAGUUUCUUCUACUCUUUGGGAAGUGAUAUUGCAAAUAUUGGUUCAGUUUAUUUAAUCCAAUUUUCGUUAUAACUAUUAUUACUUGUUUCGUGAAUAUUUCCCUGCAUGAAACUUGUCCUGCUAUGUCUGGUUGAAGUUUUGAAUGUAUGGUAGCUUUACUUUGAAAUUUGAAAAAUGUAGACACUUAUGGUUGCUUAUGGUUCAACUUUGAACUUAAUACAUGAUGAGAAAUUAUAGUGUUGUGUGAUCCAUGUAGAGACAUGGUUUGUCGCUGGCUAAGACCUGUCGUGUGUAUUUUCUAUUUAUGCAUGUAGACGAAACCUUAAUGCUCUUGGUUUUUAACAAUGUAAAUAGAAUGGAAACUGUAGAAACAGUCUAGUUUGAUCAUAAAGUGAGAACAGGUUUUUGUUAAGACUUGGGUGUUAAUAAUUGAAUGUAUCAGAAAGUUGAGACUUCAUGUCCCAAAAUCUGUGUGCAUCUGCAUUAUGUACUUGUUUGGGUUGGAGCCAUGUGUUAUUUUAGUAAGUAGUUAAGUCUCCAAUGGCAUUUGGCUUUUGUGGUACAUUCUUGCAAAACGUAGGAGGUAUAACUCAUAACUCACUGUCUUCUCACCUUCUAAAAUCAAAAGAAAAAAAUGACCUUGGAAACUUAGUGUAUAUAUAAGUUUCAGCCAAUGUGAAAAUGUCCUUUGGGACGUAUGACUGUAUGUCUGGGGUGUAAGACCGUAAGCCAAACAUAUUUUUAGUACACUAAGUAACCUGGCUGGUGGAUGGAUGUCUAGGAUAGAUAUAGGCAUUUCGACAUGCUCAAUGUUUUCAUUUACCUCUUUUGACUUCAAUAUUGGAUGCGUGAAAUUCUUAUUACACUGACAAUUAUCGGAAUGUUCUAUUGUGUUGUGUGGAUACUGGAUACAUUUUUCAUCUUUCAUCCCUUGUAUUUUCUUUAUUGAUUAUCGUUCCAUUUUGGAUAUAUAUAGGUAUCUUGUUCCUGCUGAUUUAACUGUUGGCCAAUUUGUGUAUGUGGUGCGUAAGAGAAUCAAGCUGAGUCCUGAGAAGNNNNNNNNNNNNNNNNNNNNNNNNNNNNNNNNNNNNNNNNNNNNNNNNNNNNNNNNNNNNNNNNNNNNNNNNNNNNNNNNNNNNNNNNNNNNNNNNNNNNAUCAUAGCACGAUCAUGUGAAUAGAGCUUAAUGAAAAAUGACCAUUAUGAAGAAGUCAGCUUAAUUGUAAAUUCUCUGGUUUGAUCUGGUUCUUGUAAAGUUCAUUAACUGAUUGCUUUCAAUUUCUAUCGUUUCUUGUACCGGUACUUAUUUGAAAAUUGCCUUGUGUUCACUAUAUUGCUAAAGUUUAAGGGUAUGUGCUCUUUAAAAUGUUUUCUCAUUUUCAUUCUUCUUAUUUUCAUAUUCGAAAAGUAAUUUUCAUGUUCAGUUUUUAAAAUUAGACAAGGGGGUUUUCAAACUUUUAACCGCUGUCAAACCGUUGACUCAGUGAUCUGGGGAUCUCUGAUGGGGUUACCUUUAGGUCAGACCAGACGAUUGUUUCAAGCUCAUCUGUAUGCAGAUUUAGUAAAAUGAGGCUAAAUUGUGGCAUUUAGUGUGUUUAGAAAAGUUUAUUUGAAUUUUUUUUGGUACAUAAAGUUUAUGAAGUGUGGCAAACGACUAGGUCAAUGAAGUCUUUGUUUUUUUUGUGCUUCGGAAAAUAGUGAAUGAAGUCUUUCAAGACUACAGAGUUUUAUGACUUUCAGCUUUUCAUUUAAUUAAAUUAUCAGCACAUUGUAAGUGACGAGGUUUGGAGCAUGUUGGGCGAGUUUUUGCAUUGAGUACAUCUGAUCCAGCUUUGGUUUUGAAUGGGUUAAUUGCUAAUGUCAAAUAUUCAAAAACAUUUAAGAAGUUUUUUUUUUUUGAAACUUCAUUUAAGAAGUUAAGACCGAUUAGUAUUUGAAACAUUAUUUAUAAGGUGAUUAUUAAGGUCUUGGUUAAGCCUUCACACUUAGAGACUUAGAGUAGUUUUAUAACGGAGAGGUGCACAGCUGAUGUUAUUGUUCAUAAGAAGAAGAAGAAAGUAGAGUACUCAGCCGAUUGGUUUAACCGUGAGGUAACACGUGGUGGUUAGUUCACCUAGCCCCUUAACCCUGAGGUCAAGGUUUCGAUCCUCCCCAUGAGAAUGAAUCACAUUUCAUGGUCAAUCAUUUACCGUUUAUUACGAGCACCUGCGGUGAGGAAAUUAAUCAUUGUUGUUGCUGGAUACUCUGAGCUCACAAAAAAAGAAGAUGAAGAGGGAAGAUAAGGACAUCACCUUUAAGCGGGAUCUUGAGAAGGUGCAUGAUCAUAUGAUCGAAUGGAUUGGGGCUUCUUGAAGAAUACCCUCCAUCAAUUUGGGUUUCCACCUGUUAUGUUUAGCAUGUGCAAACCUGUUUGGGAAACUGUAACUAUCUUUCCCAAUCCAAGGUUCGAUCUUGUGACAUUACCUUUACAGAAAAUCUAGCUUGCCUAGCACUAGACCAGCCUACCAACAUAUAAUUUUUAAAAUCGAUAAUUACAUAUUCAAAAUAAGCUUAGAGUUUAGGAACCAAGUUGGCUUUUCAUCUUUCAAAACAAAAUAUAUAAAAAAAAUGACGGUGCAUAUUAUGUUUAUAUAAAUAAAUUAAAGAUCUUCAUAUUAAAAUCUUUUUUUUUUAAACAUCUUCAUAUUAAAAUCUUAGAAAUACAGCAAUUGGAUUUUUAUUUAAUUUGGUCAAAUUAAAUAAAUAGCGAUAUCUAAAGUCUAAACUGAUAAAAAUUGACUUUGUCCAAAUUGUACAAAAAUCUAAUAUAAGCUAUAAUGACCGGCAUUCGCCUCAAUUAAUACUUCAUAAAUCGAUUGAAGUCAAUAUAAGCUAUAAUGACCGGCAUUCGCCUCUUCUAGAUUAAGUGACUUUUGACCAUAAAAUGCAAAAUCAUACUAGUACUUCUUUAGACAAUUAUUAAUAAAGCAAGAAUUAUAACUUCUAAUAAUUUUGAAAUUUGUUAUACAUGUAGAUAUAUUUUAACACAGUAUUAACAAGUAAUUUUUCAAUCAUAUUCUAUCUCAAGUCUCAACACUUUAGCCGCACAUCUUUAUCCUAUCAAUUCAUAGGGAACAACUGGUGCAAGUAAAACUGUGAAGCAAUUUGGAAACACAUUUCGCUGCAAAGCUGUUUUAAAUGUCUUCCUAACUUCAAUCCAAACAUGCACUUAUAGAUGGAGAGGGUAAAGUCAUAACAUUCCACAUUUCUCUAUAAACAAAUGAAUAAUAGAAAUAACAAGAAGUAUAAGCUAUUCUGGAUUGUUUGUAAUGCUCAAAACUGGAAGCCAAAACAUAAUCAAUCUUUAUCUCUAUGAAACAAACUUUACUGAAUCAAUGUGUAUGUACCAAAACAAAUACAAGGAUCAGAGAAUAAGUUCUUCACUUAGAGGUCCUUUUCUGGUACUGAGUCUUCAUCCAUUUGAUCCCAGCAGAGGUGCCACUCUUCACCUUCUGAGCACCCACCACAGCAGCUGUCUUAGCUUUGUCAGCACCCACAGCUGCUGCUGCCUUGGCCUUUUCCAUCCCGGCUGCCAUCUUCUUGCUGCUGCUGCCUCCGCCACUAAUGCUCUUCUUCGCCUUGUCAUCUUCCACAUGCUCCUCGUUCCCAAAAGCACCCGCUCCCCAUUGAUCAGACCAACUCGGUGCCUUGUUGCUCCCCAUGAUUGAUUUCCCUCCUUUUACCUGCAGAAAAAUUUAAAAUCUUCACUGAUUCUAAUCACUAAUCAGUGCAUGUUCGGAAAUCUUUCUAGAAUUGAUUCUAAAGCCAAAAUCAAUUUUAGGGAGAAACUUAUGUGAGUCUCUCCUUAGUUCUUAGUGCCAGAAUUGAUUCAAAUCACUUAUCAAUGCAUGUUUGGAAAUUCAUCUAGCUUUUGAUUCUAAAGUCAAAAUCAAUUAUGGGGAGAAGGCGAGAAGCUAAGUAUCUUCUAAAUGCCAGAAUUGAUUCUAAUCAUGUAUCAAUGCAUGUUUGGAAAUCGUUCUAGAAUUGAUUCUAAAGUCAUAAUAAAUUACAUGAAGAAGCUAAGUAGCUUCUUUAUGUCAGAAUUGAUGCUAAUCACUUAUACAUGCAUGUUUGGAAAUCCCUCUAGAAUUGAUUCUACUGCCAAAAACAAUUCUAGGGUGAAACUUAUCUUAGUAGCUUAUUGAUGUCACAAAGAAAACAGAAGCUAAUACAAACAUCCUAAACAUGCUAUCAAAGCAAAUUAACAAACAAAACAACAACAAAACAUAAAGAGACAAAAAGGUAGGCGGAAACAUUCACAAAAUCGCAUCUAAUCCAAGUCGCACAAGGUCAAUAAUGCCAAACACACAUGUUUGGUUUCAAUUGACACAGUUAAUUAAUCAAUGUGACAAUCCAAAGCAAGAAAAAUAACAUUUGGGAUUUUUGAAUUAACAAGAUUUGGGUACACACCCACCCACAAGAUCUCUAGAUGAAUCCAAAGCAAAGUUUGAAGAGUUUAUUGAAAAAAAUCAAAACUUUUUGCUCAAUAGAUAAGAAUCAGAAAGACCCAGUUGUUAAAUGGAGUAAAUUGCACAUAAUUGUUGAAAAAAUAGGGCAAAAUUUCAUUUUUAUGUAUCUAUACAAAGACAGAGUGAGAUCGUAUAAAAGGGCAAGGAAGGUUCAGAUUGCUUGCAUGUUUGCUCGUACCUUGUUGUUGGUUGAUGAGGAUUGAGGAAGAAGAAGAUGGAGAUUUGAUUUGAGUUUGAGGGAGAGAAGGCAACAACGGGUUGAAACUCCAACAAAUGGAAUGAAGUGAAGUGAAAGGGAGGACAAGUCUUUGUUUUAUAGUGUCAG
rnacentral:lncRNA from 1 species